rnacentral:lncRNA from 1 species
UUUUCGAGAAGUGCCUGAUGUGCCUUCACAAGGGUUUGAUAGUGCUGGGGAAAGCUGCCCAAAAUCUUUCUCAAAUUUCUCAGUUUGAUUUUUAUCAGCAAGUUCUGACUCAUCCUUGUUUGUGAUCUUACCUACAAAUGAAGCCUCCUCUGACCCUGUGCUGCCAACUUCAGGUAUCCUAUCAGGCAUUGGUCGUGAGAUAGUUGGAGUUUCAGUUCCAUCAUCAAGCUCCAUAUGAGAAAUUACUGAGGUUUCUGUAUGAUCGGGAAACUCCCUUACAUCUAAUCCAGCAUUUUGCAGAAGACAGCUGGGUACCUCGGCAGGAAUUAAUGUGCCAGGAGCACCCAUUAGAUCAAUAAUAUAUUCACUGCAUCAGAACAAAACAAUUUCACAAUCAAACAUUGUUCAUAUUAAACCUUGUAUUAGACAAGAAGCAUGCAGGUGCAUUAAGUGAAAAAAAAAAAUAAAAAACUGAUUACAGCAAAUACAAAUAAAUGAAAGGAAUGUGGACAGUUGAUGAUGACGGUGGUGGGAAAGGCCAUCAUUAAGAAAUAUACAUAAAUCAAAAGCACUGCAUUCAUAACUUGAAUGUGGGGAUCACUACCUUCCAUUAUCAAGUUUGAUCAGGUUUACAGCUCCAUCAUCUGUGCCAGUGUAGUAGCUUCCUUUAACCAACAUACAUGGAAGAUUGAUUCUAUCAGCUAGCACCUACCAUCACCAGUAAAAAAUCAUUAACUUCAAUCAAUAUAUCCUAAGGACCAGAAACAUACUUUGUCAUUAAAUUAGCUGAAAUAAUGGGGGGGACAACUCUAAACGUUUUCUUCAAUAAUUAAGCACUAAUAAGCCAACAAUGGAAUAGAAAAUUCAAAGUAAUCAGGAUACCCAAGCUAAGUUAAAGGGUGAAUAAAUAUCGUUUGAUUCAGUUUAACCCAAGGAUAUAAAACGAUUUGAAAAUUUACAACCUUGAACAGUAGGGCCCUAUGACGUGAAAGUCCAACAUCAAGACACCCAAGUGGAAGAAUGUUUGUGUUUAGAGAAUUCCUUAACUGGGUACGUCUCAAGGUCCACCUUCCAUAUAUUUCUUCUGCAUUGCCAACUGGUCCACCCAUUCUCUCAACAACAAGAUCAGCAAUUUUCUGUAUCAAGCCACUUAAAAUUGGACCGAGAUCAGAGUAGCGGCACUCAACUGAUACAUUAUACGCUCUUUUCUCAAGCUCUUUAAGGUUAGGAUCAACCAAGCGGUUUACCACAAUCACUUCAUAAUCAAGAUUAUCUGAUAGGGAUAUUGCUUGAAGAUCUACCAACAACGGCAUCUUUCCUUGUGACACUGAAUUUGAGGUAAUUCCAUAUACAUCAUAAAAUCCAUCAACAAUUUUUUCAUCGUAGUUUACAGCACUAUAGCUCUGCAUGUGAAAGAUACAAAAAUUAGUAAAUCCUUUGUUAGCCAGAUUAUAUAACUACAGAUGCGAAGCUAAAAAAAGAAUUACUUAAAAAUCAUUUGAAAGGGUAAACUAUUAGUUCUCCUGGAUCACUUGAGAAAUUAAAGAACAAGAAAUUGCAUCAUGAUUUUGACUCUAACCUUUCCAGAUUCCAGUAAAGAAUAUAAAAACCUUCUCUCCCCUUCUCUCGACCAUGAACGACAUAACCAUUCAGUAAAAAUGAUUGAUAAACUGAUAGACGGUUUCAUAGACCAAAUUAAAUAUUUUCAAAAAUGACAAUUGUACCCAAAUUUUUACAGGAGAAAUAACAUUACACUCCCAAGAGUUACAUGUACAUAAAUUUUAAAUCAGUAAAACAAGGAAAUAAGCAGGUAAAUAUGGUAACAUCAGAAAAUAAGAAAUUACUAUUACAACUUCUGUUGCCGUGAAUUAAGAAACUAAUAGUACUGGCUAUGCAAAUAUAAAGAUGUAUAAAUUGUUUGUCAACAUAAAAGGAAGUGUCUAUAAUGCGCAAUUCACCAAUCAAUCUGCUUGGCAGAAACUUCUACAUUGACGGGGAUCUGGAAGAAACUAAUAAAACCAAUGACAACAUAUCCAAUCACUAUAAUUAACAUAAAUCCAACUAUGUUUCAGUUCAAACUUAAUAUAAACAAGACAAAAGAAUCAGAUUCACAAAACAAGCUAAUUCACUCCGUUCCUCUAUAAAUGCACUUGAAUCAUAACAAAAGUAAUAAAUGGAAGUGAGAUGCAAUAAUUCAAUUUCAAUAUCAACAGCUACUGAUGAAAAAGUACUGAAAGAAAAAAGUUAAUAAUUAAUUAUCCAUGCAAAGUUGCAAACUACCAUCAUUUGUAACCUGAACCAAACAAUAGAUAUAAGAUCUUAAAUAUUGAUCCGAGAUAAAUCAUUCAUAGCUAUGAAAAACUUAAAAAUUCUGAAUUAAACUUGCCUAGUACCCUUAAAUUGAUUAAGUAAAUAGUCUGAAUCCCAAAAUUGAACAAAAUAUAAGCAUUUACACACCCAAUAUCGAAGCGAGAGGAACUCAACGAGGGCAUCGGUUUCAGUGACAGAAGCCGAGCGGCAGCCGAGACUCAUCCGCUUGGCGGCAUCGAUCUGAGCCGACUCAACCUUCUCUCUGGCGUCUGGAUCCGACGCGCUAAUCGCUAAAGCCAACUGCACCUGAAACUCCUCUUCCAAUAAGUUAAAAUCUACUCCACUGUCCCCAUCCCUCCGAUCACUAGCCGCCGAUUCAACGGCCCCGAUUCUCCCCAAUGUCCCCGAGCUAGGAGAUGACGACGACGGCGUAGCGUUGGGACUGGGACUGGGACUAGGGCUGGGGCUCGGAUUGAUAACGGGGCGGGCAUCGGGCAGUCGUUGAUGCUCAUUUAAUCCGCCGCCGAUGUGGAGCUUUCUUAGUAGAUGCUUCACUUUCGACAUCGAUGAUUCAUCAACGACGAACGAUGAUGGCAACUAUUUCGUAAUUUCUUUUUUAUUAUUUUCCCCUUCUUCUUCUCCUUCUUAUCGCCUCUUGUGGCUUAACCUACGCCCACUGAUUAAAGGCAGAUUCGCUUAACAUACGCAUCCAUUCUUCGUCAAGCUACCUCUCCCCACUUUAGACACUUAAAUUAACCGCUCACCCAUUCCCUCCAAUGCACACCUCUCUCUCUCUCUCUCUCUCUCUCUCUCUCUCUUACGUGAAAUGUGAAUUGUGAUUUAUGACACUUGAAAAUUACAAAAUAAAAUAAUUAUUAAUUUAUUUGUUUAAACAAUUUAAUUAAUUAAUAGAUCUUUUUAAAAAAAAACUAAUUAAUAAGUAUAUAAAUUGUACUACUAAUAUGUGUGAGUGUGGGAGUCAAGGAUCGGAUUUGUAAUUCUACGCUGAGUAAACAUUGUAUUGCCUUUCAUGGACGUCUGCUGAUCUUGAACGUUUAGUGGGGGGUAAUGCUUUUCAUUGCGUGAUGUUGGUGAUCGGAUGGUUGUUGUUUGGUCAACGGUUAUGCUGUCGAUUUUGCCAAUUGGGCUGCUUUUGAACUAUGCACCUGAAAAUUAUAAUAAACGGUUAUUUUCCAUAGGUCUUAGUGAUAUCAAUGGUUUGAAUCAAAUUUGUAAUAUGAUGAUGGAUGAUCAUAGACUUGAAAAUUAUAAUGCAAUGAUAAGAAUUUAUGACUGUAUCCACAAUUGCAUGCAUGGACUUUCCUUUAUACUAUGAAAUUUUUAGUAUUAAUUUUGAAUAAUUCUUUUGUGAUCUUAACUAUCGAAUCAAAUAAAUAAUUUAGAGAUGGUCAAUGAUAAUAGUGUUUUUGAUAAUUUUUUAAAAAAUGAAAAUAUUUGUACAAACUACUUUUUUGCUACAUGUGUUACAUAAAUGAAAAAUAAUUUAUGUGCUGUAAAUGAAAAUUUAUAGCACAUAAAUUGUUUUUUUUUUUGUUACAUGUCUUAUUAAAGAGAGAGAUUACAAAAUAUCAUAGGUAUAAUUGAGUAUUAUAUUAACAUACAAUCGAAAGAAAAAUCUGUAAAAUGUUGCAUUCUUUAAUUCCACAAUCCACACAAAUCAUGUAGUUGUUGCUAUGUGUAAAUUUAAAAUGAUAAAGAACAAAAUUGGAUUUAUACUGUUAAAUGUUUAUUGCAAUACAUUAAUGAUGCGUUUAUUAAAUGGAAAUUAGAAUGGAUAAGAAUGGAAAUAAUUGGAAUGAGAAUAGGAAUAUGGAUUAGAAUAAAUUGUUUACUUGAACGGUAAGAAUUAGAAUCGGAAUGAGUCAGAUUCUAUUAAUGCGUUUACUUUGUCUUCAAAUCGAAUUCGGAAUGAAUUAUAUGAUAACAGAUUACUAAAAAAUCAUUCUUAAUAAUAAUAAUUAUUGUUAAUGUAUUAAUUAUAAUUUAUCAUUAAUAAUAAUAAUAAUAAAUCAUCAACAAAAUAAUAAUCCAUUUAAAAAUAAUAAUAAUCAUAAUGGGAUUCAUCAUCAUCAACAAAAUAAUCCAUUUCUCAAAAAAAAAAACAAUAGUCAAAAUCGAAAUCAUCAUUGUUGACAACUACAACGACAACAACAAAUCAUCAUCGCUAGCAACUCAUCAUCAUCGGACGAGAACCAUGGCCAUCAAAGACGAAAUUAGCGGCGAAACGAAGAUGAAACUGAAACGGGGACGAAAUCAAGACACCCCAACGAAUACGAAACCGGCAAUCAGCUGUGGUCCACAGUCGAUGGACCAGCCACGACGAAGAUAGUGGAUGAUUAUGGCCGUGAUAGUGAUAGAAACCUGCAAUGGCGUUUGGCUGGGAGUCAAGUGUGAGAGAGUUUAGGUUUUAAGAUUUUUUUUUCUAUUUAUAUAUUUUUAUUUGAAGUGAUGAUAUUUUUGAAAUAAUGAAGAAUUAAUGGGGCAUAAUGGAAAAUUCUAGGAGUGAGAGUUUAAUUCCCAAAGCCUCCUUAGGAAUUAGAUUUACAUUUUUAAUUCUCAAAUUAAUGUGGGGUCUGCUAAAAUAAAUCGCAUUCAUUUUCUUAUUUUACUAAAUAACGUGGGUUUCAUUCUGAUUCUAAAUUUUCAUUUCUAAAUCCGACAAGUAAAUGCAGUCUAAUAUUAUUGGUGGCAUAAGUUGCAUUUGAUAGAUAAUGACGAAGAUAACCCCGAUGAUUAGAUGAUAAAAAGUAAUUAGCUUUAAUUAAUGAUGCAACAAUAAUACACCAUUGUUUUGGUACACGUGCAUUAGCUCUUAAUAAUGGGUUCUUCGAUUACAGGUGUUUAAAUGCCGUUGAUUAAGCAAACGCAGUUGCCUCUUUUAGACGCAAGGUACGGAGGUGACGAGGGAUGGCACAUCGUUGUACAACGUAGCUGCGGAGUAUGGAAUCAUUCACCGACUCGUGGUUCAUGAGAAAAAUUUAUGGAGGGCUGGCUAAUUGGCCGAUACAGUGCAGCGAGAGACUUGUGACCCGUUAUUCUGAAUUGACUUCAGUUUUUUUUUUUUUUUUUUUGGAAUAAAUAAUAUUUCAUACAAAGUUUCUUACGCAACCGCAACAAUGGUACAGCGGCCGCCGACGUUAAUAAUUUUUUAAAAAUAUUUUUCUUUAAACCGUUAAAAAUAUAUUUGGUGUUUGGGAGGGAUACUGUUUGGGACAAAUGCGUCGAAGGGACCAGGAAUGACGAGCAGACAUCUGAUGGCGGAGUUCUGCGCACCGGUGUUUUCCGUUAAAGCCUGGCGCGUGGAAGAACAGGAGCAGAAACAUCCUGCUCGUCCACGAUGUUGUCGUCCGCGAGGCCAAUUCCUAUAAAAGGCAUGAGGCCAUUCCGGCUAGAGACCGAGAGGCGAGGAGACCCGGUCGACGGCAGUUGGCAAGACGCGCUUUCCAGCACGAGAACCUAGGCACAACAGCCACGCUUUCCCCAGAACCGCGACGUAACACGCAAGAUCUCACGGAGCCAUGACAGCCACACUUUCCCCAGAACCGUGGCGUAACACGCAAGGUCUCACAGAGCCGUGGCAGCCACGCUUUCCCCUGAACCGUGGCGUAACACGCUAGAUCCCAUGUUUUGCCCAUAACGCAGCAGUUGGAGUCCCAUACCGUCUCGAAAAGAGCGGAAGACUGAGAUUCAGAGGAAGCCUAUAAAAAGGUAGCCAACGAAGGUAAAAGGGUUAGCAUUUUUAAGAUAAAAGAGAAAACCACAAAAAAGCCAUAAGACCUGUGGCAAGCGUUCCCCAAACCUUCAUAUCUGACUUGAGCGUCGGAGGGUUUGCGCCGGGAGAACAACCGGCGUACUCUGACUUGUCUGUGUGUGCAGGGACAUCCGGAGAAGAAGCAUUACUAGGAGACCUCCUGGUCGUGGUAGAGUUGAUCGAGCAGGGAUCCUGGUCGUAGAACGAGGAGAACCGGAAUCUCGCAUCAACAUUUUGGCGCCGUCUGUGGGGAUCCAGAGCAAAAAGCUUCUGUCGGUAGCAAGAAGAGGGGUGGAGUAAGCGAAAGUCAAUGGAGAUAGGAGGAAGUAGCGCACAAGGGGGUGACAUAAGGCUUAACGAUUCCGUGACGCUGAGGGAGGUGAUCAGCGAAGCACGGGAAAAAGUCAUGUUCGACCGGAUGGAGCGAAUGGAAAAGCAGAUGGAAACCUUGACAACCAUCCUGCAUGAGCUGCGGAACGAGCGAAGGGUAACCCAAGAGGGAAGGGUGAGAGGCGGUGGAGCGGCACCAGGUACCGAUAGUGCGGAGAGAAGUCGAACCGCUGGGAGAUUUGGCGGUGAGAGAGGUAACGUACCUCUGCGGGGAGAAUUUCAUAGAGAAAGAGAGCAGUCCCCGGGAAGACAGACUUGUGACGGGGGCGACGGAGUGGUGAACGCAGAGGAAACAGAACUGAGGCAACACUUACAUGAUGCAGAGCGAGAGCGGGAUCAAGCUGCAGCGCGCGACCCUGGUCGCGCAGGACAGCUGGAGGAGGAAGUGCGAAGGCUAGCGCAAAUAAUUGAUGACAUGCAAGGGAGGAACAGAGCCCCUGGUUGGAGGAUAAUGCUGGACGGGGAAUCACCGCUCGCAGCAGAGAUCAUGAGGGCAGUUAUUCCAAGAGAUUUCCGCCUCCCCGACCUCAGAUACUCGGGAAGAACUGACCCGCUGGUGCACAUAGAGCGCUUCAACGACAUAACGGGGGUCCAGGGAUUAUCUCCAUCCCAAAGGUGCAGGGUGUUCCCACUAUCCCUUGAGGGACGUGCACGAGAAUGGUACAGGAAACUUCCUCGGGGCAGCAUAAAAACCUUCGAGCAGAUGUGCCAGGAAUUCGCAGAGCAGUUUAGUGGGGCAAUGUCGCCGGAAGAUGACAUGAUGGAGCUGAAGAGCAUGAAACAGGGGGAGCAAGAAACCCUUCGGGAAUUCAUCAAGAGGUUUCAUCGGGCUGUCCUCGACUUGGGAGCCUUCAACCACCCUCAGGCGUUAAGGGGACUGAAAGAAGGGGUGAAGAUAGGAAGGCUGUGGUACAAUUUGAGAAGCCCAGCUAUUCAAACGUAUGCAGCCGCAUACGAACAGGCUAAAAGAGACAUCGAGAUUGAGGAGGAGAAGGCUGCACGGAUCAAGACAGACCAGUUGGAAGGGUUAGGGAGGAAAGAGAAGAAAGCAUUACCAACUAAUGGACCGAACAGGAGGAGGGACCACCAGAUCUCCGGUAGUGGAGCAGGAGGUAGGGUAAUUGCUUACCAGCCUCAUCAGAGGCUGGUCGACCAGAACCAGGACUAUGGGCGGUACACUCCCUUGAAGAUGCCCCUGGAUGAGGUGUACGAGGCCAUAAAGGGUCGAGGGCUGCUGCACCUCCCCACACCAAUAACAAAGCUACCCAACAGGAGGGAUAGAGGACGUUAUUGUAAGAGCAGUGCAUCUGGUCGACCAGAACCAGGACUAUGGGCGGUACACUCCCUUGAAGAUGCCCCUGGAUGAGGUGUACGAGCCUGGACGAGUUUAUGGAUGGGACUUUCCCGAUGGUGGCCACCACGGAUGAAGGGGAGCAGAGUGAUGGAAUCUUGAGACGCGAGCCGCCCGCAGCGAGGGUGAUAGCUGGGGGCCCAACGUUGGCUGGAGAUUCGAACAGAUCGAGAAAAAAUUAUGCCAGAUACGCCAUGACCAGUAAAGAGAUACUCUUCAACACCCCAGCAGCCAAACGAGCAAGGGUCAGGCAAGUGCCAAUCAUGUGGACGGAUGAGGAUGAGGAAGGGAUUCUAUACCCCCACGAGGACGCUUUAGUCAUCAAGGCCACGAUCGCUAGCAAGAAGUUUGACCGGAUACUGGUUGAUACGGGGAGCUCAGUUGAUGUGCUAUUUAAAUCAACUUUGGAAGAGAUGGGAAUAGCCGACCGGAAGUUGGAAUACACCAACACCUCCUUGAAGGGGUUCGGAGGAGGGAAGCUGGUCCCUCUGGGCGUGGUCGAACUGCCUAUCACAAUCGGGAGCCCCCCGACAGAAAGAACAAUGAUACUGGACUUCGUCGUAGUGGACGAGGAAGGUCCUUACCAGAUGAUCCUAGGUCGGCCAUUUUUAAGGAUGAGCAAAGCGGUGCUGUCCAACCAUUAUCUGUCUCUAAAGUACCGGGUGAAUGGGGUAGUCGGAGUGGUACGAGAAGACCAGAGGAUCGCAAGAAGCUGCUACUCCUCGGCAGCAAGGGAGGCGAUGCAGAUAACAUCCCUCGAUACCCGAGUGGAAAACAAGACUGGCAGACAAGAACCCGUAGAGGAUCUGGAAACAGUAAGCAUGGGACCGGAGAACCCGGGAAAGACGAUCAGAAUCGGGUCGAGACUUGAGGGAGAGCAAAAGCAGGAGUUGGUGAAAUGCUUACAGGCUCAUGCCGACGUGUUUGCCUGGACACAUGAGGACAUGCCAGGGAUUGACCCAGAGGUAGCAUGUCAUAGGCUGGCAAUAAAGAAAGGUGCUCGGGCAGUAAGGCAGAAGAGGAGGUGCUUCAACCAGGAGAGGUAUGAGGCUGUAAGUGAUGAGGUGGAGAAGCUUCUGAGAGCAGGGUUCAUUCGGGAAGUUAAUUACCCAGAGUGGAUAUCGAACGUGGUGUUGGUAAAGAAGGCGAACGGCAAGUGGAGGAUGUGUGUGGAUUUCACAGACCUCAAUAAGGCGUGCCCAAAAGACAGCUUCCCUUUACCAAAGAUCGAUCAGCUAGUAGAUUCAACGGCUGGACAUGGUCUGCUUAGCUUCAUGGACGCAUUCUCGGGAUACAACCAGAUCCCCAUGUACGAGCCGGAUGAGGAGAGCACGGCUUUCAUCACUAACCAAGGUCUGUUCUGUUACAGGGUGAUGCCAUUCGGUCUCAAGAAUGCUGGGCCACCUAUCAAAGGCCGGUGAAUAAAGUCUUUAAGCCCUUGAUCGGGAAAACCAUGGAGGUGUACGUGGACGACAUGAUCACCAAGUCCAAAGUCCCGAAGGAACAUGUCAGACAUCUCGAGGAGACGUUCGAGCUUUUGAGGAAGUAUAAGAUGAAGCUCAACCCGGAGAAGUGUGCUUUCGGGGUCGAGUCCGGGAAAUUCCUGGGAUUCAUGGUGAGCCAUAGGGGGAUUGAAGCAAAUCCCGAGAAGAUCCAGGCGAUUGUGCAAAUGACGUCUCCUCGAAACCUGAAGGAGAUGCAGAGCCUCACGGGGAGGUUGGCGGCGUUGAGCAGAUUCAUAUCCAAGGCUACAGAUAAGUGUCAGCCAUUCUUUCAAGUGAUAAGGAGGGGAAAGAAAACGGAAUGGACCCCAGAAUGCGAGGAAGCCUUCCGGAACUUGAAGCAUUACUUGCAGCAAGCUCCGCUACUGUCCACACCGAGGGAUGGGGACAAGUUGAAUCUGUAUUUGGCGGUAUCUGAUCGGGCCGCCAGUUCCGUUCUGGUGAGAGAGGAAGAAGGAAUUCAGUAUCCGAUAUACUACACCAGCAAGGCCCUGCUCGACGCUGAGACCAGAUACCCAACGAUGGAGAAAUGGGCACUGGCCCUUGUGGUUGCUGCUCGGAAGUUGAGGCCGUACUUUCAAGCAUUCCCGGUCUCGGUAAUCACCAACCAGCCAUUGCGUCAAAUUCUGCACAAGCCGGAUGCCUCUGGUCGGCUCGUCAAAUGGGCUGUAGAACUGAGCGAAUUCGACUUAGACUAUAAACCCCGCGCGGCGAUAAAGGCCCAGGCAAUGGCCGAUUUCGUAGCUGAGUUCGCGGAGCCUGAAGUAUGCUUGGAUCAGCAAGAUGCAGAUAUAGGCAACGACGAAACUCAAGUAUGGCAGAUAUCGGUGGAUGGGUCAUCAGGAGAGCGGGGUUCAGGAGCAGGGAUUGUCCUGGAAGGCCCAGAGGGGGAGGAGAUCUCUUAUGCUGUAAAGUUGGAAUUUGCAGCCACAAAUAACCAGGCAGAAUAUGAAGCCUUGAUAGCAGGGCUGGAAUUGGCUAGGGCCGUGAAAGCGGACAGAGUUAAGAUCAGAACCGAUUCCCAGCUGGUUGCGAAUCAUGUCAGUGAAAGAUUCCAACCAAGAGAGGAGAAGAUGGAACAGUACCUAAGGAUAGUCAGGCAGAUGAUGGGGAAGUUCGAAGCAGUGGAGGUGAUACAAAUCCCCAGGGAGCAGAAUAGUCGAGCAGACAUUUUGGCUAGGAUGGCAGCCGUCGCCGACCCAAAAAUGCCAAAGUCGGUCCCCCUAGAAGUAAAGUCUCGCCCGAGUAUCGAGCAAAAUUUGGGGGUGUUGCGGAUAGAACAAAAAAGCUCGUGGAGGGACCCGAUAGUUUCGUACCUUAGAGACGGGGUCUUACCACCAGAUAAGCUACGGGCUCGGAAGAUUAGAGCUCAGGCCUCGAGAUACACGAUGAUCGAUGGGGUACUGUAUCGACGAGGAUAUACAUUACCGUUCCUUCGGUGUUUGGACGAUGACGACGCGGAUUACGUGCUGAGGGAAGUGCAUGAAGGAAUUUGCGGAAAUCAUUCUGGCGGGAGGUCCCUGGCCCACAAGGUCUUAAGGCAGGGAUAUUUCUGGCCGACGAUGCACCAGGAUGCGCAAAGGAAGACCAGGAGCUGUGCAAGCUGCCAGAGUUUUGCAAAUUUUUCUAACCAACCACCAGAGAAGCUCACCUCCAUGGCCUCCCCUUGGCCAUUCGCUCAAUGGGGAAUUGAUCUGAUCGGCCCAUUGCCAAAGGGACGAGGAGCAGCAACACAUGCGAUAGUCGCUAUAGAUUACUUCACGAAGUGGAUAGAGGUAGAAGCCCUUAGCAGGAUCACAGAGAAGAAAACAACAGACUUCGUGUGGAGAAACCUGGUCUGUCGAUACGGGAUCCCAUAUGCCUUGGUAACGGAUAAUGGCAGGCAGUUCGAUAAUCACAGCUUCAGGGAUUUCUGCCAGAACCUCGGGAUAGAGCUGAAGUAUUGCUCGCCUGCUCACCCCCAAUCGAAUGGACAAGUAGAAGCAGCCAACAAGACAGUCAAGAGGCUUCUGAAAACCAGGCUCGGAGCAAAAAAGGGUGCGUGGGUUGACGAGCUGUCAGGUGUGCUAUGGGCAUACAGAACAACCCACAAAACCGCAACAGGGGAGACACCGUUCGCUUUGGCUUUCGGACAUGAAGCGGUCGUGCCGGCUGAGGUAGGAACGACCACACACCGGACAGACCAUUUCAAUGAGCAGGAGAACGACGAGCAGAUAUGUUUGAAUCUUGAUCUGCUAAUGGAGAGGAGGGAACAAGCAGCCGAGCGAUCAGUCACUUACCAACAGAGGGUUGCUCGGUAUUAUAACCAGAAGGUGAACAUACGGCAAUUCAGGGUCGGAGACUGGGUACUGAGAAGAGUGAAUCAGAGCACCAAAGAUUCGACUCAAGGAGUGCUGGGACCGAAUUGGGAAGGGCCGUAUAGAGUCAAGCAGAUAGCGGGGCCCGGAGCUUACAAGCUGGUUCGCGCGGACGGCCACGAAGUGAAACGCCCAUGGAACGCAGCACACCUCCGAAAAUACUUCCAGUAAGACUUGCUCACAUUUUAAAGCAAUUUCUGCUCAUGCGGUCUAUCUUUUAUUUUUAUGUUUUAUGUCCGAACAAUUUCAUGUAAGUCAAAUCCUGCCAUUAAUGUAACGUCGACGAAUUUAUUUCGCUUAAAAAAAAAAAAAAAAAAAAAAAUCCUGAGGCAUGCAAAGGCUCGCCAAGUCUCAGAGCCUGUCUUAUGGCGAGACAGAAGCCAAGCAUGCCAGGAUCUGCUCGGCCACGAGAAGGCAGCAGAAUCCAAAUCGUUUGAAGAAAAUCCUAAGGCAUGCAAAGGCUCGCCAAGUCUCAGAGCCUGUCUUACGGCGAGACAGAAGCCAAGCAUGCCAGGAUCUGCUCGGCCACGAGAAGGCAGCAGAAUCCAAAUCGUUUGAAGAAAAUCCUGAGGCAUGCAAAGGCUCGCCAAGUCUCAGAGCCUGUCUUAUGGCGAGACAGAAGCCAAGCAUGCCAGGAUCUGCUCGGCCACGAGAAGGCAGCAGAAUCCAAAUCGUUUGAAGAAAAUCCUAAGGCAUGCAAAGGCUCGCCAAGUCUCAGAGCCUGUCUUAUGGCGAGACAGAAGCCAAGCAUGCCAGGAUCUGCUCGGCCACGAGAAGGCAGCAGAAUCCAAAUCGUUUGAAGAAAAUCCUAAGGCAUGCAAAGGCUCGCCAAGUCUCAGAGCCUGUCUUACGGCGAGACAGAAGCCAAGCAUGCCAGGAUCUGCUCGGCCACGAGAAGGCAGCAGAAUCCAAAUCGUUUGAAGAAAAUCCUAAGGCAUGCAAAGGCUCGCCAAGUCUCAGAGCCUGUCUUACGGCGAGACAGAAGCCAAGCAUGCCAGGAUCUGCUCGGCCACGAGAAGGCAGCAGAAUCCAAAUCGUUUGAAGAAAAUCCUAAGGCAUGCAAAGGCUCGCCAAGUCUCAGAGCCUGUCUUAUGGCGAGACAGAAGCCAAGCAUGCCAGGAUCUGCUCGGCCACGAGAAGGCAGCAGAAUCCAAAUCGUUUGAAGAAAAUCCUGAGGCAUGCAAAGGCUCGCCAAGUCUCAGAGCCUGUCUUAUGGCGAGACAGAAGCCAAGCAUGCCAGGAUCUGCUCGGCCACGAGAAGGCAGCAGAAUCCAAAUCGUUUGAAGAAAAUCCUAAGGCAUGCAAAGGCUCGCCAAGUCUCAGAGCCUGUCUUAGGGCCAGACAAAAGCCCAGCAUGCAAGGAUCUGCUCGCUCGCGAGAAGGCGAGCAGGCUCCAAAGCAUUUGGAAAGUUUUCUACGGCACGAAAAGGCCUCACCAAGUCUCAAAGCCUGUCUUACGGCGAGACAGAAGCGAUCAGCGUUUCAGACGAAAAUUAAUUCAUGAGUACGACACGAGAUAGUAAUCAACAACAUUUUUAUUAAUGGCUAACAGAGAGGAUAAAUUUCAUAAACGUUGUUCAUUACAAUACAAGAAGAAAUAUAUCAAAAAGAUGGUGGGUCAGUGAGCCGAGCAGCAUCGGUUGGCUGGACCUCCUCGGGUGCGGGAGGGGUAUCACCAGUUGCGUCCGGGGGGGUGCUCGCCUCGCCAACAUCAGCGGGGACUGCACGAGGAGGAGAGUUACCCUCCUCAAUCACGAUCGGCUCUAACCCCUCGGCAUCUUCCUUGGCCGCCUCCUCGUCCAUAUGUUGGGCAACACCAGCUGCAAGGUCAUCCAUCUUCAGAUCAGGGUGUUGCUUCCCGAGGACGGCCAUGAUACAACGAUACGAAUGCCGAAGUCCCUGGUCGUACUGGUUGUCGGCCUCCCUCUCCAAGUUCUCUACAUGAGCUCGGUGGGAAUCGCGGAGAGAUUCGAGCUGAGCCUCAUACAUAGCCCUCUGCCCUUGGAGGUCCUCCUUAACCUUGGUCAGCUCCUCCUCGAGUGUAAUGGCUUUUGCUUGAGCAAGGGACUCUUGCUCUAUCAGCUUGAGGUUCUCAACGUUUAGCUCCCCCGCCUUUUUCUCGGCAACGUCAGCUCUGGUCGUCGCCGAUUGAAUGUCCUCCUUCAUCUUCCUGUCGUAACGGCCAACCUUGGCCUUAUAGUAGGUGGCCAUGCAGCUGAGAUGGAAAGCACUAUACUGCAUGGCUCCCACCAGCUCGCCCAGGGUACAACCGUCAAAGCCCUCCAGGUCCUUCUUGCUCACGAGUUUAGACAACUCAUUGAGAUAGGGAACCAAGUGUUCUGGUCGGCUGUCGGGUAAGCGGGACCGAGGCACAACAGGUGGAGAAGAGGAAGCAGGAUCAGUGGCCGCUCUACUGAAUUCCCCGACUCUAGCAGAGGCAGGAGGGAGAGCCUGCAAGGGAGGAACCUGCUGCACGAUGUUCUUUCGCUUCGCAGCGGGAGCAUCUUUGUCCUGGUCCCUAUCGGUUGUUGGAGGCCGAGAGCGUUUCCUGGUCAGAGCUCCAAUCACUGCGUCCUCCAUCUUAUGGCCAGGAAGUAUCAACCGAGACUCGAGGAAGUUGUAUGUAGAUAGCAGUUCUCGGCUCGAGCAGGAAUUGGCCAAUACAGCCUCGACCCGUUUAAGCAGACCAGGUCGGAGCGGGAAGUGAACACCCCAGGAAACUACAGCACAAACAGACACUUGGUUAGAGACAAACCAAUACAGCAGGAACAAUUAUGGAUACAAGACAUCUAAAGCGAGCAGGCAACCUGGGACCGUGAAACGGGGUGGGACGCGACAAUCCUUCCCGUCUAUUUGUGCAACUUGACCCCAGGGACCCCCAGCAAAAAAGAAUUUCCUCUUCCAAGUCCCACCACCACCAGUUGGAAGAUCAGUUAUGGGUUUCCUGCUCUUGGUACCAGAUUGGAAGUAGUACCAGCCGGCAUCUUUAGGGCUGCUCUUCAGCUGGUACAGAUGCUUCACCUCAUCAACCGUGGGCUCGCUUUGGCAACAUCUGUCCCACAAUAUGAACAGACCAGAGAGCACUCUCCACCCGUUGGGGUUCAGCUGACCAGGAGCCAGAUUUAGCCCGUUAAGUAUCCGGGCAAAGUAAGGCUGCAAGGGACACCUCAGCCCAUACUUAAAGCUCUCCAGAUACAGGGUAACGUAUCCCCUGGGAGGCCGGCUAGGUGUAUCCUUUUUUCCUGGGAUCCUAAGAGGUAUCUCACCAGGAAUACUAUACCUAAGUCGGAGGUCAUUGAGCUCGUCAAACGUGGUCGUACACGACAUGUAGUCAAUGGCAUAAUCACGCGACAAGGCUCUACCCCCUACUGUACCCCGUUCUUCUGGUCGUGAUGCUCCUGAUGAGGACGCCUCACUAGAAUCAUCCCCUUGACCCUCACUCAAAGUGUUCUCCGAUCCAGAAGACCCUUCUUCAUCGCUACUGUCGCUCGAGGAGGUUGUUUGGGGAGACAUCCUCCUAGCGCUAGUACCAACACUAGACCUAAUGGGCUCUAAGGGGAUCCCGGGAUCAAAAGCAAAAUCAGCGGGCAGACUAGGCAAAAAACCUAGUUCGUCGUCACCAACCUCAACGACCUUCUCCUUACCCUUCGACAUAUCCUAAGUUCUAACCAAAACACCACCGCCAACUACAACCUCAAGCAAAGCAGAGAGAAAGGAGAUUACCUACAACUAACCGAUACCGAAAAAAAAAAAAAAAAAAAAAAAAUAGAAAAAAUACCUGAAGCAGGGACUCGGUCAGAGAGAGACAGGGAUGACAGCUUUGGCGCCGAGGUUCAUUCGCCGGAGAGACAAGAAUGGAGAAAAUGACGAGUUCGUGUUUGAAGAUUUUGGGUUUCCUUACUGAGAAGCAAACUCUUGGGCUGCCAGCAUUUAAUGACGCAUAUUCCGAGAAUCCCGUAACCGUCGGUUUGAAAUUCAAAUGGAGGGGGGGAUUUCUGCCACGUCACCUCGUCCGCAAUUAAAUGCGACAUGACUCCUGGCAGCCUUUUCCAAACCCACGCGAGCGAGUACUAUCGAGUUUCUACUGCUGGUCCACUACAUUACCCAACACCAGAAACUGGGGGACCGGUGUUUGGGAGGGAUACUGUUUGGGACAAAUGCGUCGAAGGGACCAGGAAUGACGAGCAGACAUCUGAUGGCGGAGUUCUGCGCACCGGUGUUUUCCGUUAAAGCCUGGCGCGUGGAAGAACAGGAGCAGAAACAUCCUGCUCGUCCACGAUGUUGUCGUCCGCGAGGCCAAUUCCUAUAAAAGGCAUGAGGCCAUUCCGGCUAGAGACCGAGAGGCGAGGAGACCCGGUCGACGGCAGUUGGCAAGACGCGCUUUCCAGCACGAGAACCUAGGCACAACAGCCACGCUUUCCCCAGAACCGCGACGUAACACGCAAGAUCUCACGGAGCCAUGACAGCCACACUUUCCCCAGAACCGUGGCGUAACACGCAAGGUCUCACAGAGCCGUGGCAGCCACGCUUUCCCCUGAACCGUGGCGUAACACGCUAGAUCCCAUGUUUUGCCCAUAACGCAGCAGUUGGAGUCCCAUACCGUCUCGAAAAGAGCGGAAGACUGAGAUUCAGAGGAAGCCUAUAAAAAGGUAGCCAACGAAGGUAAAAGGGUUAGCAUUUUUAAGAUAAAAGAGAAAACCACAAAAAAGCCAUAAGACCUGUGGCAAGCGUUCCCCAAACCUUCAUAUCUGACUUGAGCGUCGGAGGGUUUGCGCCGGGAGAACAACCGGCGUACUCUGACUUGUCUGUGUGUGCAGGGACAUCCGGAGAAGAAGCAUUACUAGGAGACCUCCUGGUCGUGGUAGAGUUGAUCGAGCAGGGAUCCUGGUCGUAGAACGAGGAGAACCGGAAUCUCGCAUCAACAUUUGGUAAUUAUUAAUUAAGUUUAGAAAAAAUAAUUGAUACACCCAAAACAUUUAUGGAAAGGAGGAAUACAAAACUCCCUAAUAUUGAAAAAAAAAUUUAAAUCCUAAUUUAUUAAAAGAUUCUGUCAAUUUUAACAAAAAAAAUUAUUUUCAAUUAUAAUUACUAUUAUCCCCCUCUAACAUACAAGUUAAUAUAUUGACUUACUCAUUUUUCUUAUAAAAUUAUUAAUAAAUAAAAUUUUGCUCUAGAAAUUCAAUUUAAUAUCUUAUUUUUCCUAAUUGCUCAUCUUGACAUUCUAAAAGCAAGCCAUAUUCUCUAUCAUCUUAAUCAUAUUUAAGAAAGAAUUUCAUCUUCUUCUUAACUAUUUCACAAUCCAAUUCUUCACUACCUUCAAUGUCUCCAACAUCCACUUUAUCGUCAUCCCAAUUUGAUCCACUUUUGUCAUCAACAGGUGCUGUGUCUACAUUGUCAUCAUUUGACCGAUAUGCUUCAUCGUCAUCAUCAACAUUUUGGCAUAGUCUAGAACGAGCAGUGGCUUAAGGGCACGAGCAACGAGUCUGCGUGCAAUAGGUUAGGGAAUUCUAUUAGGGGCUUGUGAUUUUUUGAUAGAAGAGGAGAGUUUUUCAAUUAGGAAUCGAUUGAAUUUUGUAAUUUUAGGUUUGUGAUUUUUGGAGGAGGAUUUUUUUGGGUUAAUUCACUAGUUAUUAGUAAGGGAAUGUAAUAUGUUAACCUUUUAAUUAUUUGAACAAACUGAAUCCAUUAUCAAAUUGGGGUUUAAAUGUUAUUUUUAAAACAUUAAAGAGUUUUAUAUCCUCUCCCUAAAUAUUUAGGGUGUAUCGGUCAUUUUCCCAUUAAAAGUCCAUUUAAGAUUGCUUUUAGAAGGUUAAAAAGUAAUUUUAAAAAUCUAAAAAUUAAUUUUAGUGUUUAGUAAAAAAAAAUCAAAAUCACUUUUGUUAAAAAUCAAUAUCUCUUUUAGCUUAUUUUGAAAAGGAGGGAAUGAAUAGCUUUUAGAUUCUUAUUUUAAGAAUUAAUUUUAUCUUUUAAUACAAUUCCAUAAAUAUCCUUAAAAUUAUUAUCUAAACCCAAAAUUAUCCUUAUUCAAAUUGGAAACAAAAUCAAUAUUUUAAUUAAUUUGUAUUAUAAUUCAUCAAUAUAAAUUUAUUAAUAUCAAUUUGUUGGUCAAUUAUUAUUAAAUUUGUUUCAUUAUAUUAUAAAUUUAAUUAUCAAUUGUUUAAGACGGAAAAAAAUAUAAAAUCAAUAUAUUAUAAAUUUUAUUUUUAGUUAAAAUUAUUAUAAUACACAAUUAAAUAUAUUGUAUGUAAAUGUUUUUAUAUGUAUAAGUAAAUUUUAUCCUAUAUUAUGUACAUUUUAGUCAUUUGCUUAUCUCAGCAGUUUAACAAUAAAAUUCACUAAACGUCCAUAAACUGCUUUCAAAACUCACAGUACUUCUGAAAAUAAAAUUUACUAAACGCUUAACUGAUUCUCUUCAUUCCUGAUCAUUUUUAAUUAGUUUAAAAAUUACAGCAUUCACAAACUGGCCCUAAGUUAUUUAUCUUCUUCUAUUCCACUUUUACAUGUAGGACUUAUGGGUUUGUAUGGAAUUGAUUUUUUUUAAAAAUAUUUAACAGUAUAUAUAAUUCGUUAUAGAUUCAUAUGUUGGGACCACACUAUCACUAACUGAUCGAAACAAUUUAAAAUUGUUUUUAUUCUAAGUAUCACUGUAAUUGUAACAUCAGUUUUUCUAUAAAAAAAAAAAAAAAAUUAUGUACGAAUUUGUAUUCCUAUAAUUUUAAUCCAAUGUCCCAUUUACGUGAGGUUUUAAGAGGCCAUGUAAAUUACAAUGAGGGGGUGAGAAGAGAAAAUGGUAGAUCAGAGAGAUGGAAUAUGCUACAAGAUGCGAAAUCCUGUACGAUAAGGUUAUCAAAUAUUUAAUGGGGCAUUAAAAAAAUAUUUAAUCGAGCUAAUAGAAAAAGCUUGGUUAUCCCAAAAUAAUAUGAAAAAUGAAAAAAAAAAAAAAGAGGGCUUCGAGUUCUAAUUUAGCCAUGGGAAGUAAGUGGACGAAAAGGAAUUGGAACAAUCGAAUGAUCUAGUCAGAAUCGUCUUAGAAUCCGACGGAAUUGAUGUUACGUUCUUUUGGGCUUUGGAUAGUUUUCCAUAUUGGAUAAGAUUUACACAAAGUAGAAUUGAUAAGCAGGCACCUCACACUUCAAACUUUUUGUUUAAAAAGAAAAAAAAAAUCAGAGCACAUGAAAAAUGUUUAAAUUUAGGAUAUACUUGGUAUUGUAGUUGGAAAACUAUAUUUUAAUAACUAUAAUAUUAAAGUACUUAAUAAAUACUCGAUGUUAUGAUUCGUAAGCGAAGUUGAUUUUAUCUCACUUUUAUGUGAUCAAAAUUUCGUAUUAUCUUUACAUUUUUUAAAAAAUUAUUAUUUAAAAGUUAACUACACUUUUUUUAUUUUUUUAUUUUAUAGUUAUAUUGUAGGCAAUAAUUUGAAUUGACAUAUGGGGAUUGAUAUUUGCCUUAUAUAUAAUUCGCGUCAAAUUUGGAUCCACGUAAAUAUUUCAUUUGUAUAUAUUAAUUGUAUAAAAAAUAUUUUGAUUAUUGAUCAGACAAAUUAUCGAACGUAUUAUGUUUUAAAAAUAUUUUCUAAAACUUCCCCCUACGUAAAGAAUAUUUCGAUCGCAAAACGUCAGAAUAUGCGUAGUAAUGUUGCUUGCACGGAAAGUUUAGCAAGUAUUUAUUUUAUGUGGGGUUGGUAAUCAAUUGAAACGGGACGAGACACACAAGUGACAAGAAUCUAGCUGUAAUGUUGACUGUGUAAAUGAAAGCUUGUAUGGGACUCCGGACACAGCACAGCUGGCAAAUUAUAAAAUGCCAACUGGGAUUUUGACCCUUUACAAAAUUGGGUGCGAAAAAGGUUGGCCACAGAUUCUUCUCCCUCGGCUUUAUUCUUCACCCAUUUGUUAUAAAAGUUCCCCAGCUUUAAAAUGUGUUUGGUAAUCAAUUAAUUUAAAGACAUGGACAAUGAGGCCAAGAAAGAGGAAAGAUGAUUUACAGUACCUGAGCUGCAAUCAGCAGGUAUUGUUAUUAAACGAGCUGAUAUAAUUAAUCAGUGUAUCAUUUCAGUAGUUGCAUUCAAUUUCAUUAUGCAAGAUCCCAGAUUGCCAAUGGAAUCACGCUGCGGCACAGGGAGAGAUCCUUUUGAUAGUAACAGAUUAAUGUACCUAAGCAAUUCAUGCUCUGUGUGAUAUCUAUGAAAUAUUAAAAAGCAAUAGAAGGUUCUGUUUAGAACUCAAACAAUGUAAUUAAUAUAGCGAAGAUCAUUGCAAAAAAAAAUGUAGAAGCACGGAUUUGCCACCAGCAAAAACUUUGAAAAGCUUUUCAAUAUCCGCCAAGGUGGUUUUGUUUCAUCAAAGGAAGCAGUGGCCUAAGAGACAAAAAAACUCCCUCAAUCUGAUGACAGCAGAAAGUCAUACAUUACUCAACCAAUCAACAAAAAAUAUGGAAGACAAACUCACAGUGUUGGAAUAUCUACAACCCAAAGAUUCAUUUCACUCUUGUAAGGAGCGUUGGCAAUGGCAUGUGCAUCUGCACACUUCACCUUCACAGUGUCAAUGAAGGGAAGCCCUCAGCUUUUUCAACCCAAGUGCCGGCUAGUCCAUGGAUUCAUUGAGCAAUAGUUUUAAGGCCUCCAGGUCCGUGUUUCCGAGUAAUGGACUAAUGACUACAAAGAAAAGUUUUAUUCAAGCAAAGCAAAGUCAGUUCGUUGGGCAUGUUUUGUGGCGCAGAAAAUAUGAAUGCACAUGUUUGUGACAAAAUCCUUGAGCUGGAUAAGGUUCUGCAGUCUCAAAACUGUCCAUAAAUUAGAGAACAGUUUCCAGUCUCUCCACAGUUUUCCAAUCUCUACGCAGGCAGUCCUCUAAAGUAAAACAGAAAUACGACAGGAAUAACAAUAAUCUCUUACUCGAGGAGUGCAGAUGUUGCUGGUAGCCUUGUCCUUGCGGAUAUGCCUCUCCGUAGUCUGCAUUGCCAUUCCCAGAGCAGAUUUCCCUGAAGAAUCAAUACUAGUUUCAGGUAAGUUUCCUUUGAAGUGGAUAGCCGAAUGCCAAGUAUGGUAAUAAUCUAUCUUCCGAGCAUACAAUAGCCAGAGGCAUUAAUUUACCUACAAAAAUAUAGCCGUCUCUACCCACGAUUCCUGCAUCACAAUUCCGUUUUUGUCCAAACAGCAGAGUAACCGGGCUUCUAGAUGUGUUAUUUCACUAGCGAUCCUUUCGGGACCUUGACUUGUCAAACGUCAAUAAUCCUCUCUGGCAUCAUCCUCUUAUACUCUUGAGAGGUAGCCGAAAAUGCUGCAUGAGGACUCCAUACCCCAUUGGCACACCAAACCUCUAAGCAAAGCCCACCACAAAUGUAAUCCCCCCCGUCGUCCGGAGGCUUCAGCAUUGCCAACACCAACAAAUCCGAUGCUAUAACAACCUUAAUCCCAUUCGCACAAGCAUUCUUAAUGAACUCCCCAUAAUCCAAAACUUACCCGGAUACUGGACCAAAACUCUACAUACAUCACCCGACUUGUAAUCAAUAUCUUUAAGAUCCGAAAAAACAAGUUUAUGAUCAAAACCAUCAGCUCUAGUAACACAAAUGUCAAUUGUUUGAGGGUGGCAAUUGCUAGCAAUAAUAAAAGUCUUCUUCCUUCCCUUCUGUAUGCUAUUGCUCAUAGCCAUUGCCUCAGCAGUAGCAAUUCCCUCAUCGAGCAACGAGGCACUUGACCUAGGCAAUCCAGUAAGAUCCGUAAUAAUGGUCUAGAAAUUAAGCAGAGACUCAAGUCUUCCUUGAGAAAUCUCAGCCUGGUAUAUGAUAUACUAAGUGUACCAACCCCAUACCAAUAAAUGACUUAUAAACCUGAUGAGCGUAAUUUAUUGAUAUCUUUCCCCUCUAAUCAUAUAUUAAUUAGUCUUUUGUCAUUAUAUUUUUAAUUAAUUUAUUUAUUUUUAUUGAACAGGAAAAUUAACUGGGCAUUGAAAAAUAAAUAAAGCUUAAAGGAUUAAAUUGGAAGAGAAAUAAAAGAUUAUCGCACGAGUGGGCUUCGGAUAUUAAGGGCCAAAAAUUAAGAGGACAAAGAAUUAAUUUGUUAGAAUUUAAUCCAAAUUGAAAUGGGAUCCAUCAAACUCACUGAGAAUUGAAGCAAUACUGCCAUUAUAGUUGGCACGUGCAUGGCACUAAAAUGGAAUGAAAAUCCUAAUCUGAUUCUAAGAGGAGGUGGCAGCACAAUCAUGUAUAAGCAUCAUCACGCCCAAUAAGAGAAGAGGAGGAGGAGAAUCGGAAGACAGAGAGAAGAAUUAGAGCGGCAGCCGCAUGAUGGGUUCAAUAAAUUCUACUGUCAUCAAUCUCUUUAUGUCUUUUUAAUUUUUUAUACUGGAGUCCCGUUCAAUAAAAAUUACCUUUUAACUCAAUUAAUUUCCUACAUUUAUGGUUAUUAUUUCACAUAUUUAGUUGAAUAGUAUUAUGUUGAGUUUAUUUAUUGGAGUGAGAGUGAAGAGUGUGAAUUCAUUCUAUUAUAAUGUUUAUUUGCUUAAUUAAAUAGAUGAGUGAGAGUCUCAUUCUGUGGGUACCACUUAAUUUUGAAGUGUGCAGUGACAUUCCCACUCUUAGGAGAGCCCACUCCUACUUUUCCUUUUUUUAUCAUUCCUUUAUUAAAUAUAGUAUAAUUAUAUUUAUUUAAAUAAAAUAAUGUUACAUUUACUUAAAAAUUAUAAUAUUAUAUAUAUAUAUAUAUAUAUAUAUAUAUAUAUAAGUAUACUAUUAUAAUACUAUUUAAUAAUAUUACAUUUAUUAAAAAUAAUAAUAUUUAACUUGUUUGAAUAUAAUAAGAUUAUAUUUAUAAAGAAUUAAUAAUAUUACUAUAUUUUUAUUUAAUUUUAAUAGUAUUAUAUUUAUUUAAUCCUAAUAAUUAAUGAUAAUAAAUAGUGUAUUCUAAGAAAAAAUAAUUUAUUUUACAAAUAUAUUUUUUAAUUCACUUUGUACCUAAAUGCUAUAAUUCUUUAAAUAAGGGGUAAAAUUAAGACAAAGUAAGCACAUAAAUGAGGUUCUAAUUUAUAUUCCACACUUUUCAUUUCACUGUAAGUAAACAACUUACUCCCACUCUCACUCCGCACUAUCAAUCCUAGGAUUCUGACUCUUCAUGAUUCUCAAUUCAAUCCAAGAAGUAAAUGCUACCUUAAUGUUUUUCACAAAUUCUAUCAUACAUUAUUGAUUGUUGGAAUUAAUAUUUAACUAAACAUAUGCUUGGAUCCAUAAAGUUUAUAAGUGAUUAUCUUUGAUUAUGUGUCUUUCAUUAAAUUAUUUACACAGAGUGCUUAUGAAAGCUUUAAUUGUUUAUUAUUCAAUAUUAUUUAUAUGGUAUGCUUAAAUAUCAUACUAUAAAGCAAAAAAAAAAAAAAACCUAUGUAAGAUUAAUUUUUAUUAGGCUUAAUUGUUAUAUUCAUGAGUAGAUAUACAUUGACCAAACAAUACUACAAUUUAUAAAAGAAGCUUAUAAGAUUAAAUAAAUACUUUUAACCAUUAGAUGAGGCAUACCAAAUAUGUAUUAAUUCUUAAAAUCGAUAAACUGAUGGAUAAGGUGAAGAAUAGGGUGGGGAGGCUGAACCAUAUCUUACGAUUCUUAACUAAUACAUGAAUUAAAUUUAAAAGUUAUGGCUCAUUUGGAAAUUAAAUGUAGAAGAAUUAAUGGGCAGAGUAGACACAUCGUUCCAAGUUCGUGAGGGUAGAAAAUCAAAUCACAAGGAUUCUUAUCCUUCCAAUAUGUCAAUCUCAUCUGUCAUUUAAUAUACCCUUAAGCAAUGCUAAAGUGGCCAAUAGGAAUGCAGAAUUCUCAUUCGGGUCAGUAGUCUCCCAAUAGGAAAAGUGACCCAACCCAAUAAACUAAAAGAAGUAGAGUUAAGUUUGGUCCGUUUGGAAAAGAGAAAGGAAUUAGGUCUCUAUCCUGAUUUUAAUUCAGGUCAAGGAAUUGGACUGUACUUAAAUAUCUGUAUCAAUUGGGACACAUGAUUUUAUUAAAUAAUAAUUAUUGUUUAUUUUUAAUUGAAAAAAAUAAAAAAAUUAAAAACCCACCGCCUCACUUAUACAUUUUAAUCGCAUUAUAGUAUGUGUUUUAUUUGUUUUUGUUAUUGACUUUUUUCUUUUAAAACUAACGUUCAAGGAAUUUGGGUUCAACCAGACUAAAUUAAGAACUGAGUCAAAAGUGGAAAAGAUAUCCAGCAUUGGGUAUGGAAACAAAAUGUUGAUCCCCAAACUCGACUUACUGCCAACCCCUAGUGGAUAGUUGGGAGGGAACUCUUAGUUAACUGUACUUAUGUUUUUAUUUCCAAAAAUGAUAUGCAAUCUCCGCAUUGUUUUUUAUUAAUUCCUCUCCAUUUAAGAAAAAAAAUGUGGGUUUACCUACUGAACUAGGUGGCCACAGUUUUAAACCCACAAUUUUUUCCCUUUUUUAUUAGUUGGUAAAAUCUCUAAUAUAAAAAUAAGAGAUUUGUAAUUUGAAUCCUUCUCACAGGGAUAGAAAGAAAUUGAUUUGCUCUAAGACUACAACUAAAAAAAAAAAAUUACUAAAUGAAUCUUUUUUUCAAUGAUUGUCGUUUGCAUUCAAAAUUAUAAUAUAAAAAUAUCCAAUUUUAUUUUAUCUAAUGACCCGAUCAAUUAAGUCAUGUUUUUUAUCCCCCAAAAAGCCGAAAAAAAUGUUGUGCUAAAUUCACACUGAAUGUUUAAUGAAUAGACCCACAAUAGAGAGUUGGAUAGAGACCAUCUUGAAUGACCCACUUCAUAAUUCAAGGCAACCCACAGGUAAAGGGCUUGAGUUGAGCUAUUAGCACCCUCCUAUUAUCCUUUUGAAACCCCACUUUCAUAUUUACAAAUUUAUCCUCUAGUUAAAUUACAAUAAAAGACGAGUGUAAUUCAGUUAAAUCCAAAUGUAUAAUUUAAAAGAACUCUUCACUACACCCACGUUGUUAAGAAUUCUCUCACAAACCAUUUUUUUUCCAUUCUAGGAUAUUAAUUUUCAUUUCUGUAAAUUUUCUCGCAAUUACUUAAUCAUUUCUGCGCCGAUGACCACUAAGAAAUAACUAAAUUCUAAAAUCAUUAAUUUUCUUUUCGCCAGUCAAAUUUUUUUUUUUAUACGCAACUUAUUUUUGUAUUCUAUUUUGUUGUCGUGUUGUUUUUUUUUUUAUGGUUGAUUUCUUGACGAAUAUAGAUCCGACAAGGAGAUGCUUGUCUCGAUUAGAGAAUGAUGAAUAAAGGAAGUGAUUAUAUUGGCAUGGAGGUUGAGCAACAGGAUGAAGGACUUCGGAAUUGUGCAGUAAGAAAAAUAAGAGAGAAAUUAGGAAGACUUUUGUUUUGGAUUUUAACGGUUCAAUGGGGAACAAAAUUCAUAAAGUUACUUGUGAAAAAUGUGCUUUAAGAAGUUGUUGAGAGGUGUUAAUAUCACCACAAGAAAAUUGAGAGAAUGGGUGUAUGAAAAAUAAGUUUCAUUAAGGUUAUUUUUGUCAGCAACGAAGGUGUUAAAAGCAUUUUCAAAGGUAAGGCUAUUUUAACAUAUUAAAACACUUUUUAAACUCGUUUACUCUUUAAACUAAUCACUGAAAUUUAAAAAUUAAAAUUUUACUCUAUAUACCCACCUAAAUAUUAAAUAUAUCUUUAACAACCAAAUUCUAUCCUAAUGUAAUUACUAUACAAAACAUCGUUAACCUGGAUUUUUCAAUUUACUUAAUAAAAACAUGAAAAUAAAGUCUAGUCUAAAUCAAUCAAACAAAAUUUAAGUUUUAGAGCUUUCCGGCCAAAAAAGUAUGCGCAAUUUAUUAUUAAUUAAUGAAAUCAAGCAUUUGGGAUUGAAUUAAUUUAAACAAAUCAAAUAAAAAAUUGUGAAAGGUAAAUUUCUCUCUCUAGCCCUCUUUUUCAGAGUUAUCUCUAUAACUUAGAUUAAUUACAUGGGAUCAAGAUCCAUUAUUACCUUUUGAAGGCUUGAAACCAUUGCUUUGAGUUAGCCACACAACUUGAAUUUCCUUAUUCUUAAAAGUUGACUUUUGCCCAACUAGAAAAUCAAAGACAAGAGGUUACAAUAACUUCAAAAUCUCAAUCCAAGAAUUGGAUUUAUUUAAUUUAAUUGUAUAGUUUAAUCAUUUGUAGAGACAUUCAUAAAUUAAAAAAAAGGAGAAAUCCGUAUAAGUCUAGAAUUUAAGGGAUAAAGAUGGAUGAUGAAGUAAAAAAGAGUUUAGAGAUGGAUGUAUAGAGUAAAUUAUUUCAUUUAAUUGCAUAAUUUUAUCCUUAAUAGUAAAUUCAUUAACGAAUAUUUUGAAAAUAAAUAUUUUCCUGUAAAGAUGGGUUUGAAGAAUAUUUUGGUCAGUUCAAAUAGUCCUAUUUAUUUUUUAUUGUUCUAAAAUUUUUUAAUAAGAUAUUUAUAAAAAGAAUUUUAUGAAAUUUUUAGUGGUUGCCAAUAGUCUUAUUCAAAAGGUUUUCAGCCUCGCGAAAGGCCACCAACAAAAAUGGAAGAAAAACUGAAACCCAAUUGAUCGAUCAUAUUUGUCUUUUCUAUAUGUGCAAUAUGGGCGUGUUUUGUAUUGUUUUCCAGCUGUGGUUCUACGUUUUCCAAAGUAGACCAAAAAAAAAAAACAUGUUUGGUGGGGGCGUGGGGCUGUUGAAAAUCCAGAAAAUGAAUAUAUAUAUUCUCAUUCUCUUAAUUUUGUGAGAGAAAAUAAGAAUAGAAGGGGAAAGUUCGAAAAAAAAAGAGGGACUGUGUCAUUAAAUUGGUACUUCGAGUCAACCCCAAUUGAUAAAUGGGUAAUUUUUAAAAACCUCUCUUGAGGUUUGUGCUUGUUGUAAAUAGAUGGCGAGAAUUUAUUUAUUUGUAAAAAACUCCCUACCGUCAGUUAACUUUAACAUUGACUGUUAGUUGACUGUGCAAAGACAAUAUUACCCUUAACAACAAUUUGUAGACGGAAAUAACUAAAAAAAAAUUAAAAUUAUUAGCACGAAAAGCACAAACCCUAUUUUUUGACAAUUUUAUCCUUGUCAAUUCUAAAGAUUUACAAUAUCAUAGGUAAAGAUUAUAACUAUUUCAUUUUCAAGUUUUUAAUUUUAUCUUUUUUGUAGAACCUUUAAGAAAAUAUCAAUAAUUUAAAGAUGAUUUUUAAAAUUUUUAAUUUUAUCUUUCUUGUAAAAACUUUAAGAAAAUAUCAAUAAUUUAAAAAGGGUAAAAUAGUCAAUAAUUUUAAUUUUUUUUAGUUAUUUCCGUUUACAAAUUAUUGUUAAGGGUAAUAUUGUCUUUGCAUAGUCAACUAACGGUCAAUGUUAAAGUUAACUAACGGUAGGGUUUUUUUAUAAAUAAAUAAAUUAUCGCCAUCUACUUGCAACAAGCCCAAAUUUCAGGGGAUGUUUUUAAAAAUUACCCAGAAGAGAAAUAGCCAAAGUCAUGGGUGAGAUUGACGGGAAGACCAUCAAUUUUUUUCAAAAUUAUUCCCGAAAGAGUGAUAAUUAAUCUUUGAUUUUAUGUGUUUGACCAUCGAUAAUUUCUCAGCUUUUGACCUUUUUUCCCUCCUCAUGAAUCCGUCAUCGUCUUCGUUAACCCAACCGGCUCAAAUGGUAGCACAUUUCUACUGUGUAUAUCGUGUUUAAAACCGUAGUCUCCAGAUUACAUAAGUUGAAAUCCAACGACCAUUUCAAAUGGGGAGAAUAAAAGGGGGUACCUUACCAUAGGGAUAAAGCCAGCUGAACCCAUAUGUCCUAUGGUAAUUAAUAAUAUUAUUUAUUACUAAUUUCAUUUGUAAUUUAUUUUAAUCAGAUUCGCAAUGAUAAUAAGAUUAUUAAAAAAAAAAAACAGAGUACUAAUUGUAUCGAACAAUGAAAUUUAAAACACAACAUAUUGUAAAAAAAUUUCACCCAAAACACUUUCAUUAUUUUCGUAUUUUGGAUAAAUUACCGAAUAUGUUUUUUUUUACAGUUUUCAUUUAUAUACUAUUUUAAAAACAAAUUACUAAAUCCCCUUCACCUUUGAAAACAUCACAUUAAGAACAUUAUUAUGGCUUUUAUUAUGUUACAUAAACAUGUAACAUACAUGAUUAUGUAGCAGCCGUUGGAUGAAAAUUCAACGGUUGUGAAAAUAAUAUGAUUUUAUUAUCUUAUAUUUCCAUAGGAUUUUUAUUCAAUGGCUGCUACAUCAUACAUGAUUAUGUAAUAUAACAAUUUUAUAUUAUUAUUCUUCUCCAAAACAUCACAUCAAAUAUAAAAACACUAGUUAAAAAAUAAUUAUAAUUCCAAAUGCACCCUAAAAGUUUUGUAAUUUGCCGUAUUAAUUUGAGUAUCCGACACUAACGAUGGACACGACAUGACCCAUCAAAUGUUGGCCCACACGGGCUCAUGGGUCGGCAAUUUGGUGGGCUGGGUCGUGCCGUGCCCACCUUUUUUUAAGGGCCCAACAUGGCCCACGACACGGGCCCGCUCGUGCCGUACCCAAAAAAAGCCUACCAACUUUUUUUCCCCUUUAAAUUCACAUGUCCAAUGUGCCUUAAACAAGCCCACGUGUCUGACGUGCUUUAUUUAAGCCUACAUGUCUAACGUGCUUUUUAAGCCCAUCAGUUUAAUAAUAAUAAUAAUAAUAAUAAUAAUAAUAAUUAUUAUUAUUAGUAUUAUUAUUAUUUCAUAGAUCAUAGUAAUAAUUAAUGAAGAAACAAAAUUACAAGUCAUAGAAUAACAAUUACACCUAAUUUUAUUUGAACAACUAAUAUUAUAUUUUUUAAUUUAUCAUAAAAAUAUUUCAUUCAUAAUUUUUUUUUGUGUAUAAAUAUGAAAAAUAUUCACUCACAAAUGAAACAUAUCUCCAUUAACUAUUGACUAAUUUAUGACUUCAUAAAUGAAAUAUUGAUGUCGUAAAAUUUUUAAUUUAUCAUUUAUAAAAUCAUGGUAUUUAUAAUUUUAUUUAUUAAAAUCAUGAUAUGUAUUUGUUCAUUUAAUAAAUUAUAAACAUAAAAAAUUAGAAUAUUUAUUUAAACUAGGACUUAAAUUAAUUUUUAAAAUCUUGUGCUAAAAAAAAUAUUAAAAAUUUUAAUUUAAAAAUAAUUGUAAAAUCAUAACAUUUUAUAUUUAUUUUUCACUUUUUUUUUUAAUUUUUAUAUACUUUGGCUCAUGUCCAUUGAUGGCCCACGGGCUGCGUGUUAGCCUACCAACGAAACGUGUUUAUUAUGUGUUUUUUGACGUGCCGAAUUUUGUCUCAUCUCUAAUUGUGCCAUGCUUUUAAGGGUCACGUGCCUAAAAUUAUUGGUCCGGCACGGCUCACGUGCGUGUCGUGCCGUGCUGCGUGCCUUACCAAAAUAUAUUUGUGUCGUGCCGUGUUGUACGGAUACAUAUCGUGCCAGGUGCCGCUCGGCCCAUUGGCCAUCUUUAUCCGACAUCGAUCAGUUAAUUAAGGUUGUGUACAGGUGUGUGUGUGUGUGAAAGGUCUAGGCACAUGAGAUCUGAUGAGGCCUCUGGCCUACAAAGACGAGCAAAUCAUUAUAAAAUGACAAUGUCCAUACGAAGAUAUGAAUAAGCGUUAUAAUCUCGUGACUUUAAUUCAGUCCAUGCAAUCCGCAUCGUGAAUAAAGGGGUGACUCUUGGACCUAACACGUGGCAUGUUUCUUCAUCUUGGAAAUUGGUGAUAUCUUAUCUUCGACGGCUCCAAAGCAACGGAACAUUGUGAUUCACUUAAAUAUUCACGUUUUUUUUUAGGCGAUUCGAUUUCAAUUUCAUAUACUCUUUAGGAUAAUAUGAUUUUCUGGACCUUGUGAACUAUAUAAUUUAGAUAUUUAGAUAAUUCAAUUGUACAUCGUGAGCGAUUUCUCUUUUUCACAUAUCAAUUCAAUUGUAUGGCGUUAGGAUAACACAAUGGAGAUUUGAUUAGAACUCCAAAAUACAUCCAAUAAACGAAAUGGGUUUGAAUAAUUUUACACAACAAUCUUACUUUUGACAAAAUAUUGAGUUACUUUCACAACACCUCUUCCACUUCCACAUACACGAAAGCCAAUCAAUAGCCCUAUAUAUAAUUAAGUCAUAUAAACUAUUUGGGGCUCCACGAAGUGUUUUAUUUCUCUGUUAAUAUGCAGUAAAAUCUCAAUGAAUACUAAAGUUUGGAGACUCUAAAUCUAAACAAUUUAGUAAUUGUGGAAAAUAUUAUAUAAUUAAUUAAAAGAUUAAUAAUUUAUUAGUUUAUGAAGAUAUUUUUUAUUUUCAAAAAUAUAUGAUCACAUUUAUAGUAUUGAUUUGUCUUGAUUUUAUAUUUAUUAUGUUUUAUUUGAAUAUUAAUUAAUUGUCUUACAUUGAUUGUAAUAAGAUUAUUAUAGACCUUUUAUUUUUUCAUGAUAAGAGUUAUAGUUGUACUAUAUAUGGAAUCCGUCUUGCGCAAAGAAACACUCAAAGUGAUAUUAACAUUGAAUAAUUUCCAUUGCAAAAUGACGAUACCAAUUGAUUUUUUUUUUUUUUGCGUUAAAAAAAAUAGAGAUGAGAUUCAAGUCAAAUUAAAUCCAAAAAGAAUCUAAUAGUUUUAAGAGCACAUCUCACAAAAACCACGUAUGCAUAUAUUAUAUGAUUUAAUUUUAUAUUAGGGUGAUUAUUAAUUUAUAUAUUACGUGUCUCCUGUGGAAUCACAUGGAUUUUUAAAAAUAUUAAUUUAUAGAUUUUAUUGAAUUAUUAACACGUUGGCCCUAAGUCGGAAAUAACAAAAAUUAUUAUUUAAUUGAGAUUUUUAAUUUAUUGACCAUUAAUUUUUUAAGAUUGUACUGUAAUUAGUUGGUCUUUUUUCAAUGCAAAAUAAAUUGACAAAUCAUAUAAAUGAAGUGACAUAUGGCUUACCACAAUUUCUUUCUUAAUUAAUUUAUCAAGGAUAUGAUAAAAGCAAAAUGAAAAGAUGAUCAGCGCUAAGGCCUAAUUUAUACAAAAUGUUUAAUGCUUUGAUAACAUAAAAAGUAAGUAAUCAUCAUCGUAAAUUAGGGAUUCAUCUUCCAAAUAUAUAUGCAUGUUAUAUUGGCAAUGAUUUUGCCAUAUAUAAAUGUCAUUAUGGAUAUUAGCCAAAUAUAUCUUGAUUAAGAAAGAAUCUUUGAUGUGCAUUCUUAUCACACAUUUCAUAUUUAUUAUCCAUGAAAGUAUGCACUACGCUAUAAAUGUAUGAAUCCAGAUUUUUAUUAAAGUUGACACUGUUAAAUUUUUUUGUGAAUUUGAGAGUUCACGAUGUUGUAAACCACUAAAUUUACACACUAAUUCGUGCGGAUAUCUGCAGGAGGGAAGGACUGUCCAUGUAAAUAUCUGUUGUGAUGCGUACAUUGUUUCCAUGUAUGGUUGAAUUUUCAUUUUAUGAUUUCCAGUAUGAGAAGAGAAUUUUGGUCGGAUAAAGAACAGAACGAGGAAAAAGAAAAAGAAGACAUCAAAAGUUCAAAGCUGCAACGUAAUCAAUAGAAGCUGAAUAUGAACAUUUCUACACAAGUACAUGCAGAACAUCUCAGAUAGCAAGCCAACAAUAUUAAUCUUAGUCAGCUUCUAGAGCCAUGUCACUUUAUUGACGAUAUUAGUUAUUUUUAUUUAUUAUAAUUUUUUAUGUGACAUGGUUUUUCAAGGACGGUUUAGAAUUAUAUUGGCAUCGCCAGGUUUUGCUCCUCCAGAGAAGAAGAAGGCAAUGGGAACGUUGUGAAGGUCCAAUCAAGCACCUGAUGGCUUUCUGAAAAGUCGGGCCCUGUGGAUGCUGUGAAGCCAACAUAGACUGAGCUUGGAAUUGUUUCUGACAAGAGGAUAGGUCUUUCAAUAAGCUUCUGAAGUGGGUUCCCCGCAUAUGCCACAUAAACAUAGAGUAUUUUCGUCCAUCCAUCGUAAUAAAUGUGAACCUGGAUCGGUCUUCCACUUUUGAGAUCAAUACCAGAGCUGUCGAGACUCUUGGCUGGAUUCGAUGUUAAGUUUGCUAUGUCAAUGCCCAUAUGGUUAGCAUCUGGAUCAGACCAGUAGUCGUUCUUGUAAGUGUCCAGCUCCACGGCUAAUUGCGAAACACCGUUACCUACACACAAUUUGUAAACAUAAUUAGUGUGUGUGUGUGUAAAAGAAAUGAUAUAUCAAGUGGCGAUCUGAUCUAGGAUUUUGAUUUGAUUAAAGUCGGAGAUAACAAGAGAAUUUAUAAUUAAAAGUAUGUUAAUGCCGCUGUUGGCAACUUGUCCUAGAAUUUAAUCCUGAAUUAUGAGUCUCAAUUGGAAAAUUUUGCUUGAUGUAUUCAUCAUUUUGUUUAUUAUUUGACUGCUAUUAUAUAUAACAUGCGCCCAUGCAUGCAUGUGUCAGUACUCAGUCCAAGAUUUCCGCCGGCGGAGUUUUCAGUUGGAGGGCUGGUAUCGGUUGCAAAAACAAACGUCAUGCCAUCUGCAGAAUCCGUUGUAUUUGGGUAGGGUGAGAUCCUAAUGGUGAAGGUGGUACUAAUCAUAGCUGGCCAUGCAGUCACAGGCUGGCUGUAUAAAACCCGUCCAACCUUUUUUAGCGGCAGCUGAUCUGGCGAUUCUGGUGAAGGGUCUGAUGUGAGGCUCAAGUAGCCAUAACUUGGAGUCACUGCGCCCAUGCAAAUUAGGCUGCCAUCGCUACAACUUUUUGGGUUGAAUGAGGAAAAUGAGAAGCUAACAGGUGGAUCCACAGGGAUUGAUGAAGAAGCACUGGGAAGAAAAAUUGAAAGGAGUAGUAGGAAAAUCAUUUUGUUUGGGACGAAAAUUUGAGGGCUACUUCUCGAAUGGCAUUGCUCAACAUCACAUGUACUUAUAUAGCAUUUAUUUUACUUUAUGGAUAAAAGUUUUCCCCUAAUCUCAUCUUUUAUUUGAGUAAAUAUAUUUGUAUGAUUUAUAAUUGGUAAUAGAAAAUAUAACAAUUAAGUAAAUCUUAUUCAUGUAUUAAAUAUAUAUAUAUAUAUAAAUUUAAAACAUAUAUAAAAAUAUCUUUAUCUAUUAAGUUGUGCUUUUUUCCCAAAAAAAAAAAAGUUGUGCCGAAUUCACGUUCGCAUAUAUUUUAUUUGAGUUUUUUCCUAAUCUAAUAUGAUAUUUUAUUUGAGUAAAUAUAUUUGUAAGAUUAAUAAUUAGUAAAGGAUAAUAUAAUAAUUAAAUAAAUUUUAAUCAUGUAUUAAUAUAUAUAGUCUCUGAUUGGAAUAGCCUCUUUUAAUUUUUUUUGGUUUGGCUGCACAUGGUGGGCUCCACCAUGUGCAGCCACAGCUGGCCACCAGCCUCUCUCCCGGAUAUUGUUCCAAUUCGGAAUCCCGGAUUGAAACAGUACUAUAUAUAUAAACUUGAAGUAUAUAUUAAAAUAUCUUUAUCUAUUCAGUUGUGCCUUUUUUUCAAAAAAACUUUUUUGCCAAAUUCACGUUUGCUAAAUAGGCCGACAAUAUAGGUGUGCAAUUAAGUAGGGAUGACAAUGGGGAGGGGAUCAACAUUCCCAUACCCAUUCCCGAUAUUCUGCAUAUGUCCCCAUCCACUUUUUGUUCUCGUCAGAAUUAUUUGAGGGAAUCUUCGUCCCCUCCCCGAAUAAUAACAAGAGAUCUCCGAAGGUCUCUAAUCCCUGAAUAACUGAAUUUUUUGUUUGUUUUCAAACUUAAUUUAAUCAUAUUAACUUAAAAAUAUAUAAAAUGAAAGUGAAAUUGAUCAUGAAUAUUUCAUUCUACUCCUUCAAACUUUUGGUAUAUAUAUUAUUCAAAUAAUGAUUUUCAAAAUAAAAUUUAAAUAAUGUGAUUUUUAUACAAUAUUUACGUGAUUGUUGUUUAUGAGUAAUGAUGCCUGCUGAUCACCAGCUAUGGCGCAACAAAUCCCCAUGUGUGGCUGCUAGUUGACGUUGCGAUGAGUUAGGCUACUUAGCCACUAACAACGCAACAUGCUAAUUGACGUUGCUAUGAAAGAGUACUCUAUCUUAAAUCGGUUCCAACAUAAUCAAAUGGCUCUAAAGUAGCCAUAGCUAUCAGUUAAUUAAGCUAGUAUGCUUGUGUGUCUGAGAUCUAGGGGGCUGAUAUAUGAUGAGCCUUUGGCCGGCAAAGACAAGCAAAUCAUUGAAAAAUGACAAUGUUUUUACGAAGACAUGAAUAUACGUUAUAAUUUCGUGACUUGAAUUUAAUCCCUUCAAUCCGCAUCAUGAAUAUAGGAGUGGCUCUUGGAUCUCACACGUGCCGUGUUUCUUCAUCUUGGAAAUUGAUGAUUAUCUUAUCUUCGACGGCGCCAAAGCAACGGAACAUUGUGAUUCACUUAAAUAUUCACGUUUUUUUUAGGCUAUUUUAGAUUUCAAUUUUAUAUACUCUUUAGGAUAAUAUAAUUUUCUGGACUGUGUGAACUAUAAUUUAGAAUUUUAGAUAAUUCAAUUGUACAUCGUGAGCGAAUUCUCUUUUUAACAUAUCAAUUCAAUUGUACGGCAUUAGAAUAACAUACUGGAGAUUUGAUCAGAACUCCAAAAUACAUCCAGUUAACGAAAUGGGAUUUGAAUAUUAAUUUCACACAACAACGUUACUUUUGACAAGAUAUUGAGUUACUUUCAAAAUUAAAUCUAAAAAUGAAACACUCAAAGCGAUAUUGACAUUAAAUAAUUUAUGUUGCAAAAUGAUGAUAUCAAUUGAUUUUUUUUCAUGUUAAUAAAAAAAUUAGAGACGAGUUUCAAUUCAAAAUUAAAUCCAACAAGAAACUAAUAGUUUUAAGAGUACAUUUCACAAAAACCACGUAGACAUAUAUUAUAUGACUUAAAUUUUACAUUCGGUAAAUAUUAAAUUUUACAUGGAAAAAUGUGGUUUUUAAAAAAUAUUAUCUUAUAGAUUUUAUUAAAUUAUUAACACGUUGGCCCUAAGUAAGAAAUAACAAAAACUAUUAUUUAAUUAAGAUUAUUAAUUUAUCAAGCAUUAAGAUCGUAUUGUAAUUAACUGGUCUUUUCUCAAUGCAAAAUAAAUUAACAAAUCAUAUAAAUGAAGUGACAUAUGGCAUACUACAAUUUCUUUCUUAGCUAAUCUGGCGAGGAUAUUGUAAAAGCAAAAUAAAAAUAUGAUCGGCCUAAGGCCUAAUUUAUACAAAAUAUUUAAUAACAUAAAAGCAAGUAAUCAAGCAUCGAAAUUAGGGAUUCGUCUUCCAAUAUAUAAGCAUGUUAUAUUGGCAAUGAUUUUGUCAUAUAUAAAUGUCAUUAUGGAUAUAGUCAAAUAUAUCCUGAUUUAGAAAGACUUUUGAUGUGGAUUCUUAUCAGAUACUUCAUUUUUAUUAUCCAUAGAUGUCAGAAUGAAUUUUCAUGCGAAUUUUGGAGUCCACAACGUUGUGAAACUCUAAAUUCACACAAUAUCAGUACGAACAUCGAAUGAGAAAAUGAAUGUACAUGAUAUUUCUAACGGUGCGUUUACUUUUCGGAUUCGGGAAUCAGAAUCCGGAAUCGAAAUAAUUGAUGGCAUUUACUUCGCAAAUAUGAAGUAGGAAUCGGAAUCGGAAUGGUGGGGCCCACCACUAUUUGGGAAUGGGGAAUAGGAGAUUGUUUCCCGUGUAGAGGUGGGAAUGAGUCUCUCAUUCUUAGGAUUAACCAUUUUGCCCUCCCCCAAAAUUAAAAAUGCCAACUUUAUCCUCUUUUAUAAUUAAUUAAUUAAUAUACUAUUAUAGUUAAUUAAUAUAAUAUAUUAUGAUUAAUUAAUGUAUAAAUAUAUUAUUAACUAUAAUUAUUAAAAAUUACAGUUCUUGAAUAAAUAAUCACAAUAAUUAAUAUAUUAUUAUUGUAAUUAAUUAAUUAAUAUACUAUUAUAAUAAUUAUUAAUAAAAUUAUUAUAAGUAAUUCAUAUAUUAUUAAUUAAUUAAUAUAUUUUUACUAAUAAUUAAUAUAUUAUUAACAAUAAUUAUAAUUAUAAUUUUUGAAUAAAUAAUCACAAUAAUUAAUAUAUAUUGUUAUUGUAAUUAAUUAAUUAAUUAAUAUAAUAUUAUAAUAAUAAAAAUAUAAUUAUUAUAAUUAAUUCAUAUAUUAUUAUUAUUAUAAUUAAUAUAAUUAAUUAAAUAAAUAAUAUAAUUAUUACUACUAAUUAAUAUAUUAAUAUAUUAUUAACAAUAAUGAUUAAUAAUUAUAAUUUUGAAUAAAUAAUCAUAAUAAUUAAUAUAUUAUUUUAAUUAAGUAAUUAAUAUUAAUAUUAUUAGUUAAUAUAUUUUUAUAAUAAUUGUUAAUAUAGUUAUUAUAAUUAAUUAAUUACAUUUUUUACAAUUAAUUAAUAUAUUAGUUAAUAAUAAUUAUGACAAUAAACCAUUAAGUAUUUUUUAGUAAUUUGUUACAAUUUAACUCAUUCCGAUUUCGAUUCCAAGACAAAGUAAACAUAUUAAUGACAAUCCAGUUCAUUCCGAUUUCGAUUCCUAUAAUUCAAAUAAACAACUUAUUUGUAUUUUCAUUCCAGCCCAUUCACAUUAUUGUCCAUUCCGAUUCCAGCUCAUUCCAAUUUUAGUUUAGUAAACGCAGCAUAAAUGUCUGGUUAAAUUUUUAUUUUAUGAUUUCCACUAUGAGAAGAGAAUUUUGGUCCGAUAAAGAAGAGAACAAGAGAAAGGAAAAGAAAAAGAAGACAUCAAAAGUUCAAAGCUGCAACGUAAUCAAUAGAAACUGAAUAUGAACAUUUCUACACAAGCACAUACAGUACAUCUCAGAUAGCAAGCCAACAAUAUUAAUCUUCGUCGUUGCUAUCGUUUUAUUCAAUAUUUAUAUACAAAGCCAUUUCACUUUAUUGACGAUAUUAAUUGUUAUUUAUUAUAAUUUAUGUGACAUGGUUUUUCAAGGACAGAUUAGAAUUUUAUUGGCAUCAUCAGGUUUUGCUCCUUGAGGGGAGAACAAGUCAUCCGUAUUUGGAGCAACAAUAAAUAAAAUAAAUAACUCUGUUCGGUGGAAGCAGGCUGAAAAUAGCCCAACUAAACCACUAUAAUUUAGAAGGGGAAGUAAGGCUGCUUGUAUCGUGAGUGAUUGGAUUGUUGAUUAAUUAUUUUUUGAAGUCUCAAAACUUGGUUUCCUUGACGAUCAUCAUGGAAAACUAACGUUUACAAAUUAGUUUGGCAAGUUGGCUUGUAAAUGUAUGAAGGAGAAAAAAAGUAGCCAAAUUAAUGGCUAACCGUUGACGGGAAGACCAUCAAAUUUUCAGAAAUUUUUUCAAAAUCUAGACCCGAGGGUUUUCCAUUAUCAAAAAAAGAAAAAAAACCGAAGCUCUUUCUCUGUGCUAGAUUUUGCAACCGAUGCAGUCUUGACCUCUCGUAAUUAUACCGAUACUUUUUGUGUACUUCUAAUUCCAACUACUUCCUGUAAGCAGCAAUAUCUUGAGACUAUUUUAGGAGUCCUUCACUCAAGUAUAACAAUUAUUCUUGAAAGAUUGAUAAUAAGUCUUUGACUUUGUGUGUUUAACCACGGAUAAUUUUUUGGCUUUUGACAUUUUCACCCUCAUCCUCAAUUCAUCUUCAUCUUCAUCAACAGAACUAACUCAAAUGGUAGCACAUUUCUACUAUGUGUAUCACGUUUAAAACUAUAUCCUUUGGAUUCUAUAAGUUCAAAUCCAACGACCAUUUCAAAUGGGGAUAGAAAAUGGGGUACCUUACCACCACGGUUAAGGUAGGUAGCUGGACCUAUAUGUAUUACGGUAAUUAAUAAAUAUUUUUAUUACUAAUUUCAUUUGUAAUUUAUUUUAAUUAGAUUUGUAAUGAUAAUAGGAAUAUAAAAAAGAACAAAAACUAGAUGCAUUGCAGAGCAAAAAAUAGAAAUUAAUAUAUUAUAAAAAAAAUUCACCAAACACAUUUUUAUUAUUUUGAUAUUUUCAAACAAACUACCAAAUUUACUUUUUAUAUAUAUUUUUUCUUUUUCAUUUGAUAUCUUAUCUUGAAAACAAAAUACCAAAUGCCUUUUCCUUUUAAGAACAUCACACCAAAAAUAUCAUUUUUCUCCUCUAAAAAAAAUUAUAAAAAAGCACAAAAUAAAAAAAAAUAAUGCCAACCACACUCUAAAGGUUUUGUAAUUUGCAAUAUCUGACGCCUAUCAAUGAAUUAAGAUUGUCUAUGUUCUAAGGAGAUGAUAUAUGAUGGGGCUUUGGCCUAUAAAGACAAGCAAAUCAUUGGAAAAUGACAAAAAUGACAAUCUCUUUAUGAAGACAUGAAUACACAUGAUAAUCUCGUGACUUUAAUUUAGUCCAUUCAAAUCGCAUAAUGAUUAUAGGGGAGGCAAAGUCUGUGUUCUAGGAUAUAUGAUGCGGGCUUUGGCCUAUAAAGACAAGCAAAUCAUUGGAAAAUGACAACAAUGACAAUGUUUUUAUGAAGACAUGAAUACACAUGAUAAUCUUGUGACUUUAAUUUAGUCCAUUCAAAUCACAUAAUGAGAUGAUAUAUGAUGGGGCUUUGGCCUAUAAAGACAAGCAAAUAAUUGGAAAAUGACAAAAAUGACAAUGUCUUUAUGAAGACAUGAAUACACAUGAUAAUCUCGUGACUUUAAUUUAGUCCAUUCAAAUCACAUAAUGAAUAUAGGGGAGACAAAGUUUGUGUUCUAGGGAGAUGAUAUAUGAUGCGGGCUUUGGCCUAUAAAGACAAGCAGAUCAUUGGAAAAUGACAAAAAUGACAAUGUCUUUAUGAAGACAUGAAUACACAUGAUAAUCUCGUGACUUUAAUUUAGUCCAUUCAAAUCACAUAAUGAAUAGAGGGGAGACGAAGCAGCAUGUUUCUUCAUCUUAUAAAUUGUUGAUAAUCUCAUCUUGGAUGGUGCUAAAGUAGGAAACAUUUUGAUUCACUUAAAUAUUCACGUUUUUUGAUGCUACCAGAUUUCAAUUUCGUAUAUUCUUAGGAUAAUAUGUCUAUUUUUGACAUAUCAAUUCAAUUGUACUGUGUUAGAAUAACAUAAUGGAACUCCAAAAUAAAUCCAAUAAACGAUAUGGGAUUCCAAUAUUAAUUUCACACAACAAUGUUACUUUUGACAAAAUUGAGUUACUUUCACAACACCUCUUCCACUUCCAUAUAUAUGAAGCGAAUCAAUAACUUAACCCCAUAUAUACCUAAGUCAUAUAUACUCAUUUGUGGCUUCACAAAGUGUUCAUUUCUCUGUUAAUAUGCAAUAAAAUUUUGAUAAAUUAAUAAUUUUGGACAAUAAAUUUUUGUUAAUUUUAUAAAGUUAAUCGAUAGAUUAAUAAAUUAUUGAUUUUGAAGAUAUUCCUUAUUUUAGAAAACAGUAUGAUCACAUUUAUAGCAUUGAUUUGUCUUGAUUUGUAUUUAUUAUGUUUUAUUUGAAUAUUAGUUAAUUGUCUUACAUUCAUAGUAAUAAGCUUAUUAUGGAGUUUUUAUUUUUCCAUGUUAAGAAUGAUGGUUGUACUAUGGAAUCCAUGUUGUACAAAGAACUCAAAGUGAUAUUAUUAUUGAAUAAUUUCUUGUUGCAAAACAACAAUACAAUUAAUUUUUUUUGUACAUUAAGAAAAUUAGAUAUGAGAUUUAAGUCAAAAUUAAUUCCAAAAAGAAACUAGCAAUUUUAAGAGUGUAUCUUACAAAAACCAUAUAUACAUAUACUAUGUCGACUUAGUUUUACAUUAGGUGAUUGUUAAUUAAUGUAUAACGGGUAUCCUAUGGAAAAAUAUGGAUUUUUAAAAAUUAUUAUCUUAUAGAUUUUAUUAAAUUAUUAAUAGAUUGGCCUAAAGUCGAAAAUAACAAAAAAAUAUUAUUUAAUUGAGAUUAAUUUAUUAAUAUCGUACUAUACUUAGUUGUUCUUUUUUCAAUGCAAAACAAAAUGACAGAUCAUAUAAAUGAACACUACUAGAAAAAUGGUCUUUACUGACUUUAGAAUAGUGUUAGAAAUUACUUUUACUGACACUUGUUAAUUGUGUCAGUAAUCUGGGAGUCAGAAAAAUAGUGACACUUGUAAGUGGUGUCAGUGAUUACUAUUACUACAGUAUCACCGAUAUUAUGACACCAUAGUGUUAGUAGUUAUUGAUAUUUUAUUAGUAUCUAUGGUUAUUGUUACCAUGAUAUCACUAGUUAAUUUAUUUUUUAAAAAGUAAAAAAUUAAAUUGGAUCAUUGCCUAUUGAUUUAUUUGUAAAAUUAAAAGCACCACAAAAUAAAAAAAGAAAUUGAUUUAUAUCACAAAAUCUUUCAUUUCACAUUUAAAUAUUAUUAGUAUAUAUUACAAAUUGAACUUCAAUAGCCAAAAUAUGAGAUAUCCUACUCUCAUAACUAAAUAAUCCAAAUUCAAUACAUAAAAAUUAGUCUCUGUCCCUAUCUGACCAACUUCCAUCAAAAUUAACCUCAUCACUUCUGCUUUCACUGUGAUAAUUGGAGCGCCUCCGACUCCAAGUUGUUUCAUGAACUUGACGUUCAUCAUCAUGGCUUCUGCCAGAACCACUUUUCACAAUAUCAGCCUCCCUUGAUCUGGACCUUCUGUAAUGAUGCCUGCAUAAGAAAUUACAAAACCAUAAAUAACCAGAAGAUUUCUAACAUCAGCAGUAAAUACAUUAACUAAUGAAAUUUGAUCAUAGUUUGGAUCAUCAUCCUUUGUACAUAAGAUUGCAAUGCUACAUCACCAAAGGCUUCUUGUUGAAUCUAAUUAUUUUCUUGCCAUGCUUGCAACAUGGUCAUUACGCCACAUACUAAUCAUACAUUUUUGAAAGUGGGUUUUAAACUCGAACAAUAGACCAAAAAAACCAACAGAAAAACUUUCUUUAAAUCUUGCAUUGUGAGAACAUCUUUUCAUUAUUCAUUGCUUCUAAGAAAACCGAGUUAGGAGACUUGAAGAAAACACAAAUGAAGAGAACGAUACUAUGAAGAAACCUCUCAAAAUCAUUGGUCAAACAUGGAAGUUUAAACUAAAAAAUUCAAAUAACAGAAAGUGAAUUAAAUAAACAAGAGUUCAUAUAUACUAAGUACAGUUUUUAGUGUCUAUGACUAGUAAUAAAAGCAUACCUGUCGGCAUUAGUUGAAUCUAUUUUGUUCCUCGUUUGUCCUGAGCGUUCUUGAUUCCAGGUCCCAGAUUCAUCAGAAUAACCAAAUAAAGCAGUCAUCUUUUUCACCCAAUAUCUCGGAGGUGGUUUAUCCCAAUCAGCCCAUUCAUAGUCUCCGCUAGGGUUGGGAAAAUAGUGGAUAAAAUUGCAAGCCAUUCCACAAGAGCAUGUCUGUUAAAAUAUGCCCAACAAAGAUAACAAGAGUGUAAAAAAAAGAAGAAAAGAAACAAACUCAUUUAAUAUCAAAAGCAAAAUGGCAAAGAAAAAAGCAAGUGUAUAAGCCGCACAAUUAUAACUCUGAAAAAUGAGACAAUUGGCUGUACAUUUAGUCUUGACUUCAUAUAUUCCCCACAUAUGGCAAUCUUCCAUCUAGUCACAUUAAUAAAUUCACAUGUGAUCUGUCAAGAAACACACAAAUAAAUAAACCAUCACUAUCCAGAAAAUGACAAGCUGUAAAAUUCAGUAAACAGUAAUGUGUUGAUUACAAUUUAAGCAUGGAGAAAAAUUUCAGAUUAGACUAUGUCAACAGUGUCCAUAGAUAGUUAAAAGAUGGGAGACUGUGCUGGCGUUCACUAAGCAUAUAAUUUUUCACAGCUUAACCCAUUGCAAUUUUACCAGUGUCAAGUCUAAAGGAAACUAGUCAGGAAUCUUCUGUAAAGUAAAUAAAUAGUGAAACAACUGUUCUCAUAGCAAUAAAAUGAAAUUAUUUUAAUAAUUUUCUUCAACUUUCAGACCAAUUAAACAAGUGAAGCAAUUUUAGUACAAUGCACAGCAAUUUAAGCUGAAUGGACAAUUGGAAAAAUUACGGAACAACUAGACCCCAACGAAUACUACAAAAACAACCCUUAAACAAUGACUUAAGAAAGUAGAAGCUUCUCCUAGAUCAUGCCUUUUCAAUCUCCCUUUGCUAAGAAAACUGCCCUAGUAUUUAAGACUAUCCAAAUCCUAUCAACAUGUUGGGACAUUUAAAUACAGCCUCCAAGAAGACAUGCUGUAAGCUUUACAAUUGAAGUCUGUCGAAUAAACCAAAUCUUAUACCCAAUGCCAAGAGCUUUAAUUCAAUCCAUUUUAACAGGCACCAAUUACCAGGAAUGCAGGCAGACAAAGAGGAUCAAAAUGACAGGAUAUCAGUAUUCUAGAAUUUCUAUCAGAAACAUGAAAAGUGGCAAGGCCUAUUCACUGAGAGCCAAACAUUUUUUACAUAGUAGUUACUUUAUAUAAAACAAAUAAAUAUAAAGUAGAAAGUAAGCUCCAACAAUUCUUCACAAAGACCUGUUUCCCAGCAAAGUAACGACCAUUGACAGAAUGGUAAGCGAGAACAGCUGAUUCCAGCGACUUAUAGUGAACAUAGACAUUUCCUCUUAAGUGGGAAGAACCAUUUCUACACACCUGCAAAUAUUUGUUAGUUAGUAAAUGAAGAGCACCAACAACAUGUGUCAGUAAAUAGGUGUUGUGGCAAAUAAUCCUAAACCUUCCAAAGUAAUGACCAUUGUUAGAUGACCAGCUCUGACAAUCGACGAUACAUAGUAUAUUCCACAAGAAACUACUAGUUGUUAAGGAGAAAUUUUUAACUCAAACAGAGUUGUACAGUUAUGUGACUAGUGAGAGAGAGAAAGAAAGAAAGAAAUAACGAAAGAAAGAAAGAGAAAUAAGCCAAACAUAUAAACAAGAAAUUUCAUAAUAGCUAAAAUCAUUUGCAGCAUGUAGGAUACAUAAUAGCUCAUAGCCUUCACUCUUACCCAAUCAAGGCCAACACUAUGAAUCUCCAUCAUUAUGAAAACAUAAAUCUCUGAUUUCACAUAGUCAAAGAAAAGAAAUAAAAUGUGAACUCAAAAGAACUCACCAGUGAUACUAUCUAGAAUAGUUAUAAACACAUUACAAUAUAUCAACUGGAAAAAUAUUUUUCUGUAUAAAAAGCAUCUUCUAUAUAGCAAGGACAAUGCGUAUAUAAAAUGAUCCAACAAAUUGCACAAAAGUAUAGAAGUUUGGAAGAGUCCUUAUCAGGAUACAAGAAUCAGCAAUUACAUACCUCGAGCCUCUCAUCUUGCUCCCAAGCAAGCCCGAGACCAUUAUACAUAUUCUUGAUGAGCAAAGUGCACGAUUUAUCAGGGUAAAAAUGAACUAUGUUGCAUCUCUGACCAAACCGACAAGCUCCAAUCUUUAAAUGGAAAGGACAAUAAGCUUUAUCCUGCCAUAUAUAAUAAAAACAUGAUUGACCAUGAUAAAUAGGCAAAUAUAAUAGAAAUGAAAUAUAAUACAGUAAUUGCAAAUUGAAAAUUUCAGAUAGACAGAUUGAAAGAAAAGGCAUGCAUGUUCAGUUCCAAAAUUGGGCACUUGUUGAGCAACAGUCUCCAACGCCUGUUGUGCAUUCUGGUGAUCAGCAAAGGCUUCUGAUUGUGGGGGCCGAGGAUUUGAUGUAGGCCUAUCAACAUCCUGCAAAAGGAAGUAAUAACGUAGAAAGUUUAAUUUUUGCCAUAACCGAAGAGAAUGGGCAUCCUGAAGUAAAGUAGAAACAAGCCUAACAUAGUUGUCAAUAGAGUCAAAAUUACCUCCUUUUUACUUAGUGGGUUCGCAUCCUUCUUCGGAACUCUAACCUUUUUCUUCCUAAUAAUAAUCUCAUUUCCUUGCCAUAUAAUUUCUGCAGGCCCUUCUUCAACAUAUUCCCAAUCAUCAUCCUCAUCACAUUCAUUCUCCUUUUGCCUCCAAAUUCGCGAUGCUCCGAGAACAUGCCGUAGCUGGUGAGCAAGCGGAGGAUAUGUUGCAAGUUCUCGGCGUCCCCACCGCCGGAUGGGAGGAUAUGUGUCAAGAUCUAGGAGGCAGAGAGAGGGGUGUUGGCCCCAACUUGCCAGAUGGCAUCCGGUACGUGGAGACGGAUGGCAGCGGUUAGAGACAUGGGAACGCUUAUCAUGUUGGCUAGCUCCAUUAUGGCCAGUCUUACCUUCUUCCCGCCAUCUCUGCACUCGUUAUCUUCCAUUACUGCUUACUGACCUUUGAUUUCACAGCACCAUGCCGGCCAAACAAAAAGAUAAGACCUGAGCACUUUUUGACAAUUUGGAUGUUAGGGAUUUUUCAGAUCUGGGGAGCUUAGGAGGGAACGAAUGCUUUGUUAGAGGGAGUUGAAAAGUUGUAUUUUGGAUAAGGUAAGACUUGUGCAUUUGUUUUGUUUUUAUCCACUCAAAAAGUAUAACUCUAAAAAAAUUAAAAAUAAUUCGUAGCCUAGUGGUCUUUUGAUUUAAUGUAGAAGCUCUAGGUUUAAGAGGUCUUGGGUUCGAAUUCAGACUAAAACAAAAUUAAAAUGAUAAUUUUUAAUUGCUGAUACCUAAGCGUCAUUGAUCGCUAUUACUAAAGCUAUUGAUACUUCAGUAUUAGUAAUUAGUGAUACAUAUUUGUUAAACGUGGAAAAUGAUCCAAAUAUAUGUAUAUACUGAUACUUUUAAAUAAAGUGUCAGAACAUAAGUAUCAGUAAAAACCAUUUUUCUAAUAGUGGAAGCGACAUGUGGCUUAGUUCAAUUUCUUUCUUAAUUAAUUUAAUGAGGAUAUGGUAAAAGCAAAAUAAAAAGAUCAUUAGCUCUAAGGCCUAAUUUAUACAAAAUGAUUAAUAACAUAAAAGUAAGUGAUCAAUCAUCCUAGCUGUAUGUUAGGGAUUCAUCUUCCAAUAUAUAUGUAUGUUAUAUUGGCAAUGAUUUUGCCAUAUAUAAAUGUCAUUAUGGACAUUAGCCAAAUAUAUCUUGAUUUGGAAAGAGUCCUUUAUGUGAAUUCUUAUCACACAUUUCAUAUUUAUUGUCGAUAGAACUAUAGACUAUGCUAUAGAUGUAUGAAUUCAUAUUUCUAAUAAAGUUUAUAUUGUUAUAUAGAUGUAGAGAAAAAUUUUGGACGUCUGCACGAAUUUAAUUUCAUUUGAAUUUAGAAGUUCAUAAUAUUGUGAAACUCUAAAUUUGCCCAAAAAUUCAUGGGGACGUUCGCAGUAGAAAAGGACUCUAAAUGUAAUUAAUAUGAGUAAUAAUAUAAUCACAAACUCUUGUACAAAUUUAUUUCGUACAAACUGAUGUGUCAUGAUAAAAUUGGUUGAAUUAAAUAUUUCUGGACCCACAUGAUCUAUUUUUAUUAUUUUGUAUUUUCAUUCAACCAAUGAAUUAAUGCCAAAUCAGUUUGUACAAGAUAAAUUUGUACAAAAGUUUGUGGUUGUAUCAUCACUCAAUUAAUAUCUGCGGCAAUGCAUACAUUGUGUCCCAUGGUUAAAUUUUUAUUUUAUGGUUUCCACUGUGAGAAGAGAAUUUUCGUCCCAUAAAGAAGAGAACGAGGAAAAAGAAAAAGAAAGAAGUUCAAAACUGCAGCGUAAUCAAUAGAAGCUGACAUAAACAUUUCUACACAAGUACACACGGUAAAUCUCAGAUAGCAAGCCAAAGAUAUUAGUCUUAGUCGCUGCUAUCAUUUUAUUCCAUAUUUAUACAGAAGAGCCAUGUCACUUUAUUGAUGAUAUUAUUAUUUAUUAUAAUUUUUAUAUGACAUGGUUCUUCAAGGCUAGUUUAGAACUAUAUUGGGAUCGCCAGGUUUUGCUUCUUGAUAGAAGAAGGCGGCAGCGGGAAUGUUGUGAAGGUCCAAUCAAGCACCUGAUGGCUUUCUGCUCUCCCGAGCCCUGUAGAUGCCGUGAAGCCAACAUAGACUGAGCUUAGAACUGUUUCUGACAUGACAAUAGGUCUUUCAAUCAACUUCUGAAGUGGGUUCCCCGCAUCAUAUGCCACAUAAACACAGAGUAUUUUCGUUCAUCCAUCGUAAUAAACUUGAACCUGGAUCGGUCUUCCACUUUUGAGAUCAAUGCCAAAGCUGUCGAGACUCUUAGCUGGAUCUGAUAUUAAGCUUGCUAUGUCGAUGCCGAUAUGGUUAUUAUCUGGAUCAUUUUUAUUUUUGUUCUUGAAUGUGUCCAGCUCCACGGCUAAUAUCGAACCAUUGUUACCUACAUAUAUAAUUUUCAUAUGCAUUAUAUAUAUAUAUAUAUAUAAAAUUAUCUCAAGAAGGUUUCCGCACAUUAUUUGGUGAGGGCUCCCCACCAUAUGCUACUAUUACAACACCCGCCAUAUUAGGGGUGUUCAGAAUCCAAUCCGAUCCGCCUAAUCCGUCCGAUCCGCUCAAUUCGAUCCGUAUAAAUCCAAUCCGUGGAUUGGUGGAUUGGAUAUGGAUUGAAAAUUUAAAAAUCCGCAGUCGAUGGAUUGGAUAUGGAUUUACUUCUGUAAAUCCGCAGAAAUCCGUGAAUCUGCAAAAAAAAUAAAUAAAUAUAUAAUUAAAAAUUAUUAUAAAUUUAAUUAAAAAAAUUUAUAAAUGUGACAUUACAUAGUUACAUAAGCACUAUAACAUAUCUUAGCCAUUACCCAACAAUAAUAUAAAAUAAAAAAUAAUUAAAUAAUCAAAUAUAACUUGUAAAAAUUGUAAAACAAAAUAAAAGCAAAGUCACACGCACUAGCAAAAGCAAAGUAACAUAACGCCAAGUCACCAACAAUUUGCAAAGUCACCCAAAAGCAAAGUAACAUGACGGCAAGUCACCAACAAUUUGCAAACAAAAAACCCUAAGCUUUCCCGCCGUCACACACACUAGCAACACUCGAUACUGGUUGGAUACACUCUUGACACGAAUUUGAAGGACAUCGGCCGCUGAUUUCGGCGAGAACAAGCCAUCUUCUUUCCCAAGUCCAUCGAGCCACUUCACAUUCACUGGUUCCAGCUGAACAAUUUCACUAUCACAACCUUCAAGAUCGCCACCCAUACGGCUUCUUCUGAUUCCCAUCGUGGACGGCUCUGUAAUCACCACUUUUCGACAGGCGCAACAACCCUGAUGAAGGAUCAGACUGUAUUUGGUUCCCGAAACUUCGCCAUUUCAAUUAAUUGUGGCUUUAUUCGAACAAUUAAUUUCGAUGUUAUAUUAACGUAUUAUUAUAACUUUAUUUGAACAAUUAAGCUUGAUGUGUUAUAUUUUGAAACUUUGAACGUAUUAUUGUAGCUUUAUUUGAAUAAUUAGUCUCGAUGUGUUAUAUUUUGAAACUUUAAAUGUAUUGUUUUAGCUUUAUUUAAAUAAUUAAUUAAUUUAAAUUUUAUUAAAUUUUAAAUUUAAUUGGUAACAAAAUUAUUUUUAUAUUAGAUUUUUUUUAUUUCAUUAGUUGGAGAGAACUGAAAAUUUUUAUUUCGAAAACUAAUGCGCAAAAUGGUGGAUUGGAUAUGGAUUGAGUCAAAUCCGCAUCCGAUCCGCAGACGUAUGGAUUGGAUAUGGAUUGAGUCAAAUCCGCAUCCGAUCCGCAGACGUAUGGAUUGGAUAUGGAUUGAGUCAAAUCCGCAUCCGAUCCGCAAAUGUAUGGAUUGGAUUUGGAUUGAAUUUUAUCAAUCCGUGGAUUGGAUUGGCUUGGAUUGAAAAAUUAUAAUCCGCAAAAUCACGGAUCAGAUAUGAAUUGAUGUCCAAUCCGUAAAAUCCGAUCCGUGAACACCCCUACGCCAUAUGGUAUAACAACAUUUCUUCAUUUUAAUAAAGCGUAGAACUCUCAUUAUAUAGUUCUUAUUCAAUAAGGACAUCUUUAUUUUGUUAAAGUGAAAAUAUUACUAAAAUAUAAAAAAUUUUAAUAUAUUAGAUACUGUAUUUUUUUAUUUGUUAAUAUAUUAAAAUAUGUAUUAUGUUUGUCUAUUAAUGGCAUCCAUAGUUUAUUAAAACGAGGUUGUAUUCAAUAAUAAUAAUAUACACGCAUAUAUAUCAUCAUAUUGUUUAUCAGUACUGUUAUUAUAUAUAUUAUUCGCCUAUGCAAGCAUCAAGUAUGUGUCAUUACUUUAUCUGUGUUAAUUCUUAAUUAUUCACAUUUGAUCAUCAUAGCCGAUGUAGUCAGUCCAAGAUUUCCGAAGCCGCUGUUUGGUGGUGAAGGGCUGCUAUCGGGUGUAAGAACAAACGUCAUGCCUUCUACCGAAUCCGUUGUAUUUGGGUAGGGUGAGAUCCUAAUGGUGAAGGUGGUACUAAUCAUAGCUGGCCAUGCAGUCACAGGCUGGCUGUAUAAAACCCGUCCAACCUUAUUUAGCGGCAGCUGAUCUGGCGAUUCUGGUGAAGGGUCUGAUGUGAGGCUUAAGUAGCCAUAACUUGGAGUCACUGCGCCAAUGCAAAUUAGGCUGCCAUCGCUACAACUUUUUGGGUUGAAUGAGGAAAAUGUGAAGCUAACAGGUUGAUCCACAGGGACUGAUGAAAAAGCACCGCGAAGAAAAACUGAGAGGAGUAGUAGGAAAAUCAUUUUUUUGUUCUGGGAGGGCUACUUCUUGAAUUGCAUUGCUCAGCUUCACAAGCACUUAUUAUAUGGGGGACUUUUUUUUUAUUAAUUUUAUUAUUAUUGUGGUUUUUGUUAUUAUUACUACUAUUUUGCGUGCUAGGGCGAUAUUUUAAAAGUCACUCUCGUCUGAAAACUAUGUGUAGCACAUGCAUAUAAUUGUAUGAGUAAAAAAAUAUAUUGAUAAAUUGGUAUGUAUAAAAAGGUAUUGUUGUUUGCAUAAAAACUUGUAAAUGAUCACUGAAUACAAGAAAUAUUUCUAUUAAAAAAUAAACUCUUUCACUUUAUAAAAUUUUAUUUUUUUUAUACGAGAGUCUUCAUUUUAUUUGUCAUGUGUAAUUUUGUGUCCAAAUAAUAUUAUUCAAUUUUUAUCUAAUGGCUUUGCUCAAUUAAGAAGUACAGUCUAACAUGCCCACCCACAACAAAUGUUUAGUCAUAAUGAGACUAGUGUAUGAAAUGUGAGUAAAGAUAAAUCUACAAUCUCUUAAUAAAUUUGUUUUGUAUAAAUUGAUGUAGCACAAUUUAACUGGUUUGAUUAAAUACAGCUUGACCUACAUAAUUUAACUUUAUUAUUUUUUAUUUUCAUCCAAUCAAUAAAUUUAUACCAUAUCAUUUUGCACAAAAUAAAUUUAUACUAUAAUUUGUAACUUUGUCAUCACUCAUGAAAGUAUUUGUUAUGCGGUAAAAAACUAAAAAAUGUAAUAUAUAUAUAUACACACACACACACACAAGUAUAUACAUAUAUAUAUACAUAAAUAGGUGAGAGAGCGUCUGCACUCUGGAAAUUGCAAGCUCUUCAACUAGCAACUAGCUACUAGAUAUGAAAUAAUAAAAAAUUCAGACUCUUAUGAGCUACAAAAAUAUUAUAUAAGUCUACGACUCUUAUGAAUGAACAAUGGGUUAUGUACAGUCGUUGCUAUAUAAAAAAAAUUCAUGAAACUUAAAGUUUAUAUUUUUAUAUUGUAGCUUCUAUUGAACAAAGGUCUCGACUUUGCUUGGUUUAAAAUUCUAAAUAAUAAAUUAGGAACUCCUCAUGACCUUAAUUUCCGUGAAUUUUUAUAAAUGCUAAGUCACAUGUCCAUUAAUGAUUAUGUAAAAUUAAUAUUUAACUACUCUCAUAUCCUUUAUCUACUAAUAAUCAAUAAUCCAUGUGAUUUGUUCCAAAAAAAUUUCAGUUUGGAAUACACCAUACAUCGUCAACGAAGUUUAUUGACUUGCUUUGAUUUAGCAUGAGGUUGGUGAAGCAACUGACUGUUGCGGAAGGGAUACUUAGAAAGUGUCUAAAAGAUUUAAAAAGAGAGGGAAACUAAUGAUAUUUGAAACUACAGCCUUGAUGUGCAAAUUUAAGAUCCUAAUUCCUACGACAGCCUUAUAAAAGCAAAAAAAAAAAAAUUUGAUGGAGAAGGCGAAGCACAGGGCGGGGAGGUUGAAGCGGACCUUAUCUACCACAGGAAAUAUCUAUAAAUUAAAUUUGAAAGUUAUAGAGCUCAUCAGGGAACAAAGUAUAGAAGCCUUGGGUAGAUUUUGGACAAUCUUUGAAUUAAAUAUUAUAAUGUAUAGAGAAUCAUUUGUCUCAUGCAUAAGCACAUACACAAUAUAAGAAACAAAUUUCGUCCGUGUUUAAAUAUAGGACAUAUUUAGUUGAACAAUUAUAAUUUAAAAAUUAUUGUACUAAAGUGUUCAAUAAACACUUUAUGUUAUGAUUCUUAAGUUAAGUUGAUUUUAUUUCACUUUUGUAUGACGAAAAUAUCAUAAUAUCUUAACUAUUUUUAUCAAAAUUAUUAUAUAAAAAUUACAUUUCAGAACUAUAAUUUUUCUUUUCACAAUUUUUAUUUUAUAAUUAUAUUUGUUAAGUCACAAUGCCUUAAUACCAAACGGACCCUUUAUUAUGGCAAUAAUUUAAAUUGACACAUGGUGAUUGGUAUUUACCUUGUAUGUCAUGUAUUUCGCCUCAAAUUAGAAUCGACAUAGAUAUUUUAUUUGUAUCUAAUAAUCUAGUCAAGAAUAUUUCGAUUAUUAUUUGACACAGUUAUUGACCGUAUCCUUGAUCUAAUAUUUUCUAAAAUUUCCCCAUGUUUAAUGGGUUUUCGGAUGUGAGAUUCUAAAUAUUUAUGCUAGAAAGAUCCUAAAACGUCAGAUUAUGUGUGGUAAAGUUACAUGUACAGAUAAUUGAACAAUUAUUUAUUAUAUAAGGGGUUGAGAAUAAAAUUGAAACCGGAUGAAGCAUAAGUGACAAGAAUUUAGCUGUAAUGUUGAAUGGGUAAAUGAAAGCUUGCACGGGACACCGGACACAGCACGGCUGGCAAAUAAUCCUUUACACAAUUGGGUACGAAAAACGUUGGCCACAGAUUCUUCUCACUCGUUUUUAUCCUUCACCCAUUUGUUAUAAAAUUCACCAACUUCAGAAUGUGUUUAGUAAUCAAUUAAUUUAAAAGACAUAGUGAAUGAAGAGAAGAAAGGGGGAUGAUAAUUUGCAGUACCUGAGUUGCAAUCAGCAACUAUUGUUAUUAAAGAAGCUGAUAUAAUUAAUCAGUAUAUCAAAGGGAAGCAUUGGGCCAUGAGGCUCUGUAUUCAUAUAUACAAUCAAAUCAGGAAGUGCUGAUGAUUCCAAAUUUUUCCAUGCUCCUGAAGAAACCUUGCACCAGGGGGCAUGUUGAUGGCAACUCUAAGCAGUGGCUGCAGCCUGCUCCUCAGCAACUUGUGCAGCUGGAAGAAGGGUGCAGAUGAGGUUGCGGUCACCAUACACAUUGUCAACGCGUCCUGAUAUAGCAGUCCCGAGAAGUCCAAUGUCAGUACAAUCAGGCAAGGAAUUAAAAGACAUGUUUGUAUUUCAGUGACUGCUAAAAGUCGGAAAUUACCAUAAGCCUAUGAAGUCAAAAUUGAAAUAACCUACAGCGACACAUGGGUUUGAUGUGAAGUUUAUGGCACAGAAUUUUAUAUUGCUGUUAUGUUGUUAAUAUUACUUUCAAAUAGGUUAAAAGGAGAUAAAAGAUAAGAUGCAUUAUUAUAGACAAAGGACCCCUGCUCUGACAUAAUAAAUUGUGCAGUCUCAUUUUGCCUAAUAAAGAGUUCGAUGGUGUUAGUCUGGCUUACUGGAUAAGGCAGCUAAAUUAGUAGUACAACUAGAACUUAAAUAUGAAUGAUGACAAUAAUGUGAACAAAAAAGUUAUUCAACGACUUCACGAAUUGCAGAUUCUGGCAAUGAAGUUGAGGGUUGAGGGCACAUAAGGGGUAUGAUGGACACGCAUACCUGUAGCAGGCCAGAACUUAGCAAACCGGAGCCAGGAAGCAGGAUAGGCUGCAUAUUCUCGAGAGUAUGGUUUAGUCCAUGUAUCUCCCAUGAGCAAAGAUGGUGGAUGAGGCGCCCCCUGCAUUUCCAAAUUUCAGAUAAUAAACAUAAGGCUUCAUAAAUAAACUUUGAUUCCACGGAGAACUGGAUAUACAUAUGUUAAUUUCUUUCACUAUGUAACUAAAGAAAUAGCCAUGGUGAAGAAACAAGCAUGUCACCUUCAGGACAUUGUUGUGGAUAUCUGCCUUCCCAUUUUCAAUCUGUGCAAUUUCUUCUCUGAUGGAGAUGAGAGCAUCACAAUACCUGUCCAACUCUUCCUGCAAAAGUAGUGAAUUUGGUUAGAGAAAGUAAAAUUUGAAAGAAGAGAUCUUCUCUGUUAUGACAUACCUUGCUUUCACUUUCAGUUGGUUCAAUCAUAAGUGUGCCUGGAACAGGCCAUGACAUUGUUGGUCCAUGGAAUCCAUAAUCCAUAAGACGUUUGGCAACAUCUUCGGGCUCUAUCCCGGCAGUAUUCUGAGAUGAAAAAGGUUUACAAUUUGUUAUGGAAAUAAACAGUAGAUCAAGAGGAAACUAAUUGAAACUUCUGUGUCAUAAGAACAACCUUCAAGCCUCUUAAGUCCACAAUGAAUUCAUGAGCAACUGUUCCAUUGACACCACGGAAAAGGAUGGGGUAAUGUUUCUGAAAAACCAAAACAAACUUAACUAGGUCAAAAUUAUCCAGAAUUUAUAACUGCAAUGGCAAGCAAUAUAGAAGGUAAACCAAGCAUGCGUGAACAAAUCAUUCUUCUUCCUGAAGAAAGUUUGAGCAAAAGGUUAUGUGAGCGUAGCAAGUGGAAGUUGCUUUGCUUAGACAAUAAAAGUGUGACAAUGUUUUAUAGAAGUAUAAGAACAUCCGCAAAGCGAUGCAACCACCAAAAUGAAACUUACUUAUUUUAAAGUAAAGAUAUUAAAGGAAAAGUCAAGAACCUCCAAACGUUUUGCCAUGUAGUUUGCAUUCAGAAUAGCUAUCUUUGAAGCCUCAGUGAGUCCUUUAGAACCCAUCAUAGCUAUGUACGUAUAUGAUAUUGGCAGGAUAAGUGCAGAGCCCCAGGGUGCAGCUGCAAUUGUGCCCAGGGGUUGAGACUUUUCAGGGGCAGGAAUACCACCUGUGGAUACCUUCAUCAUGGAAAUAAAAUUAAAAAAUUAAUAACUGAAUGAAAAAUAUCGGAGCAGCAAAUACAUCAGAACAAUUUGUAGACUUUACUGAGCCCUAUUACUAGUAGCAGAUAUUCAAUCAUUUAUAGGCAUUUGAUUUAUUAAUGGUCGGAAAGAUACUAAUGCAUAAAAGGUAGUAAAUAGCUUGAACUGCAUACCAAGGGCCUAUCUGUGCAGAAGAGAAGGUUCCAUCAUAACAAUUACAGAGUUUUUUUUUUUUGGGUUUUUUUGGUGGGCGGCCUAAAAGUCAUCAGCAGCCAUAAGCUCAAUACAAUGAGUCUAAUAAUAAUAAUAAUAUAUACUAUGUGUAUUCAUGCAUGAAUAAUAGGUAAACAUAAAAUUGGUAUUUCCUAUAAAACUAGUGGAAAAUCAAAUUAAACGAUGCAAUAUUCUCCAUCUAAGCUAAAAUGUAAAUAUAUUAAAAGUAGGAUGAAAAAGUAUGCAAAGAACACUCGUUAAAUGUACGAGCACAUACCACAGGAUGUGAAGGCAGAAAGGGUGCCAAGUGUUUCUUCACACCAAUAGGGCCCAUACCAGGACCACCACCUCCAUGCGGAAUGCAAAAUGUUUUGUGGAGAUUGAGAUGGCAAACAUCAGCUCCAAUGUAACCAGGGCUUGUCAGACCGACCUACAAAACAAAAAUUUUCUCAGACAAUUUCCAUUGGUGAGCUGUAUGCAAUGCGAAAAAAUGCCUGUAAGGUUGUUCAAUUUUUUGAAGAGUUGAGACAUAGUUUGAAGAUCAGCACUGUUAAGAUGCAGAGAUGCAUGAAAAAUAAUGAACAUUUAAGUGAUGAAAAGCAAGAGAAGAUCCUACAGCUCCACACAUCUAAUUGAUUACAAGAAAAGAUUGGUCAAGCUGAACAUUAUAGAAGUCUACGGCCCUAACUCAACCCAAAAGCCAGCUCCAAGUCUUAUAUACUUAACCCAAGUUCAAUACUCAGUCGAUGUGGGAUAUUUUCCCUAACACUCCCCGUCAUGUGCAAGCCAGUUUUUUUUUACAAGUCCUUGUCACGUGUUAAGGUAGUGAGGGUCUACUCAUGUGGUGAGUUUGGCUCUAAUACCAUAUAGAAGUCUACGGGCCUAACUGAACCAAAAAGCCAGCUCAAUAGUUGAGGGUUGCCCAAGUCUUAUUUACUUAACUAACAUCAAUACUCAUUCGAUGUGGGAUAUUUUCCCUAACAAACAUAUGCUGAAUUGCUGAUGAUUAACUCACCUGGCAAGUAAUCCUUUUUCAAGCUCAUAUUACUUGUAUCUACAGGUUUACAUUCUGACUCCAUUGACCUCAAAAUCCGUUACUGCUACCCAUUGAAAGAUGCAUAUAAAUCUAAAUGAAUCAACGUACUAUUUUACAUCAUUCUACAAUAUGAGAUGCUUGAGUCAUCAAAAUGUAAAAUGAUAGUUCAUAGGAACAUAUUUAAAGAAGUAACAGACCUGAGCAUUCAUGUUAGCCCCGUCCAUAUAUACUUGACCUCCAUUAUCGUGAAUUAUCUUGCAUAUCUCAUCAAUACCUUCUUCAUAAACUCCAUGAGUUGAAGGGUACGUUACCUGAAAGUUAAAUUUAAUUCAUAUAUCAAGAGAAAUUGCACAAACAAGCAUUCCCAAAUGUCCUAGUCAUAUUUAAGUUUUCUACUAAUACAAAAUGAAUUAUCAGUACAUGUUGCAAAGCCUCUUUACCAUAAGGGUUGAUAGGUUGUCCCUAUUAGCUUCUGCGGCCUUCCUUAACUCUUCAAUGUUGAUGUUACCCUUGGCAUCAGUUCCAACAGAAACAAUCUUCAUUCCACACAUGGCAGCAGUAGCAGGAUUUGUCCCAUGGGCUGACACGGGUAUAAUGCACACAUUGCGGUGAUGGUCUCCUCUUGCCUACAGUUUCCAAUAACAGUCCAAGGAUUGUUAAAAAUGGAGGGAAAGGAGCGGGAAAGGAAUCCAGGCAAUAUGUCUCAAGUUUUACUCCAAGUUUUUGGCUACAAGGGAUAAGAGCAUAGUUUGUAAACACAGUUACCACCCAUUUACCUUAUGAUAAGCGCGGAUAACCAUGAGCCCAGCAUACUCACCAGCUGCACCAGCAUUUGGUUGCAAAGAGAAAGAGUCAAAGCCAGUAAUGGUACACAGCCACUCACCCAGAUUGUUAAACAUUUCCUUAAGAGACAAAAAAUGAUCAUCUAUCAGGAAAUAAUAUAUGUGAAACAUUUAAUAGACUAAUGCAGCUGUAAAUUCUGUGCGCUACUGAAGAUGCCUUGCUAAUUACCUGAUAACCCUGAGCCUGGUCAGCAGGGGCAAAAGGGUGUAUGUUAGCAAAGCUAGGCCAUGUCACUGGCAUCAUUUCAGUUGUUGCAUUCAAUUUCAUUGUACAAGAUCCCAAUGGAAUCAUACUAUGGCAUAGUGAGAGCUCCUUUGAUUGUAACAGAUGAAUGUAUCUAAGCAAUUCAUGCUCUGUGUGGUAUCUAUAUAAUAUUAAAAAACAGUAUAAGUCAGAGAAGCCUCUGAGUUAUGAAGUACAGGUAGUUUGAGUGAUAGUAUAGAGUUGUACUUGUUAAAAACAGGAUGUGUCAGAUACGGACUCUCCCUUGUUAAUCCAGACGGAAUUGCAGUCUCAACCUCUUCAGCCAGAGAUGCAGCAGUGAAUGGAACCUGACAGUUUAACAAAGAAGGUUCUGUUUAGAAAUCAAACAAUGUAAUUAAUACAGCGAACAUCAUUUGGGGAAAAAAAAAAUGUAGAACGCACUGAUUUGCCCCCAGCGAAAACUAUGAAAAGCUUAUCAACAUCCUCCAAGGUGGUUGUUUCAUCAAAGGAAGCAGUGACCUGAGAGACAAAAAAACUUCCUUAAUCUGACAACAAAAAAUCAUACAGUAACCCAUCAACACAACAUAUGAAAGACUAACUCACGGUGUUGGAAUCUACAACCCGAAGAUUCAUUUCAAUCUUGUAAGCAGCACUGGCAAUGGCAUGUGCAUCCGCACACUUCACCUUCACAGUGUCAAAGAAGGGAAGCCCCUGGACUUCCACUGUCCCCAGCUUUUUUAACCCAAGGGCGAAAGUCCCGGCUAGUCCAUGGACUCUUUGAGCAAUGGUUUUAAGGCCUUCAGGUCCGUGAUAAACAGCAUACAUAGCAGCCAUGUUUGCAAGUAAUGCCUACAUAGAUAAGUUUUAUUCAACCAAAGCAAAGUCAGUUCAUUGGGCAUGUUUUAUGGUGCAGAAAAUAUGAAUGCAUGUGUUUAUGACAAAAUUCUUGAGCUAGACAGGUUCUGCAGUCUUCAAACUUUCAAAAAAUUAGAAAGCAGUUUUUCAAUCUCUACACAGGCAGUCCUCCAAAGUAAAACAGAAACAGAACAGGAAUAACAAUAAUCUGUUACUUGAGCGGUGCAGAUGUUGCUGGUAGCCUUGUCCCUGCGGAUAUGCUGCUCCCUAGUCUGCAUUGCCACACGCAGGGCAGGCUUCCCUGAAGAAUCAAUACUAACACCAACAAUCCUCCCUGGCAUCAUCCUCUUGUACUCUUGAGAGGUAGCCAAAAAUGCUGCAUGAGGACCUCCAUAACCCAUUGGCACACCAAACCUCUGAGCAGAGCCCACAACAAUAUCAGCCCCCAGUUCACCUGGAGGCUUCAAAAUUGUCAAUGCCAACAAAUCCGUUGCCAUAACAACCUUAACUCCAUUAGCAUGAGCAUUCUUAAUGAAAUCCCCAUAAUCCAAAACUUCACCCUCAGUACCUGGAUACUGAACCAAAACCCCACAAACAUCACCUGACUUGUAAUCAAUAUCCUUAAGAUCCGAAACAACAACUUUAAUAUCAAAACCAUCAGCUCUAGUAAUACAAAUAUCAAUUGUCUGAGGGUGGCAGUUGCUAGCAAUAAUAAAAGUCUUCUUCUUUCCCUUCUGUAUGUUAUUGCACAUAGCCAUUGCCUCAGCAGCAGCAGUUCCCUCAUCAAGCAAUGAGGCGUUUGACAUAGGCAAUCCAGUAAGAUCUGCAAUCAUGGUCUGGAAAUUAAGCAAAGACUCAAGUCUCCCUUGAGCAAUCUCAGCCUGGUAUGGAGUGUACUGAGUGUACCAAGCUGGAUUCUCCAUAAUGUUCCUCAAAAUCACAGGGGGAACAUGAGUGUUAUAGUAUCCCAUGCCAAUAAAUGACUUAUAAACCUUAUUCAUUGAUGCUAGUUUCUGCAUAUGUUCAAUCAUUUGGCUCUCGGUUAACCCUUCAUCAAACUUAGAGAAUUUCAUUGAAUCAAUACGGAUAGAUUUAGGCACAGUAGCAUCAAUAAGUGAAUCGAGAUUAUCAAGACCAACUAACUCAGACAUUUUGGCUUGAUCCUCUGGGGUUGCAGAGUUAUGGCGACGAGCAAAAGUAUCACUUGGUUUUAAUGCCUCAACAGAAAUGCCUCGAGUCUGUGACCCGAUACCAUAACCAUUAACAUUAUGAUGAGACAUGUUCCUAGAUUGCAACAAAUCUGAUCUUGAAUUGUUGGAGCAAACAAAUGGUGCACAUGACAAUGAAGAGAGAUACCUUGAAGGUGUGUACGUAGCAGCAGCGGCAGCUGAUGAUUUUGAUUCACGGUGAUUGCGGGACAGCUGCUUGGACUCAUUAACCAGGCGUUUGAGAAAUGCCCGGCUGGCCAGCCGCCUUGCACGCUCCAUGAAUGAAGUGAGAUAGAGCUAAAACGGGCUCUUGAGUCUUGCCUCUUGCAAACUUCAAAAAAGGAAAUAACUUCACAAGAAGCAAGGCAAAGCAAGGCAAAUGGGGUUGUUGAGAAGAUAAAAAGAGUAGUUUUUCAAUAAAGUAAAUAUUUUUGUUACAUAAGAGUCAGUGGGGGUAGGGGGUUGGUGAUAAAUAAACUGAUGAUUCAUAUGCUGAUAAUUUUGUCUAUAUAAACAAUAUAUAUAGAGAGAGAGAGAGAGAAGAGAGGACAAUACUAUCUAUCUACAUACACACACAGACACACGUAUAUUUGUGCGUGUAUAUAUUAAUAAAAAAGAUUAAUUCUUUUAUGACUUCAAGAUCUGGUGAAUUUGGUGGGUGAUGACUGAGCAGCCACCUACGUAGAAAAGACACUUAGGAAGUUAUCAUAUCACAAUCUGCAGGAAGUUACAACUUUCUUACAAAUGUAUGGAAGAAAUUGAAUGCAAAGAGAUUGGAAUUCAAUGGAUCACAAUGCCGUUCGAUUUUUAUGGUGAUAUGAAUAUGAUGAUAUCCGAGAAAUAAUUUAAAUAAUUGAAUUUUUUUUUUUUUGGGGGGGUGGGAAAUAUGGGAUUCUUUGGUGGCUGAAUCUCUUUCACAAUCAAGUUAUCACUUUGCCUCACCUCAUGUUUAUAAAAACAAAAGUCUUUCAUUGGGUUAGGGUUUACAGCAGAUAAGUGAUAAAUCUCACUCAUUUUUCAGUUCAUGGGAACUUUCAAUGAGAAUUUUUUUCGUUUUUUUUCUUUUUUGGUUCGGUUGGGAUUUUUUGGUUUGUUGGUUUGGUGGGUCCUGAAAAUUGGGUGGAGGCUAAAAUUGGGAAAUUGCUGGAUCAUCGGAAAUCUAAUGUCUGUGGGCUCUUGUGUGGCCUGUGGCUGACAAUUUACGUCAUAAGUGGUUACCUAAAACAACUCGACAGAGUCCGAUUUCUCUGGCCAUUUAUACUGUUGUGUGGUGUAUCACACAGCCUUUUAAGUUUGAGAAGCAACGGCUGAGAUUUGACCACAGUAGUUACCGUCGUGAGAAAUUGGAAUCUUGAUGAUCAUUUCAUAGCAUCCAAGAACUGGACUCUUGACUCUUUCAUAAGUACUUGACUUGUGUCUUCUGAUGGAAAAAACAAAAAAAAAAAAAAAAAAGUGGGGAAAGAAAAAGUAGUUGCGGAGGGCAUUAUGUUACAUUUCGUCACAAAUAAAAAUAACACCAACAAUUCAAAAUAAAUUUCACAACCGAAUAACACUUAAACUUGUUAGUGCAGUACUUGUGAGUGGGUGUCUAAUUACAAAAGAUUGGGCACAAUGAUUUGACCAAUAAUCCGGACGAGAUGUUUUAACCAAUAAUUCAAGUAGAGUUGUGUUGUAAUAAAUGAUUUUUUUUUCUAUAUUAUAAUAUAAUUUACAAAUAUUUACCGUUAGAAACCUACAAAAAAAAUAAUAGUUUUUAAUUUUUUGUUAUAAAAAACGAACGUUUAAACCGAACUUAGGUCGAAUGUUGUUAUACAUUAGUAUAAGAUAUUAACAAAUACGAGUUAAUAUCACUUUUUUGAACUAUAAAAUUAAUCAAAACAGCAACACCAAUCAACAAACUCAAAUUUGUUUAGACCAAUUUCGUCACUUUAAAGGAAGAUUUCUCACUAUAAAAGGGACAAAUAAAAUAGUUUGAUCUGUAUGAUACAACGACAUUGUUAUGAGGUUGCACUUGACACGACAGUUUAAAACAACAAACGGAAAGUUAAAGAAGAAAAAUAUGAAAUAGAAGUAGAGAGCAUUAGAUAUAAUAAUUGGGCUACCUCUUCACUUCUUAUUAUAGUUGUAAUAGGUCAUUAAAGGCUUUGUAUAUCUUUCUUAUGUAGAGAAACCUCAUAUUUUUACUAAUUCAAUUUUGAAGUAAUUGCCCACUUUUUCUUAUUUAAUUUUAAUUAGUCAUCUAUAUGUCUCAUAAUUUAAUUCAGCUUGAAUAAUUUAUAUCACAUCUAAAUUUGAUUUAUUCAACUCUAAUUUUUAAUUAAAUCAAACACAAAGAAAAUUGCUCGUAUUUUCCGCUAAUGAGGGACAUUAGUAUUUUGAAAUACUAAUAAAAUUUCUAAUUCAAAAAAGUCUUAUCUUUCAUUAUAUGUUCAAAAGAGGACUUAAACCUUUGCAUAUAGAUAUAAAGAGAAAAAAAAAAAAAAAGCUUUUGAUAGACGAAAUGAAUGAUAUAUGAAGGGAAAAUUAUAUUUUUUUUUAGUUUUGAUAAUAAUCUUAGGUAGUUCACAAGUUUCACAUUUUACGUUUUGAAACUUCGCACCAAGCCACCAACCUCUUAUAGUCUUAGCCUGUGGGCGCUGGUUUUUUGUUUGCGUGGCAACAUAAAAGUUUGUUUGUCUUAUUUUAGCGCGAGGUUAGCAAAGGCAAUUGGCUGUAGGGAUGGCAAUGGGGAGGGGAGGGGAGGGGACCGAUCUCCCCGUACCCAUCCCCGAUAUUUUACGUAUGUCCCCAUCCCCUCCCCGUCCCCGUCAGAAUUACUUGAGAGAAUCCCCAUCCCCUCCCCGAAUAAUAACAGGGGAUCCCCGAGGAUCCCCGAUCCCCGAAUAACUAAUACAUUUUUUUUUCGAUUUUGAGUUAAUCAUAUUAAAAUAAAAAAUUCAAAUAAAAGUAAAGUUCGAAAUAUAUCUUACAUUAAUAUCUAUUACAAAAGUCACAUACAUUAAAUUAGUAAGUAACGCAACAUACAAGAGAUACAAACUUAUUUUACAAACUAUCAUGAACAAAUUAAUAGUCUAAUACAAAAUUGUUACAAAUAAAAUCAAAUUUAGAUUCAAAAUUAACUUUUUCAAUGGUGGCGUGGGCACUUUAUAAAUGUGGACUAUUCCCUUUACAACACAAUAGUUAAAUCGGAGCAAAUCAAAAGUAAAUAUUAGAUUAGAUUAGAUUAGAUAUUAAAAUUGUGAUUCGCUGUGGGCAAUUAUAACAUCUAAAAUUAAAUAAAAAAUAGAUUUAAGUUUAAAAUAUUUAAAGAAUAUCAAAAUUAAAAAAAAAUUUGGCUAAUAGAAUCUACUCAGUCUUUUUAAUGUCCUAAAUAAAAAUUUAGAACUUUAAUUAGCUAAUUAGGCCUAAAAGUUUAAUAAUAUAAAUAUUUUGAUAUUUUUUAUUUUUACCAAUAUUUAUAAUUUUAUAAUUUAAAUUUUAUAAUUUAUUUACUAGUAAUUUUAAAAAAUUAAAAUUAAAUUAAAAAUUAAAAUGGGGAAAUGGGUAGGGGAUGGGGAUUCCACCUCAUCCCCGUCCCCUCCCCGAAUAAGAAAUUGGGUAAAAAAAUUUCCCCGUCCCCUCCCCGAAUAAGAAAUUGGGUAUGAAAUUAUCCCCAUACCCUCCCCGAAUGGGGAAAAUCCCCGAGGGUACCCGUCCCCGUGGGGAUUUUUGCCAUCCCUAAUUGGCUGCUACGGGAGAUGGCUUUCCCCCCUCGAAAGUCUUAUCUAUUAUACGAAAAGGAAAAAGGCAAAAAAUAAUAAUAAUAAUAAUGAAAGUAGAAAAUAAACGCAUGAUGAUGGGGUAAACAUGGCGGCCUCGGACUUAAAUUAGAUAUUUUUAUAUUAUAGCUUCAAUUAAACUAAAAUCUGAAUUUUGUUGGAUCUACAACCAUACACGUGCGACGAAUUAGAAUUGUGUAAUAUCUAAGUUUUUACAGCUUUCAAAGAUCUGCGAAGUCAGGUGUCCAUUAAUAAUAAUGUGAUGGUGUGUUUACUUACUGGAUUGGAAAAUCAAAAUUCAGAAUCUGAAUGAUUGAUAGUGUUUACUUUGCAAAUAUGGAGCAUGAAUCGGAAUCGGAAUCGGAAUGGUAAGACCCACCACUAUUUGAGAAUGGGGAAUGAGAGAUUGAUUCCCUUGGGAGGUGGGAAUGAGUCUUUCAUUCUCGGGAUUGACCAUUUUACCCUUCCCAAAAUUAAAAAUGCUCACUUUGUCCUCUUUUAUAAUUAAUUAAUAUAAUAUUAUAAUUAAUUAAUUAAUAUAUUAUGAUUAAUUAAUAAAUAAAUAUAUUAUUAACUAUAAUUAUUAAAAAUUAUAGUUCUUGAAUAAAUUUAAUAUAUUAUUAUUAUACUUAAUUAAUUAAUUAUUACUAUUAAUUAAUAUAUUAACAUAUUAAUAAUAAUAAUUAUUAUUAUUUUUGAAUAAAUAAUCACAAUAAUUAAUUUAUUAGUAUUAUUAUUUUAAUUAAUUAAUUAAUGUACUAUUAUAAUAAUUAUUAAUAUAAUUAAUUUAUAUAUUAUUGUUAAUGAAUCAAUAUAAUUAUUACUAUUAAUUAAUAUAUUAUUAACAAUAAUAUAUUAAUAAUUAUUUUUCUUGAAUAAAUAAUCACAAUAAUUAAUAUUAAUAUUAUUAAUUAAUUAAUUAAUAUACUAUUAUAAUAAUUAUUAUAAUUAAUUCAUAUAGUAUUAUUAAUUAAAUAAUAUAUUUAUUACUAAUAAUUAAUAGAUUAUUAACAAUAAUUAUUAAUAAUUAUAUUUUUUGAAUAAAUAAUCACAAUAAUUAAUAUAUUAUUAUUGUAAUUAAUUAAUUAAUUAAUUAAUAUACUAUUAUAAUAAUUAUUAACAAUAAUUAUUAUAAUUAAUUCAUAUAUUAUAAUUAAUUAAUUAAAUUAAUAUUAUUAAAUAAAUAAUAUAAUAUAAUUAUUACUACUAAAUAAUAUAUUAAUAUAUUAUUAACAAUAAUUAUUAAUAAUUAUAUUUUUUGAAUAAAUAAUCACAAUAAUUAAUAUAUUAUUAUUGUAAUUAAUUAAUUAAUAUACUAUUAUAAUAAUUAUUGUUAAUAACAAUAAUUAUUAUAAUUAAUUCAUAUAUUAUUAUUAUUAAUUAAUUAAUAUUAUUAAAUAAAUAAUAUAAUUAUUACUACUAAUUAAUAUAUUAAUAUAUUAUUAACAAUAAUAAUUAUAUUUUUUGAAAAAUAAUCACAAUAAUUAAUAUAUUAUUAUUGUAAUUAAUUAAUUAAUAUACUAUUAUAAUAAUUAUUGUUAAUAAUUAUUAUAAUUAAUUCAUAUAUUAUUAUUAUUAAUUAAUUAAUUAAAUUAAUAUUAUUAAAUAAAUAAUAUAAUAUAAUUAUUACUACUAAUUAAUAUAUUAAUAUAUUAUUAACAAUAAUUAUAAUUUUUGAACAAAUAAUCACAAUAAUUAAUAUAUUAUUUUAAUUAAGUAAUUAAUAUUAAUAUUAUUAGUUAAUAUAUUUUUAUAAUAAUUUUUAUUAUAGUUAUUAUGAUUAAUUAAAAAAUUUUACAAUUAAUUAAUAUAUUAGUUAAUAGUAAUUAUAAUAAUAAUCCAUUAAGUACUUUUUAGUAAUUUGUUACAAUCUAAUUCAUUCCGAUUCCGAUUCCAAGAUAAAGUAAACACAUUAAUGGCAAUUCAGCUCAUUCCAAUUUCGAUUCAUGCAAUUCAAGUAAACAACUUAUUUUGAUUCUUAUUCCCUAUUCUCAUUCAAGUCCAUUCCCAUUCAUGUCCAUUCUGAUUCCAGCUCAUUCCGAUUCCAGUUUAGUAAACGCAGUAUGAGAUUAGAAUUUUACUCUUUAUGUCCCCUAUUUAGUAAUAACCAAUUAUCUACAUUGAAUUCUACUAAAAAAUUCACGUCAAAGAGAAAUUUGGUCCCUAAUCCCCGCAUGACAUGACAUAAGUUUAAUGGUUUUCUUGCUUUAGCAUGAGGUUGGUGAGGCAAAUAACUGUGUUAUGGAAUGAACAUUUUGACUGUGUUAUGGAAUUGAUAAAAACGUUGUGUGGAAAAAUUUCAGAUUUUUAAAAAAGGAGGGGAAAUAAUAAUAUUUAGAAAAAUAACCUUUGAUGUACAAGUUUAAUAUAUUCUAAUUCCUACAGCAAUCUUAUAAAGAAAAUUGAAAUUUUCAAAUUUGAUAGGUAAGGCGAAGGUAUGCUGGGGAGGCUGAACCGGAUCUUGCGAUACUCACCUAACACAUGAAUUAAAUUUCAAAGUUCUAGCUAAUUUGGAAAUUAAAUAUAGAGGCGGAUCAAGCCAUAUGGAGAUUGUAGACUAUCUUUGAAAUUAAAUAUUAUAAUGGAAACAUUUAUAGAGAAUCUUUUGUCGCAUAAACAUGGAAUCUUUUGUCUUUUGCAUAAAAAACUUCAUAUUAUUCACCAAUCACUAAUGACCUCAAAAUGUUUGAUGGCCGGUGUUAAUAAAUAUAGAACAACUGCCCAACACGCAUUUUCACUUAAAAAAUUAUACCAACUCCGCCAUUAAUUAAAAAGCUAGUGGGCUUUCUAGCCCACUGAUUCGCUAACCCGUGCGCACAAAUAUGGUGCUUGGUCUCGAGUCUCAAUCUCAUGUUGGGAUUCUUUUUACUUUCAAUUAUUAAUAAUAGUAAUAUUAUUAUUACUAUUACUAUUAUUAUGGUAAUAAUAUUUAUGGUAGAAACAUUUAUUCUAAAUUUUGUUUGUGAACAAAUAUAUAAUUGUAACUAAGGACAUUCUUAUUACAAUAAAAAAUAAAUACAUUAAUGGAAUACAGCUCGUUCCGAUCAAGAGUAUAUAUUAGUUAUUUUUGUAUUUCAUUUCAAUACGAAAUUAGUUGUGCUUCUGAGCUAUGAUCAAACAAUUCGAUAUUGCAAGGCUAAAUAAUCAUGAGUGACCGAUAGCGAAGUAGCAUUGUGAGGGAAGGGCGAAAAGAAACCCCAUCGAAGAGUGAAAUAGAACAUGAGAGCUUAAGCACCCAAGCAGUGUGAGGAGCUCGGUGCUCCAACCGCAUGCCUGUUGAAGAAUAAGCCAGUGACUUAUACGUAGCGCCUUCGUUAAAAAGAAACGAAAGAAUAAUAAGCAAUGACAUACCGAUUCUAAUUUUUUAUCAUUGUAAGAAGGGAAAUAAUCUUUCUUUAAUUGUUCCUUUCAAUAGAAUAAUAUGUAUUUUAUUUUCAAAUCAAAUCCAAAUAAAUUAUUCUUUCAAUGGUAUAGUUCGCACCAUUUUUGCAGUUCAGCAGUAUGGGUCAUUGGAACAAAAAAUGCCCAGUUGGUCCAUGCACCCUUAUCCAUAUCUAGCUACGGAUUAUGGUACAGAACUGCCAAUUGGGUGAUUCAUAUACAUUCUAUUUACUUUAAUUUUGAGUUUAGAAAAAACAUUAUUGAAUCUGAAGCCCAAGCCAAAAAAAAUGAUGCAUAAUUUGACAAAAGGCUUAUAUGCAUGGAUUGCUAUCCUUCUCUUUCGGAGAUAAUGUUCUUUUUGCAUUUUAAAGAUUUGUGAGCUUGAUCUUCCUGUUAAAUAUUUAAAUACAAUAUACAUGAUUACUUCCAUUGAAAAUUGUUUAGUCCAAUCUAAUAUACACAUAAAUUGCUUACUUUUAUACUUUUGAUUUUUCUAUUUUUAUAACUCAAGUAAAUAACUUAUUUUUAUUCUCAUUCUUCAUUUUAAUUUUAGUCCAUUUUGAUUUUAGCUCAUUCUGAUUCUAGCGAAUUAAAUGCACCAUUUUCCUAACCCAACUAAAUUACAUGAUUUUGUUAUAAUAUAUAUGCACUUAAAAUUACACUUCACAAAUAGGAUGAGAACCUUAUACAUAUAAAUAAAAAAAAUUGAUUAAGUGCGAACCUUAUACAUAUGGAGAGGCUCUGUGUUGUAGACCCCAGAGACCCUCAAUCAUGAUUUAUCGUGCAUGCUGUCGCACACUAAAUCAGUUCUCUAUAAACAAAAUUAAUAAAGUGAAUGAAUUUGUCUCGUAAACUAUAAAAACAUCAAAAUACAAAUAUACAUACCAUUUAUUCAUCUUAUAAUGGAACUGGAUUCAAAAGUUGUGCUAAAUUCACUCUGAAUUUUUAUAAAUAGACCUAUAAUGUAAAGAAUUGGAUAAAGAUCAUCUUGACUGAUACACUUCAAAAUUCAAAUGCAACCCAUAGGUAAAAAGGCAUUCGGCGUCCUCCAAAGCCCACCAAUUUGGCCAUUAAAACGCUGCGUUUAAUGACAGGAACCAAUUGACCAACUUAAUUUAACAAAUGAAAAUCCAAUUCAGAAAAAUAAAAUAAAAUUUGAGAUCUAGAGAAACUGUAAUCCACUUGAACUAGAUCGACCAUCUUUGUCUUUUCUCCAUAUAUAUAUAACGUUUUUGUAAAUUGCAGUAUUAGGCUGUGUGUUGUGUGUGAGAUAUAAAGAGAUUUAUGAUGGGGCUCUUGGCCUACAAACACAACCAUCAUGUGGCUCACUCGCAGCUGAUAGCUCCCUUAGUUAAUUAAGCAAGUGUAUCAUCGAAAAAUGACAAUGUCUUUAUCAAGACAUGGAUACAACGCUAUAAUCUAAUGACUCUUUGGUUCAUUCACAAAUCGCAUCAUGACUAGGAGUGACUCUUAGAUCUCACACGUAGCAUGUUUCUUCAUCUUUGAAAUUGUUGAUCAUUAUAUCUCAUCCUGGGCAUCUUAAGAAACAAAAUAAAUAUGCACAUUUAUCUUGUCAUAAUAAUAAUAAUAAUAUUAAAUACCUGUGAAUGUAAUCACGAGAUGGCAUAAAGCAUUCUCAUUGGAUGCUGCCAAGCAAGGAACGUUGUGCUUCACUUAUUUUACAUUCAGGUAUUUUGAGGUCAUUUAUCAGAUUUCAAUUUCAAUCUUUUUCUCUUUCAACAAUUAGGCAAAGCCUCUAACUUUCACAUAAUCUUAGGACAACAUUAUUUUGUGGACCGUAUUAAUUAUAAUUUAGAUAAUGAAGAUAAGCAAUCUCGUAGGCCAAUUAUACUCUUUUCUGCAUAUCGAUUCAGUUUGGAGAUAAAAAACCGCAAAAUAGCUCUAAUAAAUGAUAAAGUAAACGUACAGCCAUGAAUAAUUUUGUACAAACAAUAUUGUACAUUCUAAUGUGAUAUAUUAUUAUUCAUUAAAUUAAACAUAUGGUACCAAAUUAGAUUAAUACAUCUUGCCACACCAAUUUAUAUAAGAUUAUUCAUAAAACUAUUUGUGGCUGUAUAACGAUUCUAAGCAGACGAGUAUGGAAUUGUCUUCCCCAUAUAUGAAGCGAAAGCACAACGUAAUUUGAGUCAUACAUGAUAUGCUCAUACGUGGCUCCACUGAGACCUUUUAUUUCUGAUCCGUUGAUACUUGAUAGUUGGUCAAACAAAAUGACAGAUGAGAUCAUAAAUAAAAUGAAUCGACUUGUGGCUUAGAGUAUCUACUCUCUCAAGUAAUUUAACUGAGGGCAUGGUAAAUGGAAAAUGAGAAGAUCACAAGAAAAGUUGAUAGUAAAAGUUGUGGGGGACUAAAGAGGCUGUCACCGUCUCUUCCUGCUCAAGCAAUUGAUGUCUUUCUGCAAGACAAAGAGAACAACAUGCUCCCACCCCAUGCUUGAAAAUUAUUUAUACUCAUCUCUUUUCAUAUACAUGUUAUCUGCACAAUCCUCAGAAGACUGAAAUCCCCUCUCCAUUCUUCUAAAUAUCGUUCACGGCAGAAAUCAUCCGGUGCAUGUUAUGGCAAUGAAACAUAGAGUAUAUAUUUCUCUAAUGUGAGGGAGAAUUGUCCUCGUCGGCCGUUACUGAAUUAUAUAAGGUUUGAGCAAGGGCAAAUCCAAGAUCUUAUUAUAAAGUGGAUCAAACAAAAUUUUAGAAUAUAUAUAAUUGCGUGAGAAAAAAUAUACGGAAGUAUGAAAAUAUUUUUAAUGUUAACAAUGAGAGACAUUGUUGCAAUAAUCAGAGACUUAUUUAAUUGCACUUCUCUGAACUAAAAUUUAAUGGGAUUUUGGCAAGGAACUCGAAGGACAAGUAAUUUAAAGGCAUGUGAUGCGUAAGGCACAGCAAGUUAACAACUCAGAUGCAUCGAGAAACAAUGGGUUUAUUUGUGAUCGAGUUACUCGGAAACUGGUAUAUAAUACGAGAGAUAAGCUGACAUAAUAUAUUGGGAUACGUUUUGUGGUUACACUCCACAACUCCGUUUAGUUUGUCUUGUUUUUAUUUGGGCGGCUACAUGAAGUCGCGUGAAUGACUUUCAUCAGGCCUGCGCUUGCCCUUUUUCACCUUUUAUAAGACUGCACGACUGCUACUAUUUAGCUUCUUUUUCGCCCUCUCUUCGCUGGACAAACAGCUGCUGCUAUUUCUUUCUCUCUCUCUCGCCAUCCAUGGCUCCAAUGUAUUUGAACCCAGCACAGGACCACUCUGAUCCUUUUCGACUUGCGGAGGCGCAAAAACGUGAUCAUCAACGUUUGCAGGUAUUACACUCUUCAUCACAUAAUCGACCUGCUGCUUCUGUUUCUCGCCCUAUUUUUCUUAACUCAUCAACUCAAGAUCAAGGAAUGAUCAAAUUGGAAGGAUCACAGCAACAUGAUCAAAAGGCAAGAACAAUAAAUUCAAUUACUCGAAGCAAUUUAUUUUUCUUGUUUAAUUCUUUUGUUAUCUAUGCUUUCAUUAUUUUUUUUAAAAUUUUUUACUUAAACAAUUAUCUUAAUUUUCAUGAUCGUGUGCCUUUAUCUAUAGUGAUUCUUCAUCAGCAAUGUUAGUAAAUAUAAUCCAUCUGUUUAAUUAACUUUUCUCGGUAUCGUUCAUGCCCCGAUCAUAGCUGACAUAUAUUUAUAUAUAGCACAAAAUCGAAGUAUCUAUAUUCACAUAUAUAAAUUGAUGCGUAUGCUAGAUGAUAUGUUUAUUAAUUUGAUAUAUUAAUCUGUUUGAUCAGCCUUCAUUUAUUUGAUCUUUUUCAUUCUAAUAAGUACGUACAUAUGUGUACUUAGGCAUUUAGCUUUUGAUUUACGUAUUUUAUUUUUAUUUUUUGAAAAUAUAUAUAUUCCUUCAUCUCGAACCGAUUCUUGUAAGCCGAUUCUUGUUUUUAUUUCCUUGUAAUUAAUAUACGUGAUCUCUUAAAUAUAAAUAAUUAACUUGAUCUCAGAUUGAUCAGCGCAUAGCUGGCGGUGGAUCAAGCGAUCUUCAAUCUUCAAUGUCUCAACCUAAGACGAUGACCAAUAAACUGGCCAUUCGUAGAAGGGAAGUGGGAGAAGGAAGCACAAGCGACAACAGUUCAUAUACAUCAUCAUCAUCAGGCGAAUCUAUGUCCUCCAAAAUGAGGCUAGCGAAUAAAAUAAUCAACUCAUCAUCGGUUAGCACAGGAACCCAUGAUGAAUCAGUAAAAGUUGCAGAAAAGCUUCUGCAUGAGCAUGACAAUAUCGAAGUCCAUUAUUUUACUACGAACAGUAGUAACAGCAACAACACCGUUAGAAUCUGCUCAGACUGCAACACGACCACAACACCCCUUUGGAGAAGCGGUCCUCGUGGUCCCAAGGUUCGUUCAUUCGUUCAUUGUUCUUUCUUUGUCUUUUAUACUAUUUUUCUUGUUCAGAUUGAUUUCAGAAUUUCAUUUUAGUUUGGCUCUUCCAUAAUCUGUUAGGCCACUUCAUGUCUGUGUAUCAAUAAUAUAUACGAUGGUGCGCCCAUGAUCGUAACAUUAACCUAUAUUAAUUUUAUAUAUGUUGGUCCAGUCGCUGUGCAACGCUUGUGGCAUUCGGCAGAGGAAGGCGAGAAAGGCUAUGCAAGCAGCAGCUGAAAGUGGCACCACAACGGCCAAGGACAAUUCUUCAUUUUCGAAGAUUAAGUUGCAAAACAAUAUGGAAAAGAAACCGCGGACGAGCCAUGUGGCUCAGUACAAGAAAGUACAGUGCAACACUCCUGAUCCUGAUCCUCCUCACCAUGAGUAUCGGAGUCAAAGAAAGCUUUGUUUCAAAGAUUUUGCUUUAAGUUUGAGCAGUAAUUCUGCUCUUAAACAAGUGUUUCCACGGGAUGUUGAAGAAGCUGCCAUCCUGCUAAUGGAACUUUCUUGUGGUUUUAGUCAUACUUAGAUUUCAGUCAUUUGCUUUUCUUGAUUUAUUAACUAGGACUGGUUAUUAAUUCUUGUAGUUACGGACACAGUUUGUGUGCACCAGCUAAUUCCAUUAGUAAGAUUCUUGGAAUGGUGGUGUUAGGUAAUUUAAGGUUCAAAAAGUGCUUGCAUCAGGUAGCGACAGGGCGUUUGCACUUAUAUCUUAAGGGGAACGGUAUGCCAAAAAUGGUAACAAUAGGCUGGUUAUGCGUAUGGGCACUAGGAGUGGCCCAUUCAAAGUGGGUCUUAUAUAACAGAGAUACAGGCAGGCAACCUGGUAAAUCGGAUCUAGGCCUAAAACAUAAAACAUAUUUGACUCCAUUUACGUCUCUCAGUCGCCACCAUUUUUCAAUUAACCUGAAAUACUUUCAAAAUUAUCCUCACUAAAAUUUUAGAAAAAUAUUUAUUUUUUAACAUUGUCCCUUCUCUGUUAUCUACAAUCUCCCUCUCUCUCUCUCUCUCUCUCUCUUUGAAUCACCAUUAUACUCAUCUUCUGAAUUGCCGUGUUUCUAAUUUUUCUUAACCAACCCAAAUGAUUGCUUUAGUCAACUAGUUUAAUAUGGGCUUCUGCCUGUGACUUUUUAGACUGAAGCUGUGCUUUUUUGAGCUGAAAGUGGUUUUGUUUUGAUAUCUUGCUAAUUGGCUUCCGCUAAUUCACUUGUUCUCGUAAGAAUGUUUUUCCUUUGGUUCCUUAGACUUGAUGAUCUGCGUAUUUUUCCAUUAGAAUGUCAUUCAUUUCUUUUGACUAGCUUAAUCGAUUUGUUGUUCAAUAUCUGAUAAUGGAUUUGAUAAUGAUGAAAACCGACGAUUCCGAAUAGAGAAAGAGAAAAGGCAUAUGAGAUAGAAAAGAAAAAAUUAAAAACAAGUACUUGCCUCUUAAUUUUUAAUGGAGUAAUUUUGAAAAUAGAUAAGAUUAAUUAAAAUAUAAAAUUUUAAUGGGGUAAUUUUGAAAAUAGAUAAGAUUAAUUAAAAUAUAGCGGUUACUGAUUAAAAUUGAGGGGGUCAAAUAUCAACAACCCUCUAGUAAAUCGGGGGCUUAAAAAAUAAAAUACAUACUAGGAGAGAGAAAGAAUUUUGACACCCUUCAACAUUCCUUACAAAUCCUAUUUUCAAUUGAAAUUACUUACAUAACAAAAAACUAAUUAAUUAACUCCUUAUUUUAAAUGAAAAUUUAAUUAAACAAUUAAUUGAAAUUUUCUUUUAAUUUUUUUUUUCACCCACCCCAUUUCAUAAUUUAUAUCUAUAUUUUAAAUUUUAUUUGAGAAAAUAUUGAUUUUUGAGAAAAUUAUGAGAGUUUAAGAUUACAGAAAUAGAAACUAUUAAGAAGAAAAUAGUUUAAGAUUUUAAGAUUUUUAUGCAUUUUAUAUAAAAACUUAAAAUGUAAUUUUUUUAGAGGAAAUAGAAACUAUUAAGAAGAAAAUAGUUUAAGAUUUUAAGAUUUUUAUGCAUUUUAUAUAAAAACUUAAAAUGUAAUUUUUUUAGAGUAAAAUUUUAGGUAAGAUGAUUGAUUUUUAUAUAUGGCUACUAUUUUAUAAAUUUUAUAAUAAUUUUAGAGGGUUAAAAGCUUCACUCAUUAGUAGUACAAAUGCUCUACUGUUAUGUGAUGGACAGUAUUUUUUUGGGGGGGGUGGGGGAAAGAAUGACAAUUUUUACACGGAGUAAAACAGACCUUAUGAAAAAUUUAAGAAAGAGAUAAAGGAUGUAGAAAGAAAAAUAAUUAAAUAAAGAUUCAAUUAUUUCUUUUAUUAAGUUUAAUUAACUAAUAAAGUUUAGGUUAAAUUUAGAUAGACACGUGUAUAGCAAAAAGUGGCCAUAGAGGAUAACAAUUUUACUUUCAAGAUGAGCAAAUUGCGUUUAAUCGCAACUAAAUUGGCCAAAAUUAUAUUGUAAGCCACAUCGAGCUCGAAUAUAAUAAAGUUAUAGAAAAGCCUAAAAUGAACGUAAUAUUAGAACCACGACUAAUAUCAUAAUAAUAAUUUUGUCUAUUACGAAUUUCUCUUAACUAAGAAAAAAUGACUUCACACAAUAAAAUCUAAUGAUCGAACAAGAAUAAAUAUUUGAGUUUAUCCUAUCUUGAUACUUAUAGAUGCACCUUCGGUGAAAAUUUUUUGUUCAAAUCGAGAAAAGAAUAUUUAUCUAUACUGCACUCUAAGAUGAUGCUUGACAUAUGUUAACACUAUGAAAUAUAGCAACAUAUUAGCAAGUCCUCCCCCCCCCCCCCCCCCCCCCAAACCAUCGCAAUAACAGUAGGGUUUUCCAGAAAUUUUACCCUUAUCAUUACUUUUGUACAAAAUCGAAAGUCAUUUUAAUUAAUCCUUUGAAUCAUAGUGCAAACUGCAAAGUGGUUAAGUGUAGUUGCUAAAAAUCUUGGAUUUUGAUUUAGGACAUGAACGGUGUACACUUCAAAUGGGCAUAACUUUGGCUACCAAUGCUAGAUUUAGGCGAGUAAUUGUCUUGAAACUCUUAUUGGGACGAUAAUGCUAAUUUCUAUCAUAUAAUCUUCCUUAAAGUUUUGUCAUAAUACAUUAGUUUCAAGCUUGAGUUUGCUCUUAAAGAUUUUUUUGAGCAAAUUAAAAUCCUCUAAUAAUUUUAGCUGUCCUAAGUUUUUAAAUAUUUUAUGUCGUGUGUCUGUUAUUAGUAAUUUACAGGCAUUCAAACUACAUCACAAGAUAGACGAAGUUUUUACCAAAUUGUAAAACAAUUUCCAUUUUCUUUUCCAAUUAUAGAAGUUUGAUGUUCAAGAUGCUUAUCAACUAAUUAAAACCAAUAAAAGUACCUCACAAGCAUUAAACUCGCGAUUGAAAGUUUGAACCCCUAGAUUAGGUUUGAAUCAAAAGAUUUUAAAAGUGUUUAAACACUUUAGUUUGGCUAUGGAAGCACAUCCGCUGACACUAAUACCAAACCGAUCCUUUGAAAUAUUAUAGUAAGCGCAAGACAGCGGAGAAAUAAUAGAAGAGACAUAAUUAUUAUUAAUUGGAUUAUCGGGAGAUGAAACUCUUGUAAAGCAAACCCGCAUUUUGGUUUGCAACAUUCUGAUCAAAGAAAAGAUUCCUCUUUCUUAUCUCUCUAGACACGCUCACAUGCAUAUAAUUGAAAAGGCAAAAAUUCCUAAUUGAUAUGUCAAGAAAUGGAAAUCGUGAAAAUCUAACUGUGGAUAAAACCACAAGAUAGUUCCAUUAGCAGGAUAGCAGCCUCUUCCACGUCUUGCGGAAACACUUGUUUAAGAGCCGAAUUUUUGCUCAAAGCUAUUGCAAAAUCUUUGAAACAAAGCUUUCUUUGGCUCUGGUACUGAUGAGUAGGAUCAGGAUCAAGAGUCCUGUACUGUUUCUUGUUCUGAGACACAUGACUUGUGCGCGGUUUCUUAUCCUUGAUCUGCAACUUAAUCUUCGCAAAUGGAGAACCGCCGGUAGCCGCAAUCGUGCCAGUUUCAACUGCUGCGGCUGCUUGCAUAGCCCUUCUUGCCUUCCUCUGCCGAAUACCACACGCGUUGCAUAGCGACUGCACCAACAUGUAUAUAAUAUAUAUAUUGAUGUUACUUUCAUGCACUAUCAUAUUAUUGGUAUACAGACAUGAAGAGUUUGUAGAUUAAGGCCAAUGAAGUGGCCUAACAGAUUAUUGAAGGGUCAAAAGGGCGUUCUAGAAUCUCAAUAACAAUGUCCAAAGCUGGAAAAAAGACAGUACUGGGAGAAUGGGGAGAAUCAAUCAAACAGUACUAAUGAAUGAACCUUGGGACCACGAGGACCGCUUCUCCAAAGAGGUGUUGUGGUUGUGUUGCAAUCUGAGCAGGCUCUCAUGGUGUUGUUGCUGUUGCUGCUAUUAAAAGAAUUGACUUCGCUAUUGUCAUGCAGCUGAUGAUAUUGAAGUUUUUGAGUUACUUUUACUGCUAAUUCAUGGGUUGCUGUGCUAUUCGAUGAUGAGUUGAUCAUUUUAUGCAUUAGCCUUAUCUUGGAGGACAUCCAUUUGCCCGAUGAUGAUGAACCGUUUUCGCUUGUAGUUCCUUCUCCCACUUCCCUUUUACGAAUGGGAAGUUUGUUAUUUGUUAUAUUAUUCAUCUUCUUUGUUUGAAUUGAAGAAGAUGAAAAUACUUGAAGAUUGCUUGAUCCACUAUGAUCAACCUGAGAUCAAGUUAUUAAGAGAUUGUGUAUUAAUUAGACUGAAAAAACAACUUAUUAACACAUGCCACACAUAAAAGAACAUAUAAAAGAAAUAAUCACUUCCUGAUCAUGGAAAUAUGGAAACAAAAUCAAAAGCUAAUUAUACUUAUGAAUUUGCAAUGAACGAUCAGAUUAAUAAAGGCUGAUCAGAGAUCAUAAACAGGUAUAUUAUGACGAUAUAUAAUCAUUUAACACACACACACACACACACACACACACCGAUCAUGUGCAAUAUAUACCAGCUAUGAUCAUGGCAUAAUGGAUAUCGAGAAAUCAAACAGCUGGAUAAUUGUUAAUAAAUACUAACAAUUCUUGGAUUUUCAAUGAUUAACGGAUCAACUAAAGAUGAAGGCACAAGAUCAAAAUUAAGAUAUUAUAUAAAAGCACAUACAAAAGAAUUUAACCAGAAAACUGAAAUAAUAUACUUUUGAGUAAAUUAAUAAAUCACGUACUCUUGCCUUUUGAUCGUGUUGUUGUGAUUCUUCCAUUAUAAUCAUUCUUUGGUCUUGAAAAUUAGUCCAAGAUACAGAAGAAGAAGCAGCUCGAUUAUGUGAUGAAGAGUGUAAAAGGUGCAAAUGUUGAUCAUCUUUUUGCUCCUCCGCAAGUUGAAAAGGAUCAGAGUCAUGCGGUGGGUUCAAAUGCACUGGAGUCAUGAAUGGCGAGAGAGAGAUGGCCGUUGUUGUUUGUCCAGCAAAGAUGGGGCAAUAUGGGAGCUAGGGAUAGGGCAAAAGAGAAGCUAAAUGGUAGCAGUAAAGGAAAAGGGUAAGAAAGAGGUCUGAAAGACAUUCACGUGACUUCAUGUAAUAGCCCAAAUAAAACAAGUAAGACAAGACAAACUAAAAGGAGGUGCAGAAUGCUACUACUCAACCUCCGUAUGACAAAAACACCCCUAUCUGCAGUGCCCUAUAUUAUUUUACCUCUCAUAUUACACCGGUUUCCGAGUAAUUUCAUCACAUAUCAAUUCUUUUGUUUCUUGAUGCAUUUAAGUUGUUGUGCCCUACUCAUCACAUGCCUCUAUUUGUCCUUUGAGUUACAGAUCAAAAGCCCAUUAAAUGCGCUCCAAAGUUUUACCUCAAAAUAUUAGUGAGCAAUUCUUCUGUAUGUUGCACAUACAACUAAUCAAUAGAAUGACAGUAUCUGUACAUUUCUUAGUUUUGUGUAUAUAUUUUGAUAAAUUCUAUUGGCUGAUGGCACGUUCGUGAGUACGAAAGUUUUCCCAGAAUUAAAUAUAGUACGGCAUGUAGUUAAGAUAGUAAGAGAGCUACGCUUCUUGCUUGUUCGCUGGCAUAAAUAAGAUAAUUCAUAUACCAUGCAUGAAAGAUGUUUAGAAAAAUGGAGAGGGAUUUCAAUCUUCAGAGGAGAGAUGGGUGUAGAUCAUUUGCAUGCAGGGGAUCAUGGUGUGCUUAUUAUAGUCUUUUCCAAAACACAUCGAUUGCUUGAGCGCAGGAUAGGGGCAGUGACAGAUUAGUCCCCACAACUUUUGAAUCAACCCCUUGAAUUCCCUUUUACCGAUUACUGUACCCUCGAUCGCAAAAUAAACAGUAAGCCAUAUGUCACUUUCAUUUCUAUGAUCUGUCAUUUUGAUUUCUCCCCCUUUGUUUUGCCCAGAGAUAAGAUCAAGUGACAAAAUAACAACAGAAAAUAAAAGGUCUCCAUGGAGCCACGUAUAUAUUUGUGUAUUAAUGACAUAAUUAUGGUCAUGCUUUCGCUUCAUAUAUGUGGAACAGGUUCCUACACAAGCUAGCUAGCAGCUUGAUCAAUAUUUUAAUUUCAAGUUUAUAUAACCUUGUCUCCUAUGUUUUUCAAACUCAGUUUACUGCCUAGCUCACAUGGCGAAGCAAUGAUUACUUGAUAUGCAGAAAAUCGAUAAUUUGCUGUAUUCUUUUAGUAGUUUGCUCACAAGACUGCACCGUUACUGCCCUGUUUUUGUUAUUUCUUCUUAUUAUAUACUCCAAAAUAAUAAUAACAACACCGAAUAAAUACAUAUUUUUGGGCUCACCAAAAUAGCUCACAAUCAGAUAAAAAAUCGUUAAGACCUCCGAGGUUUGAUUAAAUUUAUACUUAUAUUGGCUUCAAAAUGGUUAAACAAAUCUCUUUUUGGGUGAGAUUUUUUUUUUUUGACAAAUAUUCUUAGGCUUUGCGCAAUCAUUUCUAAAACUAAAAGAUUUACAUAUAUAAGUACAUUUAAGCAAUUUCAAGCAAAUCUUAAAGGUUUUGGCCGCUUCCUCUCCCCCACAUCCACCAUCAAUCAUUUAUAUAUAUAAUCCUAAUAUGCAUAGAUGUGCUCUUUAGAAUGAAAGUUAUGCCAAAUAAUUGAAAAGGUCAAAUAUUUGAAAUCUUAACCUCAGAAUGCUAAAUAAUUAAUAAGUGAAUCACAAUAAUACUAGUACUCCUUGCAUUGGCACCAACCUACGAGAUUGCUUCGUGUGCCAUGAUCGUACUGAUACCAAAUUCAUUAAUAUUUAUAUUGACAAGAUAAAUGUACAUAUUUUUUCAAAACGGCUAGGACGAUCAACAAUUUCUAAGAUGAAGAAACAUGCAACGUGUAAGAUCUAAGAGUCAUUCCCAGUGAUGCUAUUUGAGCUAAGAUUAGAUUAUGACGCAUUUCUUGAUAGAGACAUUGUCAUUUGUCUAUGAUUUGCUUGCUUAACUAAGAAGGCCAUGCGAUUGAGCUAGACGGUACUGUCUUUGUUUGGCCAAAGUCUCCAUCAUAAUAUGCUGUCUCUCGCUGGAUCUCAUGCGCGCACCCCAAAUUGACUGUACUAUCUCUCUUUACGAGACAAAGAUUCUCUCCUAAUUUAAUUAUAUUUAAACAUAAGGAAUUAUUAUCUUACAUAAUCAUGUAAGAUACAUGAUUCUUCCACAGCAGUUUGAUAAAAAUUUAACGGUGGUAAAAAUAUAAGAUAAUAAAAUCAUAUUAUUUCCAGUUGGAUUUUUAUCCAACGGCUGUGAAAGAAUCAUGUAUCUUACGUGAUCAUGUAAGAUAACAAAAACCUUAAACAUAAUCUGAGGUAGUGGAACAAGGUAAAUUAUUUUUUAAAUACAAAGGAGUGAGUGGGUGCUGUCAAAAUCAGGGGACGGCCUUAUAGUAAAAGCAAAUAUCAAGCAUAAUGGAUUCCCUCUACAUGUGUAAUCACACACCGUGAUUUAGAGAUUUUUAUAUAUGAAAUAAAAUCAAUUAAGGUAAAAUUUGUGAGUAUUCAGUCAAUAGCAUUACGCAAAGCUUAAUCUAUACCAACAUAUUGAAAAAUAAAUAAAAAAAUAGUUGUAGCCCAGUUGAGCUCCUUCCAAACAUCCCCAGUAGCAGAAACAAAUUGCCGGGUACAUCAAAGUUUUGGUUAUAAUUUAGAAAGGGUAAAGUUCGAUUCAUCCUUCAAAUAAAAUGAUAAUCUUCAAUUUAUUCUCUAUAAAUAAAGGGUGCAUUGAUGAAUGUUUUAUUUGUCUUCUCAUCAGUAAAUAGGGAAUAAAUUAUUAUUUUUACAUCUUUUAGAGUAAAUUGAAGAUUACAAUUCUAAGUAGGGAAUAAAUUGAACUCCAUUUAAAAAAUGAAAUAAAUUAAUAAUCUACACAAUCGAUCAAUUAUAUCAAUUUUAAUUCUAAUCUUAUCACUGACGUCUCUUGACCUUCUCCAAUACUAAGGUUUCCUUAAUAGAAAAUUAAGUGAACUAGUUUACCAAUGUAAUGUAUAAGGAUUAAAUUACCCAUAAAAUAUUUGUGAUUUUAUGAAAAUUUUUAAAAUUCUAAAAGGCUUAAUUGUAUCACGUUAUAUCUAUAUAAUUAUUACACACCAAUUAACCUAAAAAAUACAUAUUUUUGAUAAUGAUAUCUCAUGAAAUAUAAUAUAUUGUUGAAAGCUUUUCAGUUUCAUUUAAAAAAAUAUACUUAUUAUUCGUCAUAAUUAAAUAAUUAAAUAAUUAAAUGAUUAUGAUACAAUAAUACACAUUUUUGUGAGUAAUUUGGUUAUUUUAUGUUAUAAGGUUAAAUUAGUUAAAUUAAAUUUAUUUUAAGACAACCUUAGCUGUCAAUAAGAUCAAAUCAACAAAUAGUAUAAAUGACCCAAAAAGGGGGAAAAAACAUGAUUUUUCUGUAACUUUCUUUAUAUAUAUAGGGUCCGCCUUAGUUACAUUUAACGUAACUUACUGCUGACCCGCAAAAUAUCAAUUUGCCCUCUAUACUCUAUAUUAUUUAUAAUUUAUUCAUAAGUAUUAUAAAAUUUUUUGUAUUGUAAAAUUUAGUUGAGCCCUUUGUACUAUAUUUUAUUUUAUUGAAACCCUUAGAGUACCAAUUCGCCCCCCUAUAAUUUUAAAUUUUCAAAAUACCCUCCAUUUAAUUAAAAAAUAUAAUAAUUAUUAAAUAGAUUAUAAUGAUAAUUAUAAUAAUUAUUUUAUUAUAAAUAUAAUUAUAAUUUUUAAAUGGAUUAUUAUUAUUAUUAACAACAACAAGAAUAAAAAGUAUUAUAAUUAAUUAAUCUAUUAACAACAAUUAAUAAUAAUUUUUAGUUAAAAUGUCAAUACUAAUUAACAAUAAUUACUAUUAAUAAUUAAUUUUUGAAUAAUAAUAACAAUAACAAUAAUUAAAAUACAAAAUAAUAAUUAUAAUAAAAUUAAUUAAAGAUUUUAUAGUAAUUUAUUACAAUUUAACUCAUUCCGAUAUUUAUUCUAAGAGAAAGUAAACAUAUAAAUGGUAAUACAGUUCAUUCUCAUUAUGAUUCAUGCAAUUCAAGUAAAUAAAUUAUUUUGAUCCAAUUCUUCAUUUUAAUUCUAGCUAUUCCAAUUUAUUUUUACUAAAUGUACUAUAAAAUUGUAAAUCACUUUAUAUUCAAUUAGACCACUCUAUAUUAUUUACAAUUUUUUAUAAGUAUUAUGAAUUUUAUAGUGCAUUCACUAAACAUAAAUCAAAAUUAACUGAAAACAUAAUGAGUUAGAAUCGAAAUAUCUAGAAUCUAAAUGAGGAAUUAGAAUCAAAAUAAUUUAUUUACUUGAACGGCAAGAAUUAUAAUUAGAAUGAGUUGUAUUACUAUUUAUGUGUUUGUUUUGUCUUAAAAUUAAAAUUAGAAUAAAUUAAAUUGUAAAAAAUUAGUAUAAAAUCUUUCAUUAAUUUUUAUCAUAAUUAUUAUUUUGUAUUUUAAUUAUUGUUAUUGUUAUUCUAAUUAUUAUUCAAAAAUUAAUUAUUAAUAGUAAUUAUUGUUAAUUAUUAUUAUUGUUAACAUUUUAACUAAAAAAUUAAUAGAUUAAUUAAUUAUAAUACUUUUUAUUCUCGUUAAUAAUAAUAAUAAUAGUAAUCCAUUUAAAAAUAAUAAUUAUUAUUAUUAUUAUUAUAUUUUUUAAUUAAAUGUAAGGUAUUUUGGAAAUUUAAAAUUAUGGGGAAUAAAUUAGUACUCUAAAAAUUUUAUUAAAAUAAAAUAGAGUAUAAGGAGCUCAACAAAAUUUUACAAUACAAAAAACUUUUAUCAUAUUUAUAAAUAAUAUAGAGUAUAGAGGGCUGAAUGAUAUUUUGUGAGUCAGCCGUAAGUUACAUUAAAUGUAACUUAGGCGACCAUAUAUAUAUACACACCCUCAAAGUAGAGAUGGAUAAUGAGCUAGGAGGCCAUGGCCCAGCUCCUGAAAUUGAGGCCCAUAUGUACUCGUGGCCCAGCAUGGCACGACCUACUUGACAAGUGUGCCUUACCGUGCCCAGCACAACUGACCAAGACACGACCCAACACGGCCAAUAGGCCCGAUGCCUGGUCCAUAGCCAACCCUUAUGGGCUUCUCAAGUAAAAAGAAAACACAAUAAUUUUUAAAUUUGGAGUAGUGAUAUUUGACUCUUUAAUAUAUCUCACUAGUCCCUUUUUCAAUUAACCCAUUAAAAAGUUUAAACUAAUUUUUAUAUUUCAACACAACCCAUCAAAUCCCAAAUUUACUCUUAUUAUAGCUUUUAUCUUUUUUCCAAGCACCACCAUAUAAAAUUUAUAAAAUCUAUUUUGAAAAAAAAAACUCCCAUAAUCAUUGUAAUCUCUUUCUUUCUUUUUAAAAGUUGUCUAUUGUUGUUAUAACAACAAAUAAAAAAAAAAAGAUUGGAUACUUUUUCAUCAUCCUCUAUUUAGUAUUAUAAAUUAAUUUCUUCCAUAAUUACAAAAGUAGAGUAUGCAAUAUUUGAGAAUAGAUAAUAAUUUAAAAAGUUAAAAGAAUUAGAAAAUAUUAAUAGAAAUCAUCAUGUGAGUACACUUAAAAGCUAUUUAUCCUUUUAAGUCAUUUCAUAUAAAAAUAAAACAAGUAUUAGCAUAAAGUGAUUAGUGAGGGUUGGUGAGAUAUAACGAAUUGGUCAAAUAUCACAACUCUAAAUUAGCCUUUCAAGGACCACCACUUUUACCAUUAAGCCACAUAAAUCUAAUAAGAAUUUGGUGAAAAUAAUUAUACAUAACUGAAAAAAUAAUAAUAUUUUUCAUAUAUUAACAACUUUUAUGAAACAAAAUAGAAUUAAAAAGAAAACACAACAACGAUAAUAAUAGAAAAAUAUUAUAAUAAUGAUUAAUAAUAAAAUUUUAUUUCAUUUGCCUUGUGAUAAACAUUAUUAGAUUUAAAGUUGUUGAAUGCAAUUAUAGUAGAGCAAUAUUUUGUAUUAUAAAAUCAAGUUAAUAAAUUUGAAGGACAACAACAAAUUUCAACUAAAUUUAAUCGAAUAAUGAACAGUUAACAAAAAGUAACUUUAUGCUUAGCAAUAUAACUAUUAAAUCCAAGUGAUUAAUAAGUAAUUUUAUAAGUUAUGAAAUAGAUUAUUCAGUGGAUAAACGUCACAACUGCACUUGAGAUAUAAAUAUUUAGAUAUUAGUUAUGUCAUAGAGUUUUAUUCAAAAAAAUUACACAUAGGACAUUAGUCGAUAACUAAAUUUUUAUUCAAUUGAAAAAUAGAAAAAUGCAAAUGGAUUAGGGAUGGUAAUGGGGUGGGGUGGGUGUGGGGAGACCUACACCAUUCCCCACAACUUUUAAAAAUUUCCCUUCCAUUCCCCACCCUAGCCCCCAGCAAAUUUAGUGGAGUGGGAAUGGAAAAUCUCAUGUGGAGAAUGAUUUCUCCAUCCCCACCCCAUUCUCCAUGUACUUAUUUUAUAAUAGAUAUAGAUAAAUGAUUUUAGUAAAUUAAAGAUUAAAGACUUAAGUAAAAUCAUUACCAUAUUAUAAAAGUAUUUAAAUUAUUUUUAAAACAAUAUCUUCAAAUAAUAUAUUAAAACCAAAAUAUGUUUGAAGAGAGCAAUACCAUGAGAGAAAAGAAAACAUAAUAAUAUUUUAGGAUUAAAUAAGAAUUAUAAUGUAGCGUUUUCUUUUAGUUAUAAUUUAUGUAUAUUUGGUAAAAAUAAAAAGAAAAUUUAUUAACCAACAUUGUAAUUGACAAAGCAAAAAUUAUUGAAACAAAACUAAAAAAUAUCCAUAUAUAAUGGGGAGUGGGGUGGGGAGUACAAAACUAAACCCAACCUAAUUAAGAAUUUGAGAAUUAUUUUUCCCUAUUCCUCAUCUCAUUCUCCAAAAAUUAUUUAAAAUUCACUACAUUUGGGGUGGAGCCCCAUGCCCACGGAGGAUUUUGCCAUCCUUAAAAUGGAUUGAAAGUCAUUAAAUUCAAUUACUUUAAAAGAACAUAUUGUAUGUAUAGAAACUUGAUACAACUAAUUCGUGAAUUAAAUUGAAAUGUGACAAAUGUUACUUAUUGGAUUGACAAGUUAUUGAAUUAAAUAACAUUAAAACAAUAUGUUGUAAUAUAAUUCAAUUAUAAUUAAAGCAUUGUAUCAUAUUUGAAGUUUAACAAUGAAUCAAUUUAAUUUUAAUAUGAUGCGAACAAAUUUACAAAAAUAUAUCUAAAAAAUAAAAAUAAAUUAAAACAACUCCCGUGCCUAAUUGGUUGGCCCAUUUUACCGCGUGCCCGUGUUGUGCCCAGUCUAUGGGCCAAAAACAUCAGCUCAGCCUAGGCCAUCAAUGGGCUAUGCCAUGGCCAUGUGCCUUACCGUAGCGGGUCAUGCCUUGCCACGCCAGUGGGCCCGAUGGGCUAGUCGAAUGGCUCACGUUUCAAUUGAAAAGCCACCAACUAGGGAAGAGCAUCAUUUUUGUUAGAGUGCAGCUUUUAACACACCCUCUAAGUCUCUAACAUUCUUAUAAUACCCCUUUUGGAUGUUAUUCUCUUGAACACCUUCAAUGUAAUUGAUAGAAUACAAGUUUAUAUAUUAAAAUUAUCCAUCUUCCCAUAAAAUGUUUACCCAUAAGAAAAUUAUUUAUUUUUAAAUUGCAUAUAAAUCCUAAAAUAGUAAGUUUAUCUUAAAUAUUUUACUUGUUAUAAUCUAAUUUCAUCUCCAAAACUCUAGACUCUUGUAGUUUUCUCAGCAAAAAAAAAAAAAAAAAAAAAAAUCGAUUAAAAAUUAAUAAUAAUAAAUUAUGAAAUGAGGUGGGUGUAAAAGGCUUGUUAAACAAAAAAUUUAUCUAAUUGUUUAAUUGAAUUUCUAGUCAAAACAAAAAAUAAAUUAAUUUGUAUUAGGUUAUUUCAGUAAUUUUAAUUUAAAAAAAAAUGAAGAGGAACUUUAAGGGGUGUCAAAAUGCUACUCUUUUAUUAGGAAAGACUAGGGAUUGGGCCUUCUAGGAGCACCUAUUAUUAAGUCUCAUUGCACGUACAUUUCGGGGAGCAAAUUUCUUUUAUUUUCUCUCUCAUUUUGGGAAAGAAAAUAAAAUUACCCUCUCACAUUCCAUUAACAUACGCAUAUAAACCCCUUACCUAAUGAUCCAUAAAAGGGGAGAUGAUGAUUAAUGAGUGUAAACACAAAAUUUUAUUUUUAUUUUUAUUACUUUAAGGUUUUUUUAUUAGUUUUAACACUAAACUUUAUAUAGGUGCAUAUUGAGAAGAAAGUUUGGAGAACCACAUUAUCCUUUUUUUUUCUUUUGAAAUGGGGAGAAAAACGUUACUAAUUACUAAAAAUUGAAAAUUAUGUGUAACAAUGGUUGGUGAGCAUUAAGCAAUGCUGUCUUUAGGCGUAAAGAUGACAAAUGGUGAAUGCAUAAAAUGUAGGGACUUUCUUAUCUUAUCUUAGAAGCCCUAAUUCUAGCACAAUAAAAAUCUUAUUGGUAAUGUCACCGAAGACAUAAUAGAGUGGAUCAAAUUAAUCUCCAAAUUCAGCAAUUUAAGUAAAAAUUCAUAUUGUAGGUUGCGAUGGCACUUUUCCUUUUGAUGUAUGCAUUGUUCUUUAUCAAAUGUAAAUUAGUAUAAGAAUUUGUGUGUGUGUGUGUGGUCUUUCUCUAGUAUGGGUGUACAUAGAGUUAAGAUUUUAACUCUUUUAAACUAUAUAGUUUUAUAGUUCAUUUACAAAUAAGUUUAUUAAACUCUACGAUUUAAAAAUGAUGUAUAUACACACACUUCUAUUUUUAAUAUUUUUAUAAGAAGAAUUGGUAUUUUCAAUACUGUUGAAAGCACCAGUUAAUAUUACUACAAACCCAACGGCGCAAAACGACUUUAAUCCUGUAGCAGUUUAAACAUUAAUUAAGAAUUUGAAAAAAAGAAGAAGAAACAUCGUUUGUGGCUCAUUCACAGUUUAAUUAACACAGCAUACCCAAUAAAUAGCUUAUUUCUAGUCUUCACUUCUCAUCAGAAAACUGGGCAUUUAAUAUUACAAUUAUGCAUCAUUUAUUGGUCCAAUAACACAAGUUUCAAUCAACCUCCUAGGUAGCAGACGCUUCACAUUGUAGUACCCAUAUCUAUCCAACACAGGCCUGGCUAUAGGAGCCUCUUGUUGACAUCAAUAAUUGAGUUCGGGCAGCAACAAUUACUAAUUUACUAUUACUAUCAUUUUUCUUUUGUUGCUUUUUGGAAGUCUGAACGUGGCUCUUGCCUCUGGUCCUGUAGCCCCAUAAAUUUCAUGAGGCAGAAGCCAAGAGCCCACUGGCUGCAUCUGUCAGGUGGGUGAGUGUGUUUACUUGGUGAUGUGGUCACGUCUCUCAUAGCUUCUUAGGCACAAAUUAGGUGGAUGGGCAUAUAGUGAGCAGUAUUGAGUAGCCGUGGGGUAGGUGCUAUAGUAAACCAAUACUAUCAAUUACCUCAUUAGUUCUAUUUAAAAAAAAGAAAGGGAAAAAAAUCUCUUAGAAACGUAAACAUAUUAGCCGCGGCCUAAACUUUAUUUCAAUUAUAUGUUUCUCUUGCUGUAAUUUCAAGCAUAUCUUUUGAUUUAUACCCUAUAUCUUUAGUCAAAUGAAAUUGUCAGUUUUCUAUCUAUCAAAAUCAAGAUAUAGUAUUUAUUUCCUAUUAUUUUCAUAAUAGUUAAUAAUCCUAUUGACAAUAUAAUUUGAAAGUACUUUCAAAUGCACUUUUAUUCAUAUUUACUAAAAAUUAAAUAGAUCAUAUAAAUAGAAAUUAAAAUAAAAAUUUGAUACUAAAUAUAAGAAAUAUAUAUAUAUUUUGGCAUGAAUAAAAAAUUAAUGAUAAUAUAUUUUUUAGUACUUUUUUGUUUUUUUAAACAUUUUUCUUAUAGUAAGUAUAUAUUUAAUAUUCCUUGGAUAAAUUAUUAAGUAAAUUACUCAUUUAGCCCUCUUUUCCUUUAAAUUUUUUGGUGUUAUGGAGAUUUUUAGAUAUUAUAAAAAUAAUAAGAAGAUAGUUGAUAUAUAGUAUAGGAUAAAUUGAUCAUCUCCCUUUAUCAAAUAAACAACUUGCAAAAUAUGUAUUUAUGUGGAAGUUGUUAAUUUUAUUUAGAAAUAUUUUUAUUUAGAAAGUCAUUACAAGAUGUUUUACAAACUAAAUUAUCUAGCGCCCUCUAUGCAGUAGUUAUUUUAUAAAAAGAGUUUAAAAAAACAAUAAAAUACUGUCUUCAAUAUAAUCUUUUUUUUACCACUUCAUAAUUUGUAAUAUUUUAAUUUUAAUUAUACCAUUUCAAAUAGAGGAAACAAAUUAUUACGAGGAACUUAGAUUUAGAUUCAGCACUAAGUGAAGCUUCCUGACGAGUUGUUUUAAUAUAAUGAUUGAUAAUUAUUGGAUAAACAAUCAUAUACAAUAUUAAAUCUUAAUCAUACACUACUAUAAAUACAUGCAUAAAAAAAAGAUCAUAAAAAAAAAAUUAAUAUAACUCAACUCACCACUAGAUUCAUAUUUAAGGAAUUUAGAUUCAAUGCCUUGAAUUUGGAUUUAGUGUUCAUCUUUUAAUAAUCUUUUGGCACCCGUACAUUUAUAACUAUAUAUGAUUAAAAUUUGAUUACUUUCUCAAAGAUUAGCACAAAAAUUAAAUGAGCUAGCGCUCAAUCAAAAUCUCUUGUAAGAUAACUGUUCAUUUACAAGCUGUUUAGAUCAAUCAACUACAAAGGGGUAUUUUUUUUUUCUUUUUCUUUUUUGAAAAAAAUUCAUCUUGUUUCUUUGUUGGGUGAAUAAUGGACUUUAAAAAGAAGACCAAACCCUACUGAAGUUGAGAAUACAACUUUGUGAGGAGGAGUGGGUCAAAAAUUGGAUAUAAUUAUUAAACCAACAAUAUAGCUGGCAUGUCAUCGGUUUUUUUCUUGUUUUAUCAAGUAAAUUGAUCUGACACCUUGCAAUAAUAGUGCUUAGCUUACCUUAAUUUAGAAAUUUAGACUCGCAUUUUCAGGUCCGGUCAUUUAAUUACUCGCUAGCUAGACGACGCUCAUGUCUUCGUUGGAACUCACUACUGUACUGCAUGCUUUUCCAUUUUCAGCAUUAAGGUUUUGUUUGAUUUCAAAGAAUCAGAACCAGAUUAAGAUUUAGAGCCCUUGAAACCGGAGCCAAAAUCUGUACUCUGUUAUACUAUCCACCAGUUCUCCCACUGCCACCUUUCUCUUAUUGAUUAAUGUCAAUUUCCUGUAUUUCUUUUUUUUUUUACGAAAUGUUUGGGUGUUUCAUCAUUUUCUCAUCUUUAAUAUAAUUGUGUUUCACUUUGAAACUGAAGGCAAUUUUACCAACAACAAUUCAUGGCAUCAUGAACUUCACAUGCAUGAACUGUCCGUAAAUUCCAGGGCCAGUGCUUACUGCUUAUUGCUGAUUGCUUAAGGCUUAUUUAGCGCAAAACAAAAAUAAGAUUAACUACAUAUGUGUUUGUAUUUUCAUCAGAGAAGAGGGUGCAGAGUAACUACGAUGACAGAGAAACAAAAAGAAACAUUUAAAAAAAAAAACACUUAAAGCUAAAAACAUAGAGCCAAACAAACAGCUCCUAGGAACCUACUCUCUCAUACACAUGCAACUCCACCAUUAUUUGUACGGAUUAGUUACUUGUUGUCUUAGAAGAUCGUGAUCGUCAAAUUCAUUUGCAUUCUUCAAGCUCGAGUGGUGGACCCCAUCUAAGAACUCUUGCCAGCCACUCAUCACCAACAUCCAAUAAAUCACAUCCGUCCAUUUCCUCCCCAACAGCAUUAUGAUUAUUAUUACUAUUACCAUCCCCUCUCCCAACCAUCCAAACCCCAUUCUCCGCGCUCGCGAUAUUUCCGGUAGGCCCCACGUAUUCAAUUCCCGCCAUCACGGUGGACCCCGAGACCGAAAUAGACGCCCCACAGCUCUCACUCUUUACAUCAAACGGCAGAGACGGUGGCGGUGACGGAACAUUUGACGGCGGAGAGGUGGGGUUAACGUUGGUGCAUGACGGGGAGGUCGAUAUCUCUUUGUAUAACUCUCGCAUUACCUCCUCUAUCUUCUCUUCUUUGAUGAGCAGCUCAGGAGAGAGCUCGGCUUCAUCGUCGACUUCGGUCAGCAACAUGGUCAAAGUUCCGACAAGGUCGCCGGAGAUGCCGCUCUCAUCGGGGGACUUUGAGUCUUCUUUUUUCAUGUCGAGAGCAGAGCAAGAGAGACGCGUACUGAGAGUCUGAGAGUGUGAGCGUUGAUAUGAUACGAUGGAGAGGAAAAGUGUGAUUUGAGUAACGUAUAUAGAGGGAGUGAGAGCGCUGAAAGCUGACACGCUGGCACAAUGUUCUGCCACGUAGGAUGGCUGGUGCAUGACGAUGACGUGGCUAAUUUAUUUUUGUUUUGUCUUUAAUUGUGUAAGUAACUGUCACGCAUCAGAUGACGGUGUAGUAGCAGCACGGCAAUCCAGCAUUGACUUUUUGUCUGCAUUGGCCAUUGAGUUUGUGGUAAAUGGGAAUUUAACUUGUGCCGCUGAUGUGUUCAACAGCUUCUGUUAGAAAUUGGAUCGAGUUCCUAAUGCGGGGUAGCGUAGGGUUAAAAAAACACGUGUAUGUACAGCUUGACCGUAGUUUAAUAUUUCUUGGAUAGAAAGACAAGACGCCUCGUGAAACACAUCUUUAAGUACUACUGAACCGGCGGAGAUUUGUCUUGUAAUCUUUAAGUUUUGUACUUUGAAGCCGCUCCACGUGUAAAAAAAUUAUAUUUCAAAUAAUAAAGUAAUUACUUAAUUGGUGAAAUCGAUAGAAUAAUACAUCAAGCAACAACUUUAGGUUCUUUUUUUUUUUUUUUUUUUGGUUCCUUGUUGAAACACAAACACAAGCUACAACGGCAGCAUGUCAGUUUACCGAUCCAGUUAUCACUUCACAAAAACACCAUUACAAUACAUAAUCGGUGAAGCGUUUACCCGCCAAUGAAAAAUAAGAGGAAUUAAGUGAACAAGAGAUAUCUAUAUAGGAACAUGUGCACGAUAACUUAGCUUAGAGCUGUCUGAGAUAUGCCUCUCCAGCUCUUGCCAGUUUCUCUCUAUCAGCAUAUUUAGUUCUUCCAAACACUACAGAAAUGGAUCCUCUGCGAAGAUAUGAGGUACCAAUUAGCAAAUCCGAUGCGAAAUUUGAUGUUGCACCGAACCACAAAAGUAUUUUUAAGAAAAAUAUUGAUCAUUAGAUGCAGUUAAUUUCCGAAGUACCGUCUAUGGAAGAAGGUAACAUGAUACAUAUGCAUAUUUUCUAGUGUAUUAAUUACGAUUUUUGUUACUUAUUAAAACUGCUUUUACAAAUUUCUAGUCAUUUGUUUUUAACAUCUCGUGUUCCAAAAUUUAUCAUCGCUAGUUUUUUAAUUUGGCUUUGUCUCUUGACUCGCUUUCUCCGUAUUUUUCAACAUUUUUUUUCAGCAUUGUCGUUUUUAUUGUUCCAAUCAUGCUAUUGUUAUUUUCUACAUUUUUCACCACUUUAAUGUUCUUAUUACUUUUUGACAUUUUUUUUUUCUAAACCUUUCUUUUAAUUUUUGGAAAAUACUAGUUAUCCCGAGUCAAGCUCUAGGUCAAACCCCGAAAGUAAUAAACGGCGUCAUUUCAAUCCCUUUUUUUUUUCUUUUAUUCUUCAUAAAACGACGUCGUUUUAGCUUUUUUAAGGCAAAAUCAACAAUAGUCCCAAAUUGCUCUCUUUCUCUUCCUCUCACAACAGCCCCAAAUUGCUUUCUAUUUCUCUUCGUCUCACAGCCCAUUUCUCCUUCUAUUUCUCUGUUUCUCUUCCCAUUCGUUUCAUCGGCACCAUCAUGCAUACCCAACCAUCGGCACCCACCACCAAAAUAAAACAACAAAUUCUUUGCAAACGACUUUCUCAUAAACUUGACAAGUACAAACCGUUUUAAUAAGGAAUAUUGGCCUACAUGCACAAUAUAGGGCAUCUAGAGAUGUAAUUAAUACUUAGUCCAACAAAUUACACAAUAGCCAAAAUUAACAAUGGCACGUGAGCAUAUAAUUCACCAACAAAUUGCACGACAAUCUUCUAUUCACUGCUAAAAGCUAACUAGUUUCCCUAAUAUAUAUAAGAAAAACUAAUUUUGCCAAAUUCAAGUAAAAUUCAAGUUUCGAAAAUAAGCUGCUGCCAAAGAAGAUAGGACCUUAGCUAUUGGGAAAGCAACGUAGAAUCAAAACUCAACUUUCAAGGGUAGAUGUUGAAACUCAAUCUUCUGUUAGAAAAUUUUCGCAGCUACCAUAAAUGCCGAAACUCAUCCUUCAACGACAAUGCCGACACUCAUCCUUGUUCAAACUUCCCUUUUUGUCUUUUGGUGGUGCUGAUGGUUGGGCAUAUGUGAUGGAACCCUCUGUGAUGGUGGCUGCCAGGCUAAUGACUGUCAGUGUGGUGGGUGCCAAUGGUUGGGUAUGCGUGAUGGUGGCCGUGAAACGAAGCGGAAGAGAAAGACGAAGAGAAAGAGAAAGCAAUUUAGUACUGUAACAAUUUAGGACUAUAACAAUUUAAGACUGUAACCAAGAUAAAAUAACAUCGUUUUAGCUUGAAUGAAAGGACAAAAAAAAGAUUGAAACGGCGUCAUUUAUUGCUUUCGGGAUUUAACCUAGGGGCGCCCUUAACGUUCUAACACUGAUUUAAUAUUUCUCAUUUUUUUUUGUUAUACUUUUUUCAUUUUCAAUAUUUCUCAUCAUUUGUGCAUUCUUGUCACUUUUUUAUUACUUUUUCAAUAUUUCUCUUGACUUUACAAUCAUCCUCGUUCGAAGAUCAAUUCUUUUUUAAUCAUAUUUUCAAGACAUUCUCAUUACUUUUGCACCAUUAAUUUUGUAUUAUUUUCUCUAACAUAUCAUAUACUUUUUCAACCCUUUAUCAUCACAUUCUAUUUUCUCAUCACUUUUUUCACAUUCUUCAGAUUUUUUAUCAGCAUUUACCAUCACUUGUUCAACACUUUUUACGACAUUCUAUUUCCUCGUCACUUUCUUUACUUAUGGAUGACUCUCCUAACCUUUUCAAUAUUUUCAUUUCAAGGGACAUCCAAAAGCCCCUCUAGAACAAAUAAUGUACAUCACAACACCUGGAACCAGUCCUAUCAAAAUUUACAGUGAAAGAACCAGCAUUAUACAUCAGACUACUACAAAUGAGCAAUAACCCCUAUAAACCUCUCCAAAUGCAUUUUCCGUACACUUAAAUUGGCCAGCACCAGCAGCACCUUCUGCAAAUGCGUUGAUAGGUUCUGUACCAUAAAAAUGUUUUAAGAUAGCAAUAAGUGCAGCAAUUAGGUAUUGGAAUGGAAUGCUUUUAGUGGAAGACAUUGCUUCUACUACAAUAAGCAUCAAGUAAGGCAGAAAAAUCAAAAGGGACCAUUCUGGAUGUAGCCUUAAGAAAUUCAUCUCAUCUGGCCUAGCAAGUGGCACGCAAGGUUUCAGUUAAAAAUUAUCUAUCAUCUGGUGGCAAUGUAGGACUCUUGGAACACAUACUGAUAUUGUGAAGCUCCUUCAUUCUGAUUGCUGGAUUGCAUAAACCUGAAUAUAAUGAUACUUCAGUCAUCAGGGAGGAUUCAAAAGUUAAUUUUACAGAAUAAUUAAAUUCCUGUACACUCUCUUCUUAAAUUCUUAAUUAAAGAAUUUUAAAUCCAAUUCAGUCAUCAUAGAGGAUUCAGAAGGAUCAAAGAAGGUUCUAGGCUUGUGGGCUUUGUCGGUGCAUGUGUGGAGGCUGUGCCACCAGAAAUUGGGCUUGAGAAGUUUUGAUUAAAGCAAGAAAGUAACUCUUUUACUAUUCUCCGUAGCAUUGUUUACUCAUGAAGAACUUUCAAUGGAAGCAAAGUUAAUCAGCAGAAGCACUAUGAGCAUCAAUGAAUUGUUUUGGAGAUGAGAGGGAGAAAAAAUCAAGUGGCAGAGGACUUGCAAUUAAGAUGAAUAUGCAAGAUUUCAGGGAUCGUCACUGUAGCAUAAUGCAUUGUCCAGUGUGCUUCAAACUCCCUCUAAACCAUCAGCUAAAUAAGUAAUGUAAUAGAAAAUGUGAAAAUAUGCAUAAUCACCAGGCAUCAAAUUUGUUUUUAGGCCCCAUGAGUCUCAAGCUCCUCUAAUCCAUCAACUUAAAAAGAAAGAUAAAAAUAAUAAAGAAGGAACAACUUACUGAAAAAGCUAUCCUGGCUAUACGUGAUAAAAAUGCCAGACAAAAGUUUUUAAAAAGUAAACGAAAUCUCUUAUUGCUGAAGAUGUGUUUCAUUGUAUUCCAGCCCACAACAAAUGUUUGGGAAUCUUGCAGUGAACUGGUCAUCAGCAUCUGAAGAUUCGAUGUCCAGUUGUGGACCCAGCAAUUGACCACUUCAAAGUUUAGACAACAUAUGCAACAUAUUGAUGGGUCCACAUGUCCCCAACAUUCUAAGGCACUUGGAUUAUUGGAUGCUAGAUUUCAAGAGCCAGGGUUGUGGCUCCAUACAGCGGGGUUAAGAUUUUGGUGGAAUUGAAUAACAAUCAAUCAUGGAGAAGCGCUACCCCAGGAUGCAAGCAACCUUUCUAGCAUCUAGAGGAUCCCUCGCUAAAUGGGCUCCUUCCUCAUAAUCAUCAUCCUUAUUAUAAUAACAAUCAAAUUAGGAGAAAAAUUCUAAAUAGGAUCUGUGCUUGCAAGUUGGAAUGGGCAGAGGGUCUUGUCCAGAGUGUUAUAGGUAGUGUGGUUGUCGACCUUGAUAUCCUUGGGACAGCCAUCCCACCUCGUCAUAUUCCUAAGGUACGUGUAAAAUUUAUAACAUUAUCAUGACUUGUUAUGGGCUAAAAAAACCUGUAUUCGAUGGGUUUAGAUUUCCUUUUUCCUCUUGCUAAUAUCUGUAAUUAACUCUGCUCGAAAAUUUGAAAAUUGUGCAUUUCCCCUCAAGCUCAACCUUACUUCACACCAUCUCAUCAACUCAAUGUAAUACAAAAUCAUCACAAACCUACAGAACCCUAACAAUUGGUGGUCCAUCAAUCUCACGACUUUUAAGAGAGACCUUCAUAUUUCAUGUGUAAAGAAUACAUGAUCAUCAGAACUUAAACAGAAAGCAUGAUUUUCAAAUCUUAAUUUUAUAUGUACCGAAAUCACAUAUCAAGAUAGUUCUUUGAGAAAGCAAGAAAUCUAAUUACAGCAGGGCAUGUGAUAAUAAGAAACAUAAUUACAGCAGGGCAAGUGAUAAAAAUUGUGUUACCUGAGCACUUUGGAAUAUCCCACACUGCUAUAGAUGUGGAAGUACAUCUAGGAUCACAUAUUGCUCUGUUAUCUUCGUGGUGGACGUUCAUAGCAAGCAUCCAUGACCCGAUAGUUACAUCCUCAUUACUGAACAUUCUCAAACUGAAAAGCAGAACAUAUCUAUUAACAAAAGCAUAAAAGGAAGAAAGAUUACAAAAUAAAACUGAAAGAGAACAGAGAAGGCAUUAUUACAUAAACAGUAGAGCAAGUCAAAUUAACAUUUUGAAGGAGAAAAAAUCUCAAAAUGUAUGCAAUGAGAACUUUUUAUCCCAACAUCAUAACAGGGAAAAUAUAUAAAAUAAAUUUCAUCUGGACACAUGAAAUUUUAGCUUUUCGUUGGUUCUAAUGGAUAUUUUCAGUCAUUUGUCAGUACAAUCUUAAACUAAUAGGUAAAAGAAGAUAAGCAAAUGUGAAUGUAUGAAGACCAAUGAAAACUUUAUCCAAAAGCACACCUGUUAUUUCUUGCAGCAGCUAAUGAAGCCACCACAUAUGCAGACAGAACAUAUAUAGGACCAUAAGCAUGCAAGAAGUAUUCAUUUCCAAUAAGGUGCCCUGAUUUUUCAUACCUGAAAUUUUCAAAAUUAUAAAUAAACUAAUAAAAUAAUUAAAAAAAUGAAGAAAAAAAAUAUAAGAUAUCUGAAAGAUAACAGUUUUAAUAAGCAAAACCCAUAUACCACUUCAUUUUAGGGUCAGUGAUCACAUGUCCUUUCUUCAUACAACCAAUGCAAGUCAGCGGAUUGCUACGUUCCUUGGCAAGAAGAGUUGCAAGGCGAUCUGAAGAAGCUGAAAGAAAAUAAAUUUAUAAUGUCACAACACAUUUAUAAGAGUCACAGAAUGCAUGAUGCAUAUCUUCAUUAUUUCAGAUACCAAGGCGCAAAUAAAUGUCAUCAUCAGCUUUGACGUAAUAAGCUGCUUCAAAAAGCAGGAAAGCUGCUCUAAAAUAAGCCAACCUAACAAUAGCAAAAAUGAAGAAACCAAAUUACCAAAGAAGCCACCGUUUUUUUAGAUCGAAAUAACAAAGAGAACUUCACCUCUUACGUUUUAUAAGGAAACUUUAAAUAUUCUUCCUGAACAUCUAUGAGUUUAAAAUCUCGUACUUAUCAAUCUCUUUCUCAAGCUGUGCCAUCUUCUUUGCAUCUUUAGAUUUCCCAAUUACAAACCGAAAUGCUAUCCCGGUAGCUUGCUCUAAUCUAUAAAAUAUACGACAAAUUAAACCAGCAUAUUCUCCCAGUUAUUAAACCAACACCCCCCCCCCCCCCCCAAAAAAAAUUCUUUGAUAAAAUAAAUGAAGCAUUUAUACCUUAAGAGUCCAUCCGGGUCAGAAGGGAACCACGUUCUUCGAAGAGCGGCCCGGCGAUCAGCUGAAGCGAAGCCGGUUUGAAUUCCAACAAACCCGAGAAGCUUGGGGCGAUCAAGGAGAGCUCCAUUAUCGCGGAGUCGGAUAGAGAGUAGAAUGCACGGAAAGUGUCUUCGGAUCUACCGCAACGGUAGACGGGUAGGGGACUGGGGCGGCGGACGGCGUUGACGGCAAAGGUUAUGACAGCGAGGUCGAAGAAGAUGGAGAGGAGUGAAAAGAGGAGAAUGGGCAGUGAUAUUUUAGAAUUAAGUUUAUGGAGCUUUUGAUCUUUGGCUGAGUAGGAUGAGUUUGUGGUGGUGGAGGUGGGAAGAGCUGAGGAGUUGUGGCGGUGGGAGAAGAGUGGCAUUUCGGCGAAUUGUGAGUUGAGGCAGGGAAAAUGUUGGGGAAACGUGAUUGGUGAAAGGAUUUGUCGUUGUUUCUUCUAGCUUUAUACCACUGGUUUCAAAGUAGAGUUUCUUGGAAGCGACGCUCCUGAGUGAAUACUGACACCGCGAGGCUGAAGCUCCCUUCCUUAAUACCAUUUUCAGUUCUCGUUGCAUUUUUUUUAAAAGACAAUUUUUUUUUUAAAUUAAAAAAUAGAUAUCAUAUUCACUAUUCAGACAGCCUCAGAUUGAUUUUGACUUUUGAGUAUCGGAUGUUUGUCCCCUUUUUUAAUUAUUAAAGUAGUCUUUUUUUUAAUUUAAAUAUAUUAAUAUAUAUAUAUAUAUAUAUAUAUAUAUAUAUAUAUAUAUGAAUAAGAGAAAUUUAUGGUGCAACUGUAGUACCGUACCACAGUUGUAUUAGUCAUUAGAUGCCAGUGGAUUCUACUAAUCAAAGUGUAUUCAAUGAUUGGAUGUAGCUGCGGUACGGUACCACGGUUGCACUGUAGCCUGAUUCGUAUGAAUGACAUAUUUUUAAAUUUUUUGAAUAUAAAUAUUAAGUUGUUUAUUUUUAAAAAAUAAUUUUGUAGGGACAUCAAAACGAAUAAAAUAUAUAUAUGUUCUUGAUCUAGCUGGAUAUAAAACCGUCUUAUAAAGAGAAAGGACAAAAACUCUAGAAAAUAAAAGUAAGAAAGUAUUUUGCCAAAGAGAGAUGACCUGCCUCCAGUGGAGAGAAAGAAGCAAAUGGGUACAACGUUUUCGGAAGAGAGAGCGGCGUAGUAGCUUCAAGAGAGGUCUCCCUCCGUUAUUAUCCAUAGGGGUCGGCAGUAACCGAUUUGGUUCAGUUUUUCCCUUGAAUGCAGUCGAACUAAAACUGAUUGGUUCAUGAAUAAAUAAACCAAAUUGAGUUCGAUUCUAUAAUUCAGUUUCGUUUAAUAUUAUUUAGUUUAAGAAUUUUGAUAAUUUUUCUUUUUUUAUUAGUUAAAAUUUUGGACUUUUCACCUAAAUUUAAUUUUUUUUUCUUAAUUCUAUUCAAUUGUGAUCACUACAAAUUCAUGAUUUAUACAAAAAUAUUAAUGUCAAAUAAUUUUAUAAUAAAUAAAUAUUAUAUUUAUAAACAAAUAUUUUUAAAAAAAUUUUAAACAGCAAAGCAAUCGGUUCUUUGAUUUGAUUCGGUUUUGAACCAAAUCAAAUGAGAACCAAUUGAUUCUCCGAUUAAGUUCGAUUUUAAAUUGAAUCAAAUGAGAACCAAUCGGUUCUUGAGUUCCUGAACUAUUUAAUUUAUUUAUUUUUCUUAGAAAUGAAUUGAACAAAAUUGAGUAAUUUCAGUUUAGUUUGAUUCGAAAAAAAUCGAACUGAAUGCCUGCCCCCAAUUACCCUUAUCCACAACAUAAGCUUCAUCUGAAAAACUUGAAUAUAAGAGACAUACACCUAUUUAAAAAUAAAUAAAUAAAAGAAAACUAGAUUUAAUACACAUAAAAGUCAUUAUAAAAAAAAUAAUGUUAAAAUUGAAACUGCCUCGAGGCAUUCUCCGAUAUAGGGUAUCAUAAAUGUUAUUUUUUUGGCUUAUAUCCAAUCUAAACCCCAGAUUAGGAAAUAUGCGAGUAUUGUUACUUGCAUCUCAGCAAUUGCAUGUGCAUUAAUUUGUCGUUUUUAAACAUUUAUGAUGUGUUUACUUCUUGGAAUAAAGAUUGUGAAUCAAAACUAUGUUUACUUGACAAAAUUGAAUUUGAGAAUAUGAAUAAAUUGUGUGGGCUCCACACACUUUGGGAAUAAAGAAAUUUCAUUCCCAUGGAGGGGUUGGGAAUGAAAAUGUGAGAUUGGGAAUGAAACAUAAAUUUACUUUUCUAUCCUUCUAAUUUUUUUAUAUUUCUUAAAUUACCUUUGUUCAAAUCACAAAUAAUUUUAUUAUUUUAAAUGUCAUUAAUAAUAAUAAUAAUAAUUAUUAUUAUUAUUAAAUUUUAUUAACUUUAUUAUUUUAGUUUUUAUUAAUUAUUUUUAUUUUUAUUAAUAUUAUCAUUAUUAACAAUAAAAAUAAUGAUAAAAAUAAUAAUUAAUAAAAAUAAUUAAUUUAUCAUUAUUAACAAUAUUAUCAUUAUUAUUGUUGUUGUUAUUAUUAUUAUUAUUAUUAUUAUUAUUAUUAUUAUAUUAAUAGUAAUUAAUAAUAACUAAAAUAAUAAAGUUAAUAAAAUACAAUACUAAUAAUGUUAAUAAUGAUAAUAUUAAUAAAAAUAAUAUUAACAUCAAUUAAUAAUAACUAAAAUAAUAAAGUUAAUAAAAUAUAAUAAUAAUAAAUAUUAAUAAUGAUAAUAUUAAUAAAAAUAAAAAUAACAAUAAUUAAUAAUAACUAAAAUAAUAAAGUUAAUAAAAUUUAAUAAUUAAUUAUUGUUAAUAUUAUUUUUAACAAUAAUAACAACAACAACAACAACAACAACAACAACAACAACAACAACAACAACAACAACAACAAUAAUGAUAAUAUUGUUAAUAAUGAUAAAUUAAUUAUUUUUAUUAAUUAUUAAUACUAUGAGUAUUUUGGUAAAUUGAUUCUCAUUCUCAUUCUUCAUUCCCAUUUAUUUUGUCAAGUAAACAUUGAAAUUUCAUUUCCAUUCCAGCACAUUCUUAUUCCCAACCCAUUCUCAUUCUACCACAUUCUCAUUCUCAUGAAGUAAACGCACCAUUAAUGUAUUUGUUUGGGUAGUUUAACUUGUGUCACUCGAGAUCUCAUAAAGUGCAAAAAUAUGAGGUACCGUACCAUUUAGUAAUUUCGAUGCGGAAUUUGAUGUUGCCCCGAACCACAAAAGUAAUUUUAAGAAAAUAGUGAUUAUUAGAUGCAGUUAAUUUCCGAGGGACCGUCCAUGGAAGAAGGUAACAUGAUACAUAUGCAUAUUUCCUAAUGUAUUACUUACGAUAUUUAUUACUUAUUAAAACUGCUUUUAAUAAUUUCUAGUCAUUUGUUUUUAACAUCUCGUGUUCCAAAAUUUAUCGCCAGUUUUUUUUUAAUUUGUCUUUGUCUCUUGACUCUCUUUCUCCGUAUUUUUCAACAUUUUCUUUUCAGCGUUGUCGUUUUUAUUGUUCCAAUCAUGCUAUUCUUAUUUUCAAUAUUUUUCACCGAUUUAAUGUUCUUAUUACCUUUCGACAUUUUUUUCUAAACCUUUAUUUCAAUUUUUCGGCGCACUUUAAUAACAUAAAAGUAAGUAAUCAAUAAUCGUAAAUUAGGAAUUCAUCUUCCAAAUGUAUAUGCAUGUUAUAUUGGGUAUUAGCCAAAUAUAUCUGCAUUUAGAAAAAUUCUUUGAUAUGGAUUCUUUUCACAUAUUUCAUAUUUAUUAUCGAUAGAACUAUGGACUACGCAAUAAAUGUAUGAAUUCAGAUUUCUAAUAGAGUUUAUAUUGUCAUAUACAUCUAGAGGCAAAUGUACGACGUUCUAAAAAUCUGAGUUCCAUCGCACAAAAAUUCGUACAGACGUUCGCAGGAGAAAAGGACUCCACAUGUAAUUAAUAUCUAUAGCGAUGCAUGCAUUGUUUCCUAUGGUUAAAUUUUAUGCUAUGAUAUCCACCGUGAGAAGAGAAUUUUGUUCCGAUAAACUUAAAGAAGAGAACGAGGAAAAGGGAAAGAAAACAUCAGAAGCUCAAAGCUGCAACGUAAUCAAUAGAAGCUGAAUAUGAGCAUUUCUACAUAAGCACAUACAGUACAUCUCAGACAGCAAGCAAACAGUAUUAAUCCUAGUCGCUGCUAUCAUUUUAUUCAAUAUUUUAAUGCAAGAGCCAUGUCACUUUAUUGGUGAUAUUAAUUAUUAUUGAUUAUAAUUUAUGUGACAUGGUUUUUCAAGGACGGUUUAGAAUUAUAUUGGCAUCACCAGGUUUUUCUCCUUGAGAGAAGGCGGCACUGGGAACGAGUUGAAGGUCCAAUUUAUAACCUCAUGGCUUUCUAAAAAGUCCCCCGUAGCUGCUGUGAAUCCAACAUAGACGGGCGUUGGAAUUAUAUCUGACAGGUUAAUGGGUUUUUCAACCACCUUCACAAGUGUUUCCCCCGAAUAUGCCGCAUAAACAGAGAGUUGUCCAAAGUCUGGAUUGUAAUAAAUUCGAACCUGGAUUGCUCGUCCACUUUUGAGAUCAACGUCAAGCAGACUAUUAACUGGAUUUGAUUCGAUUCCGUUUAUGUCGAUGCCAAUAUGGUUAUCAUCUGGAUCAUUCAGGUUCUUGUUCAGGCAUGUGUCCAGCUCCACGGCUAAUGGAGGAAAUUUAUCGCCUGCAUAAUUUACAUGCAUGAUCAUGAAUAUAUAUGUAUAAGUGUUAUAUAUAGAACAUAUGAUAUAUCAUCAUAUUGUUUAUCAUUUGACUGCCAUUAUAAAUAAAAUGCGCCCAUGCAUGCAUUUGUCAGUACUUUCAAUGGUAUCUGCAUAAAUUCUUAAUUCUUCACAUUGAUAAUCAUACCUGGUGAAGACUGCAGUCCAAGAUAUUCGCCGACGCCCUUUGCUGAUGGACCGUUUUUAUCGCUUGCAAAAAUGAACGUCAUGCCAUCUCCGGCACGAUCAGUGUAAUUCUGAUGGCGUGAGAUCUUAAUGGUGAUGGUGGUAUCAAUAAAAGAUCGCUGUAAACUCAGAGGCUUGCCGUAUAAAACCCGUCCAACCUUUCUGAUCGGCAGGUUUGGUGGAGGGCCUGGUGUGAUGCUUAAGGCGCCGGAACUUUCAAUCGCUCCGUAGCAAAUGAGGGUCUUAUUGUCACAACUGUCUUUGGCGAAUGAGGGAAAUGAGAAGCUAAUAGGUGUGUCUUCGGAAAGGAUUGAUGAAGAAGCUCCGCGAAGAAAAACGGAGAGGAGUAGUAGGAAAAUCAUUUUUUGUUCUGCGAGGGCUACUUAUUGAAUGGCAUCGCUCAGCUUCACAUGCACUUAUUAUAUAGGGGACUUAGACAUUUUUUUAUUUAUUUAUUUUAAUUAUUUUUUUCUUGUGUGUCGGUGACAUUUUUUUUUAAAGGUCACUCUCCUUUGAAAACCUUGUGUAGCACAUGAAUAUAAUUGUGAGUAAAAUAUAUAUACAAAAAAAGGUGAUGUCGUUUGCAUGAAAAUUUGUAUCAUUAAAGACAAAUAAAAUUCAUUCACUUUAUAAAUUUUUUACUUUUUAUACAAAAAUCUUCAUUUUAUUUGUCAUGUACAAUUUUUUAUGCAAAUAACAUUACUUUUUUUUUUUAUCUUAAUACCUUUGUUCAAUUAAGAAAUACAAUCUAACGUGCCCACCCCCAACAAAUGUAUAGUCAUAAUGAGACUAGUGUAUGAAAUGUAAGUAAAUAUAGAUCAAUAAUCUCUUGAUAAAUUAUUUUUGUAUAAAUUGAUGUGGCACAAUUUAAUUGGUUAGAUUAAAUAUGCUUGGCCUAUAUGAUUUAACUUUAUUAUUGAGAGUAAUCUAAACGAAUAAAACUAAAGUUUUGAGCCCCUUUUAUAACAAGCCCAAAUAUCGUGAAUUUAUUAAAAUAAUUAAAUUUAAAAUAUAAUAUGAUAAUUAAAUUCUCCUAAUCAAAUAAGAAAUCUAAAAUAAACUAUAUCCAAAUUCGAUAUCUUAAAAAAAAACAUAAAAAUCUUUAAAAAAUUAAAAAAUUAAAAAAAUCUUAAAAUUUAAAAACGAUAAAAAAACAAAAAUUUUGGGCUCAAGUAUAGUCCAAAAUAAUAUAAGCAAUUCUAAUUUUAAUUAAUCUCAUCGUAAAUUUCAAUACAAAAAAUAUUACGUCCCAAACGGACGUCCGUGGCCUAAAUUAUGCUCACCGGAAGCUAAGCAGCCGUCCUACGUUACUAAGCCAUUAGAUAAUAUCCUAUGUAAAUUUAGUAAAGGCAAAAAUGGGGGAUACGUAAUCGCUGAUGAAAGGUAGCCGUGCACCACAUUCUCUUAAUUUUAUGGGGAAAAAAAAAAAAAGAAUAGGAGGGGUAAAAACAAAAAAGGAGUGGUUGUGUCAGUAUGUGGUCUACAUCUGGGCCCAGUUAAAAAUAUUUUACUUUUAUCAAUUUUCUUAUUUUAUUUUCCCAAACUAACUCCUGAUCUCUCCUCUCUCUUUGGUACCUCACCACAGCUACAGUCUGCAAAUAUGCAAUCCUGUUUAUUUAUUUAUUUAUUUUUCAAUUUGACGUAUACGUAAAGAUUUUUACAUAAAUUUCUGUUACAUAAAGGUAUAAAAUUCAUAUUUCUUUCUCACCUUGUUCUUUCAAUAUUUUUUCCAAUAAGAACGAUUUUUUUUUUUUUUGUAAAUGAAUACUGUUUUGAGUGAUGUAGUUCCAUUUAUAUUAUAAUAAUAAUUAACAAAUUUUUUUAUUAAUAAUUUCACUUGUGUCAAAUUUACAAUGAUAAUAUGAAUAUUAAACAAAUAAUCACUAAAUGCAUCACACAAUGGAAAUAAAAAAAGCAUAAAAAAAUUUCACCAAAUACAUUUUCAUUAUUUUCAUAUUGUCAGAUAAACUACCAAUUGUAUUUUUUUUACUUUUUUUUAUUUUAUAUAUUGUUUUGGAAACAAUUUAGCAAAUACCCUUUCACUUCUAAAAAUAUCACAUUAAAAAUAUCGUUUUUCUUCUCUAAAACAAUUAUAGAAAAUACUAACUAAAAAAACAAAAGACCAAACACAUUGUAGACGAUACCAUGUUUAUAUGAGGGGACCUUGUCCAAGGUUGUGUGUUUAUACGAGGGGACCUUGUCAAGGGUUGUGUGUGAGAUGCUGAGAGAUGAUAUAUGAGGGGACCUUGGCCAAAGCAAUCAAAUCAUUACAAAAUGACAAUGUCUUGACGAGACACUAAUAUACAUGAUAAUCUCGUGAGUUUUAUUUAGUCCAUUCAUAUCCUAUCAUGAAAGUAGGAGUGACUCUAUCUCUCACAUCGUACCAUGUUUCUUCACCUUAGAAAUUGUUAGUUAUCUCAUUUGGAAUGGUGCCAAAGCAAGGAACAUUGUGAUUAUCUUUAGGGAUGGCAAUGGGAAGGGGAGGGGAGGGGAACAAUCUCCUCAUAUAUAUCCCCGAUAUUUUAUGUAUGUCUUCAUCCCCUCCCCAUCCCCAUUAAAAUUAUUUAAGAGAAUCAUCAUCCUCUCUCCGAAUAAUAACAGGGGAUCCCCGAGGGUCACCGAUCUUCGAAUAACUAAUACAUUUUUUUUGUUUUCGAUUUUGAGUUAAUCAUAUUAAAAUAAACCACCUCAUCCUCAUCCCCUCCCCGAAUAAGAAAUUGGGUAAAAAAAUUUCUCCGUCCCUUCCCCGAAUAAGAAAUUAGGUAUGAAAUUAUCCACAUACCCUCCCCGAAUGGGGAAAAUCCCCGAGGGUACCCGUCCUCGUGGGGAUUUUUGCCAUUCCUAAUUAUCUUAUGGGUGUAACUACGAUGGAAUUGUUCUAAAGUAGGACAUCUCUUUAUAACCACACAAUCAAAAUUAUAAUGAGUUUUUUAUUAUUUAUUACUUUACGUGUAUGAUGAGAUUCCUACUCCACCAUAAAUCUAUUCCAACAUAGCCAUAUCCUUAUUUUAAAUAUUUUAUUUUUUGAGGCUACUAGAUUUCAGUUUCAUAUAUUCAUAGGAUAAUUUAAUUUUGUGGACCGUAUGAACUAUAAUUUAUAAAGUGAAGAUCAGCAACCUCGUGAGCGAAUUGUCUCUUUAUUACAUAUCAAUUCAAUUGGGGACCAACUACUUUAUCACAGUAAUAAGUAACCCCUUAUUUGGUCUUUUACAAAAGCUACUCUUGUAAUCCAGUGGGUAUAAUAGAAUACGUCAAAUAAAACAGGUCAAGUGUUCCCGUGUCAAUACUUUUCCUUCUUUCUCGAUCAACAUCUUCUCUUAGGCAUUUUCUCUCAUAUUCCUUCUAUAUUUUUAAAAAUCUAUUAACAUAUAUUACUAGUAAAAUUAAAUGGCUAAAAUUUUAAUUUAAUUAAUUUUUAUUUACAGCUAAAACUCUCUCUUUCUACUUUGAUACGAAUCUGCAAAUUGUUAAAAAAGGGAGGGGGGGGGGCGCUGAACGUAAUCAACGAAAAAAGCGAUCGGCAUAGACACUACGACAACAAUAUUGGAGUGGAUGAUGACAAUGUUGCUGUUGUAUCCAGAGAAGAUGAAGAAGGCUCAAGCCUAAUUAGUGGAUGUUGUGAGUAUGAACAACACCGUUGAAGAGAGCCUCAAUUAAAUUAUUCAGAUGCUAGGUUGAAAGAAACAUUUCGCCUUCGCCCACCUUCAACGCUACUGCCACCAGUACUCCCAAGUCAAAACUACUGCAACUGGUGGCUAUACUAAACCAAAAGGGUGCAAGUGUCAUUUUGAAUAUUGAGGCUACCCAGACAGAUCAUUUUAUUACAAGGAAUUCUUGUAACCGCUUGCAGAUAGAUUGCGAAUAAACAUACGUGAGUUUAAAUGUUUAUUUAGAUAAAAUUAGUUAGAUUAAAAUCUUAACCAUUUAGUUUUAUAAAUGACACAUGUUAAUGGAUCUUUAAAAAUGUUAGAGAACUAAGAAAAAAAUAUCUAGAAAAGAUUCAGAUUAUAAAAUAAUUUCACAGCUUUGCCACUAUGUACACUGUACACCAAAGUUUUGUUAAAAUAACAAAUGCAUCCCACCCGGUUAGGAAAGGACUUAUGCAGCCUUAUGUUAUAUUUUGCCGUUUAAUAGAUUAAAUUGAAGGAUAAAUUUGUAUUUUCAGGAUUAUGCAUUCAAAAAAUUUAAAAAAAAAACUUAAUAAUAAAAAACGAAAGCGGAGCCCUCUUGCACCUCAUCAUCUAGAGAUAGCAAAAAAAAUCAGGCCUAGCCUAGCCCAUGCAAGACCUAUCUAGAUCAGCGGUAUUUAGGUUCGGCCGACAAUAAAUGGGUCUAAUUAUGGACUGAAACAGUAAAUGAGUUUGAAUAUGAGCUAGUGGAAAAAGUCCGUACUUUAUAUUUUAAACUAAGAAAUAGAACCGCACUUUGUGCGGCUUUAAAAAAAAUUUAAUAUUAUCUUUUUUUAUUACUUUUCACUUAAUGAAACUGAUAAAAAAUAUGAUUUUUAAAAAAGAUGACGCAGCCUUAUAAAACUAAUGUUAUUUAUGAAAGUUAAUUAUUUUUUUGUUAACAUUAAAAAUAUAUAUUAAUGUGUAUAAUUAAGUGUACACAACCUUUUCAUUCAUAAAAAGUAUGUUCACACUAAUCAACUUUCUAUUUUUCUAGGUAUUAACAGACUCCCACAUCUUACAAAGCAUAACCCUUAUCAUCUAACUAUCUUUAUCAUUGUUUAACUCAUGAAGAAAAGAGUACUCCAUGAAGCACACAAUAAUAAAAAUUUAAAUAAGUCAAAAAAUAAAAACACAAGAACAUUUCUAAAGAGGAUGUUGGUUAAAUAAUAAAAAAAACUCAAACAUAACAAAUCUUAAAUGCUUAAUAUUUAUAGAGUUUGAAGAAGCCAAAAGACACUAAAUAAAAGGUUGCAUAAUUAAAUAUGGGAUUAUGACAUUAAAAUUAGGUUCUACUGGCAUUGGUGAGGGAAGAUGAAGGAACAUUCAUUCCUAUAUUAAUUAGUUGAUAUAUUUUAAACCACUAAAGUUUAGUUGUUGGCUUAAUAAAAUAAAUGAAUGUUUCAAAACUUAUAAUUAAUUUAUUAUUAAUGGUUACAUAUUAUUGAAUUUAAAUAGAAAUAGGAAGAGACAUGUAAUCUUUUAUAAUCUAUAAAUUAUUUUCUAUUUUAAAUAUUUUGUAAUGUAAUUAUUUUUUAAUCUUAACUAAUAUAUUAGAUAAUAGAGAAUAUAAAAAGAUGAGAAAUAAUAAUGCCACAAAUCUUAAAUAUUUAAUGUUUAUAGAGCUUGAAGAAGCCAAAAGGCACUAAACAAAAGAUUGAAUAAUUAAAUAUGAGAUUAUGACAUUAAAAUUAUGCUCUAAUGGCAUUGUUGAGGGAAGAUGAAGGAAUAUUCUUUCCUAUAUUAAUUAAUUGAUAUAUUUAAGCCACUAAAGUUUAAUUGUUGGCAUAAUAAAAUAAAUAAAUGUUUCAAGAUUUAUAAUUAAUUAUUAUUAAUGGUUACAUAUUAUUGAAUUUAAAUAGAAAGAGGAAGAGACAUGUAAUCUUUUAUAAUCUAAUAAUUAUUUUUUAUUUUUAAUAUUUUGUAAUGUAAUUAUUUUUUUAAUAUCAACCAAUUUAUUAGAUAAUAGAGAAUACAAGAAGAUGAGAAAUAGUGAUGCCACAUCACCUCCUCUAGUCCCAACUUUAUAUAUAUAUAUAUAUAGAUAUAGAUAUAGAUAUAGAUAAAUAGAUAGAUAUAAAUUUUUAAUAUUUUGUAAUGUAAUUAUUUUUUAAUCUCAACCAAUAUAUUAGAUAAUAGAGAAUAAAAAAAGAUGAGAAAUAAUGAUGCCACAAAUCUUAAAUAUUUAAUGUUUAUGGAGCUUGAAGAAGCCAAAAGGCACUAAACAAAAGAUUGAAUAAUUAAAUAUGAGAUUAUGACAUUAAAAUUAUGCUCUAAUGACAUUAUUGAGGGAAGAUGAAUGAUCUAUUUUAAUAUUUUGUAAUGUAAUUAUUUUUUAAUUUUAACUAAUUUAUUGGAUAAUGGAGAAUAUGAAAUAAUGAGAAAUGGUGAUGCCACAUCACCUCUUGUAGUCCCAACUUUAUAUAUAUAUAUAGAUUUUGUGUAUUUAAUUAUUAAAUUUUGUGUAUUUAAAAUAAUUAAAUUAAAAAUAUAAUAUGAUAAUUAAAUUCUCCUAAUCAAAUAAGAAAUCUAAAAUAAACUAUAUCCAAAUUCGAUAUCUUAAAAAAAAUAAAAAUCUUUAAAAAAACAUAAAAAUCUUUAAAAAAUAAAAAAAAUUAAAAAAUCUGAAAAUUUAAAAACGAUAAAAAAAUAAAAAUUUUGGGCUCAAGUAUAGUCCAAAAUAAUAUAAGCGAUUCUAAUUUUAAUUAAUCUCAUCGUAAAUUUCAAUACAAAAAAUAUUACGUCCCAAACGGACGUCUGUGGCCUAAAUUAUGCUCACCGGAAGCUAAGCAGCCGUCCUACGUUACUAAGCCAUUAGAUAAUAUGUUAUGUUAUAAUUAAUAUAACAUACACACUCAACAACAACCACAUAAAUUGUGUGGACCCAUUAUUUGUGUGGUUGUUGUUGAGUGUAUAUGUACAUUAAUUAUAACAUAGAGGCUCCCAUUUAGUAAGGCAAAAAUGGGGGAUACGUAAUCGCUGAUGAAAGGUAGCCGUGCACCACAUUCUCUUAAUUUUAUGGGGAAGAAAAAAAAAAGAAUAGGAGGGGUAAAAACAAAAAAGGAGUGGUUGUGUCACUAUGUGGUCUACAUCUGGGCCCAGUUAAAAAUAUUUUACUUUUAUCAAUUUUCUUAUUUUAUUUUCCCAAACUAACUCCUGAUCUCUCCUCUCUCUUUGGUACCUCACCUCAGCUACAGUCUGCAAAUAUGCAAUCCUGUUUAUUUAUUUAUUUAUUUUUCAAUUUGACGUAUACGUAAAGAUUUUUACAUAAAUUUCUGUUACAUAAAGGUAUAAAAUUCAUAUUUCUUUCUCACCUUGUUCUUUCAAUAUUUUUUCCAAUAAGAACGAUUUUUUUUUUUUGUAAAUGAAUACUGUUUUGAGUGAUGCAGUUCCAUUUAUAUUAUAAUAAUAAUUAACAAAUUUUUUUAUUAAUAAUUUCACUUGUGUCAAAUUUACAAUGAUAAUAUGAAUAUUAAACAAAUAAUCACUAAAUGCAUCACACAAUGGAAAUAAAAAAAGCAUAAAAAAAUUUCACCAAACACAUUUUCAUUAUUUUCAUAUUGUCAGAUAAACUACCAAUUGUAUUUUUUUACUUUUUUUUAUUUUAUAUAUUGUUUUGGAAACAAUUUAGCAAAUACCCUUUCACUUCUAAAAAUAUCACAUUAAAAAUAUCGUUUUUCUUCUCUAAAACAAUUAUAGAAAAUACUAACUAAAAAACAAAAGACCAAACACAUUGUAGACGAUACCAUGUUUAUAUGAGGGGACCUUGUCCAAGGUUGUGUGUUUAUAUGAGGGGACCUUGGACAAAGCAAUCAAAUCAUUACAAAAUGACAAUGUCUUUACGAAGACACUAAUAUACAUGAUAAUCUCGUGCGUUUUAUUUAGUCCAUUCAUAUCCUAUCAUGAAAGUAGGAGUGACUCUAUCUCUCACAUCGUACCAUGUUUCUUCACCUUAGAAAUUGUUAGUUAUCUCAUUUGGAAUGGUGCCAAAGCAAGGGACAUUGUGAUUAUCUUUAGGGAUGGCAAUGGGGAGGGGAGGGGAGGGGAACAAUCUCCCCAUACAUAUCCCCGAUAUUUUACGUAUGUCCUCAUCUCCUCCCUAUCCCCAUUAAAAUUAUUUAAAAGAAUUAUCAUCCUCUCCCCGAAUAAUAACAGGGAAUCCCCGAGGGUCACUGAUCCCUGAAUAACUAAUACAUUUUUUUUAUUUUCGAUUUUGAGUUAAUCAUAUUAAAAUAAACCACCUCAUCCCCGUCCCCUCCCCGAAUAAGAAAUUGGGUAAAAAAAUUUCCCCGUCCCUUCCCCGAAUAAGAAAUUGAGUAUGAAAUUAUCCACAUACUCUCCCCGAAUGGGGAAAAUCUCCGAGGGUACCCGUCCUCGUGGGGAUUUUUGCCAUCCCUAAUUAUCUUAUGGGUGUAACUACGAUGGAAUUGUUCUAAAGUAGGACAUCUCUUUAUAACCACACAAUCAAAAUUAUAAUGAAUUUUUUAUUAUUUAUUACUUUACGUGUAUGAUGAGAUUCCUACUCCACCAUAAAUCUAUUCCAACAUAGCCAUAUCCUUAUUUUAAAUAUUUUAUUUUUUGAGGCUACUAGAUUUCAGUUUCAUAUAUUCAUAGGAUAAUUUAAUUUUGUGGACCGUAUGAACUAUAAUUUAUAAAGUGAAGAUCAGCAACCUCGUGAGCGAAUUGUCUCUUUAUUACAUAUCAAUUCAAUUGUAUAAUGGAGAUUUAGGAACCAGCUACUUUAUCACAGUAAUAAGCAACCCCUUAUUUGGUCUUGUACAAAAGCUACUCUUGUAAUACAGUCGCUAUAAUAGAAUAUGUCAAAUAAAACAGGUCAAGUGUUCCUGGUGUCAAUAGUUUUCCUUCUUUCUGGAUCAACAUCUUCUCUUAGGCAUUUUCUCUCCUAUUCGUUCUAUAUUUAUAAAAAUCUAUUAACAUGUAUUACUAGUAAAAUUAAACACACGUGAGUUUAAAUGUUUAUUUAGAUAAAAAUUAGUUAGAAUAAAAUCUUUAACCAUUUAAUUUUAUUAAUGACACAUGUCAAUGGAUCUUUAAAAAUGUCAGAGAACUAAGAAAAAAAUAUCUAGAAAAGAUCUAGAUUGUUAAAUAAUUUCACAGCUUUGCCACUAUGUACACUGUACACCAAAGUUUUGUUAAAAUAACAAAUGCAUCCCACCCGUUUAGGAAAGGACUUUUCAGGAUUAUGCGUUCAAAAAUUAAAAAAAAAAACUUAAUAACAAAAAAUGAAAGCGGAGCCCUCUUGCACCUCAUCAUCUAGAGAUGGUAAAAAAAACCAGGCCUAGCCUAGCCCGUGCAAGACCUAUCUAGAUUCGAGGGAUCUAGGUCCGGCCCGCAAUGAAUGAGUCUAAUUAUCGGCUGAAACAGUAGAUGAACUUGGAUAUGAGUUAGUGGAAAAAGCCUCCACUUUAUAUUUUAAAUUUUAUAUAUUUUAUAUUUUGUGUAUUUGAUUAUUAGUCUAUUAUAUAUUGUAUAAUCAAUAAAUCAUUUUUAAUUUAAGCAUUUUUUUAUUUUUUCCUAUUUUAAACACUAUUACAAAUUCAUUUUAAAAUUUUUUAUCUAAGCCUAGACCCGGCCCAAGCUUACUCCGAAUACAUAGGCUUUUGGCCUAAGCCUGACUCGUCUAAGUAUGGACAGACUUUUGGAAAGUUUUGGAUCUGCUGUCAUCGCUAUCAUCAUCUUCCUUGAACUGGUCAGCAUCAUCAUUCUCCAAUUGAUGUUUUUCCUUUUUCUUUUUCUUUCAUAACUCCAAUUCUCUAUAAUUAUAUUAACUAUGAAAAUUGGAACCCUACAGGGCCACACCAAACUUUUGAAGCAAACGGCAAUUGAAAUUAUAAUUAAUGCAAAAUCCCACAUCCAAUCCCCUUUAUUUCCAACCUUCAAAUUCAAAGUCUCUCAAUCCUCCACUGCAAUGAACAUGGCGACAUUCAUGUCUAAUCGAAUAUAAAUCCAUUUCAUUGUCAAACUACCCCACAAACAAAGCCAAAACCAAACCGAGGUUCACAAGAGUCCGUAUGUCUGUACCAAGAAUAAACAAUUCGAUUGAGUUACUGUAUAUUUGCAAAAAUUUCGAUCACAUUUGUUACCAAAUCAUCAACUUAAAGGAAAAGAAUUUGAACCCAGAUGAAUUUUUUUUUCUCAUCUUGUUUAACAAGCACCUAGCUAAGAACGAUGUUUUGGGAAUUUGAGGGAAUAUAAAUUCAAACUAAAAUUCGUGAAAUUGGGUUUGAGGGAACUUUAAAGUGAAAUGAGGGAUUGACGUAGUCAAAUUCAAAAACAUAGUUUAUGGUAAGUGGGAGCCAGAAACAUAAUUUUUUAGUUCAGCCUGAACAAAAUAAAUAAUUUUUUAGCACGAUAAAUUGAGAUUACUGGAUCAAAAAAGAAAGGAUUCAGAUCCUUUUUUAGGGUCUUUCUCUUCUAAUCCUCCUAUACUUUCGAGGAACUGUUAUUAAUGAAAUUAAACUGCUGAGAUUUUAUUUUAAUUAAUUUUUAUUUAUUGAGAAAUUCAAACUCACGUGAUUGUUGUUAAAUUCUUUCCGAGAUUUUUUUUUAAGUAAUGAUACAGCCACAAAUUCUUGUACAAAUUUAUUUUGUACAAACUGAUGUGGCAUGAUAAGAUUGGUUGAAUUAAAUAUCACUUGGCCCACAUGAUUUAUUUUUAUUAAUUUAUAUUUUCAUUCAACCAAUGAAUUAAUUCCACGUCAGUUUGUACAAAAUAAGUUUGUACAAGAGUUUGUGGCUGUAUCAUUACUCUUUUUUUUCCCUCUCAUCUCUUUCUAUAAUGACGCCCAUCUCUAGAAAACUGUAAAAAAAAAAAAAAAGCACACAUUGGAGAAAAGAAAUUGACAAUAAGGUUUGCAUCUUACCUUCAAUUUGUUGAUUUAUUUAUUUUUUCUUGAUGUUUGGCUUCUUUAUGGAUCCAGAUUUCUACAAUUAAUUAAAACAAUUGUCUUCUUUAUUUAUCUUAUGUAUCGUUACAGACUUAUUAUUAUGGCUUUAGAAUGCUUGACUGAUUUGGAUGGAAAGUGUAAGUUUGAAAUGGAAUUUGAAUAUGAGCAAUUAGCAUAUGAUUUCUACAAUAAGUAUGCAUUGAAAAUGGGAUUUAGUAUUAGUAAAGAGACAUUUUCUAAUAAUAAGAAAACAAGUAAAAUGACCUCGAGGAUAUUUGUUUGUUCUAAGGAGGGAUUUCGUAAGAAGGAUAAGAGAAAUUAUUAAUAGAUUUUUAAUUUAUAUAUUAAUUACUGUUUGUGACUGAUUUUGGGUCAAUGAAUAAAAAACCACAAAACCAAACCAAGAACAAUAAAUUUAUAUUUUGUUGGUGAGUAGGGUGCCUCGCUUGUUCGUCGCGUGCGGGCUGUUUAGAUUUUUUGUGGAGUGGAGAAGGAUUGAGAUGUCGGUGGAUAUGGAGGGGGUCUGACUUCAGAUGCGGAGGGCUGGUGAAACUCGCUUUAAACCUACGAAACAACUAAAAAAGAGGUCAGAGGUGGAGCCAGGGGUGGCCGGCGACCACACUCCGACACUCAAGUCAGAGUUGGGUUAUCUCAGGUUAGAGAGCUUGCAAGCUCUCGGUAAUGGAGGUUUUGAGGUUGAAGAAACCUUAGUUUUUGGUGGUGUGUGUGUCAACUUACUUGAUAAAAAUUAAACCUGAGUAUUUAUAUGGUGUACCCUGGUCGUUGUGCCACCUGGCGCUAUUUUAGUGGCGUUCCCUGCUGUCAUGUCAGGAAUAUUCUUAUUUUCAUGCGUAUGACGGCUUAGGUGUUUCAAAAAUGUGUAGAGGGCAAGUUUGUGGCGUAUUCACGUGCUGGGCGUAAUGGAGUGGUCUCGUGUACCUCUGCAAUUUCGCUGUAAUUUUACAGGCGUAGUAAGAAAAGCCGGUGGUCCCAACUGUCAUAAUAUCAAACUUUUUGCUAAUUCGCUGGCGUGAUAGGCAACUGUCUCCUCUUUUGUAGCACGAGAUUUCCUCACCGAUUCUUUUUUUUUUUUUUACACGUAUUCAACCGAUCUUUUUGAGAUUUGUGGCUCACAUAUCUCUUGACAUUUGACAAACAUUUUUCCUAACCUUCUUACCCUUACUCAAUGUGUCCCAGGUACCAAGUUUUGUGGGGUAGGUCGGGUACCCCGGGUGCCGAACUAAUGGUGUAGGUCGGGUACCGAGUUUAUAGUGUAGGUCAAGUAUCUCGGGUACCUAGUUUAUUGUGCAGGUUGGGUAUCUUGGGUACCGAGCUAAUGAUGUCGGUCGAGUACCACGAGUACCGAGUUUAUAGUGUAGGCCAGGUAUCUCGGACACUGAGUUUAUAGUGUAGGUCGAGUACCUCGGGUAUCGAGUUUAUAGUGUAGGUCGGGUAUCUUGGGUAUCGAGUUUAUAGUGUAGGUCGGGUAUUUCGAGUACCGAGCUUAUAGUGUAGGCCGGGUAUCUUGAGUAUCCUUAGUACCGAAUUUUAUGGGGUAGGUUGGGUACCCCAGAGGAUAACUAAUAAUUACAUAACCUUUGCAUCGACACAUGACGCUUCAUUUUCAAUACUCUAUUUAUCCCCAAACAAUUACUAUCACCUUUAUUUAGAGCCUGUUUGGUAUGGCUUAUUUAAUCGUAUAACCACUUUUUAAAAUUUUUUAUGGUGUUUGGUUAUUUUUUUAGUAGAGUUUUUUUAGCUUAAAUAAGCUAAUUUACCUCUACUAGGAAAAGCCCAAAAUUUGAGCUUUUGAGAGUAGAGGUUAUAAAGUUUUUCUAAAUAUAUAUAAUAUAAAAAAUAUCACAUAGUUUAAUGGUUCAAAUGUACUUUUUUUAUUGACAACCAAACACCCAAUGGCUUUUUGUCAAAAAGCUCUAUUUGUAUAAGCUCUAUUUAAUAAGCUGUACCAAACGGAGCCUUAAUAGAUUUUAUAUUAUCCAACAUUAUUAAUUUAUUGAAGUGAUUCUAUAAUCCAAAUCCAAUGAGAAAUUAGAGUCCACCCAAACCAGCAUCAUUAGUUACAAUUUUAUACACCACUUAUCAGACCAUUUUUUUUUAAUAAUUAACAUUCAUUCAUCGAAAAAAAAAAAUAUUUACAUAGAUUGUCUAGAUUCUUAUAUAACAACUGAUGCUAUAAAAUUGGAGAGGCAGGAAAAGUAUAAGAAGGUCAUAUUGCUGAAACUGAAGGGGUUUGAGAUAAGUUCCAUACCUUUAUAGCAUGCUUACAAAAAACCAAGGCAUGCAAAGUGUCGCCAUACUUGAAGCCGCAAUAGAAACAAGUUGUAUUCAACAAAUUAAAGGCGUGUUUGAUGUUGUUUUUCAAUUCGCAUUUUCUUGAAACAAAAAAGGAAGUAAAAAGCAUUACGAAGGUCCAAACGCCUAAUGAUGCUUCUCCUUCAACUCCAAUAGCAAACCAACCAAUUCGGGCAACAGCAGUGUCAAUAGAACUUGAAUCCCAACUGUCGCCAGAGAAAUGAAAUUUCUUUCUCGCUCGUUUUCCUAACUCUUCAAUUCAAUCAUUUCUCUCCAAUUGGUGGCUAAAACAAGAACCAAAAACUAGAACGCAACGUAUUUCUUCCACAAUAAUUUUCAUAAUGAAAAGUGUUUUCGAUAGAUUUUAGGGUAGGAAAAGCCAAACCAAUCUAGAAUAAUGAAUUUGUAUUUUUGGGGGAGACGGGGUACCUCAUUGGUUUGUUAUGUGCGGUGUGGUGUAUCUAAAAUCCGGGGGAGGUGAGAAGGGGAGGGGGAGUGGUAACCAUGGUGAAAGGUCAGAACCAAGAGAGAUGUCCUUCAAAAUGAACUUCACGCCUGCAAAACUGUGAAAUAGAGGUUAGAGGCGAAGCCGGGGUACCCCGACGUUCACACUCCGACGCUCAAGUUAGCAAACUCAAGCUUUUAUGGUAAAAAGGGCUGGCUAGCCCUCUGUAAAUUAAGGUUUAAAGUUGAAGAGAACCUAUUUUUUGGAGUGUGAGUGUUAAUGGUGAAUGAGAGCCUCUUUUAGAAUAAAACCUAUGCACAUUUAUAUAUGGAGUACCUCAACUGCCACGUGGCAUACCCCUUUCGGCUAACGUCUUUUUUACCUUUUAUGAUUUUGGGGCCAUUAUUUGCAUGUUCGCAGCGUAUCGCAUCCUUUGGAGAUGUGACGCAGAAAAGUGGUCCAGGGUACUUCUGCAGUUGCUGUCGGGUAGGCGGCUGAGGACCACUGUCCUUAGGACAAUGUCCUUCACUUUUGGCAGAGGUAGCAGGCGGCUGUCCCCCUCUUUUAGUACGAUGUUCUUGAUUCUUAAUUCUGACAAAAUCGAAUAAUAUCUUUUAAGAGAUAGAGACGUUUCUCAUGGCGGAUAUUUUCAGAGGAUUCUCUUACAUCCGAUCUGCUGGGUACCUCGAGUUACGCGGGAUACCUCAAUUUAUGUAGGGUACCUCUAAUUGUACGGGGUACCUCUAGUUGUGUGGGGUACCUCUACUUGUGCGGAGUACCUUGAAUCAUGCCGGGUACCUCGGAUUGUGCGGGAUACCUUCAAUUAUAUGGAGUACCUCUAAUUGUGCGGGGUACCUCAAAUUGUGUGAGGUACCUCGGAUUGUGCGGGGUACCUCAGAUUAUGCUGGAGUCAUUCCAUUUGUCGACACGUGACGCUUUAUUGUCUUUCCUAUUUUUCCCUCAAACAAAAAGUAUACUUCAUUCAAGCACAAACAUUUCAAAUUCACUAGUUAUAAUCAUCGAUAAUUUUUGUAGGUGUCAUAUUCUAAAAGGUACCUAAUCAUGUUUCGUGUCUAUCCUAUCAGAUAGUAGAAGUUAUUCCGGUGAAAUAUCACCUAAGUUAUUUCAAGAGAAUAACAUCUAAGAAAAAAUUUCUCCCGAAGCUUAUAAAAAUGGCAAGAGGGAGAAUUAGUUCUGCAAUCCAUUAGUUUAAGGAAGUCACGCUCAAAGGUCAUACAAGUAAGGAAAUACAUAAGGGAGGAAUAAUUCUUUAAAUCAAAUUCACCCCCACGUGUGCAGAAAUGAUGGGUGAUACAUGUUUUUAGAUUAAGGGUUCAAAGAAAAACUCUAAAUCUACAUCACUCAUAAUUUAUAACUAGAGGCUCAACUCUAAGAGAAAAGAGAUCUUGAGCCUCCAAAAGUAUUGUUCAUACUUAGAGAGUGAAAAUCAUUUUCUCAAUCUUUCUUAUUUCUUUAAUCUUAAUUAAACACUAACUUGAGCAUCAGAGUGUUUUUUUCAAGUACUCACCGUUCGAGAUUCGAUGCCAUUUUCAAGUACUCACCGUUCCAGAUUCGAUGCCAACAAUCGCGACAAGUUCUUUGCAAACUACAAAUACACGUGAAGGUAAAAAAAAAAUCCAAUACCUUGAAUUUUCAAUUCUAUUGCCACUGAUAAUAUAUCUGCUCCGAUGAUUAUGCAGUCUAUUUAUUAUGCUUUGAGUAAUGCGUCAAAUAUUGUUUCUUAAUUUAUUUCAUAAUUUGUUUUGAAGAACAGCGAAAAUGUGUAUGCCAAAGUGUUUUGCUUGUUAUUACUAUCAACUGGAGUUUGUUUUACGUGUUUUUAUUAUUAUUAUUUUUAGAAUUUAUUCCACCGAACAUGCACUUAAAUUAUAAAAGUAAAAAAAAAAAUAGGAACCAUGCAUCAAUACCGAACGGGCCCUAGUGUAUAUGAACAACUUUACUUCGAAUUGAUCAAUUUCGGCGCAAUAAGCAGGGCAUUGAAAAUGAAGCGAAUAAAUGAAAAAUAAAAAUUAAAAAAAUUGGUUCUCAUUUGGUUGUCUUUUUUUUUUUCGUAUAAAUGCCACCAACCAUCUUACAGAUUGUUUGAUGUUCACAAUUGUUUUGCAAUAUUUCUUCCACACUAGCACAAAAUGUUACAAGACAAAACCUUAACGCUGGACAAAUAAUAUCGCUCGGUUCUUGCGCCACGGGACUUGGUGAACCACGUGCAAAUCAGAUGCCAAGAAACGAAUUUUCUGUUUGUGAAUUGUGUAGUAAUUGCACUCAAAUUGCACAUACUUUUUUUUUUUUGAAAAGAAAGUACACCUUUCAUUGCCUCAAAGAGAGAACAAAUACACAAUUUCAACUGGAAAUUCAUCCAGCCAUAUACAUGGUUCUGACUUCCAAAGAGCUAGCUUAGCUAAAUCAUGAGCUAAAGUAUUACAAGUCCUCCCUACAUGCUGAGCUUUGAAAUUCUGGAAGCUCUUCUUGGCUUCUAGAAUGUCGAAGAUCACCCAACAAAGCUCUGUUAAGGUGCUUUGCUUGCUGUUUAUAAGCUCUAUCACCCUCUUCGAGUCGGAUUCUAAGAUGAUUGAUGAUGCCCCCGCCUUAAUAGCUGCUUGAAUUCCCCACAAAGCAGCCUUUGCUUCAUACAUCUCCACAUCUCCAAAACUUUUGAUAGUGUUUACUGCUGCAGCCACCACUUCACCUCUGUAGUUCCUGAUCACAGCCCCCAAACCAGCAAGAUUAUUUUGCUCAUCCAUUGCGGCAUCCACGUUAACUUUGACCCAAUCUUCACUAGGAGGACUCCACUGGCUUUGCUGCAUGCUUGUCAAUUCCAGUGAGAAAUUGUGCUCUGGUUGCUUUAUUCGUUUGACACAAUCUGCUGUAGACAUUGAUUUGGCUAUCAGUCGUGAUGGAUCAUCACACUUCCCCUGAAACAGCCAGUUGUUCCGAGCAUUCCAAACGACCCACAAAAAUGAUGCAACUAGCUCACCAUUUAGAUUGGUGUGAUGAUGAUAUGAGUGAUGAAGCAAAGUAAUAACAUCAGGGAAAUUUUCAGUUUUCAGAUCAAUUCCCAGGGAAGAGUAUCUCCACACUUUCCUCGCAAAUUUACAGAACAAUAAGGCAUGAGCUGUGCUCUCUAUCUCUUUCUUGCAGAUUGGACAAGUUGCCUCUUGCAUCACUUUUUUCUUCCUUAAAUUUUCUGCUGUGGGAAGAAGAUUAUUUGCCGCUCUCCAAAGGAAGAUCUUAACUUUUUCGGGGAGCAGCAACUUCCAAAUGAUAUUCCAUUGGCUGGGGUUUUGAUUUGAGCAACUAGGAAUGUCCUGGUGCUUUUUCUUUAAAGCUAGCUGAUAGCCACUUCUAACUAAAUAGUUCCCUCGCUUAUCAUAAUGCCAAAUUAUAGUAUCUCCAUUUUGUUGUCUAGGGAGAGGGAUAUGAACAAUUAUUUCAGCAUCAUCUUUACCAAAAUGUUGAUAGAUUAGCUCUUCCUUCCAGCAGUUGUUGUCAUCUAUAAGCUCUGCCACAUAGGCUUCCUUUGGUAAAUUUGGAGAUGAGAUGGGUUUGAAGGUUGAUGGUCUAGGAAUCCAGCUGCUAUUAUGGAUAUUUAUCUGCUGCCCAUUGCCGACCCUCCACCUGCAGCCAUUCUCCAACACUUCUCUUCCCCAAAGAAUGCUUCUCCAAAUGUAAGAUGGUUUGGAACCCAAAUUUGCUUUUAGGAAAGAUGAAUGCUUAAAAUAUCUUGCCUUUAGGAGUCUGGCCACUAGAGAGCCUGGAUUUUGGAUGAUCCUCCAGCCUUGCUUAGCCACGAGGGCCUGGUUGAAACAGGAGAGAUCUUUGAACCCCAAACCUCCUCUGAUUUUAACUUGGCACUAGUUCUCCCACCUAGACCAGUGGAUGUUUUUUUUUCUCCUUCGAUGAGCCCCACCAGAACUUGGCUAUUUCCUUUUGCAUAUCGUCACACAAUCCCUGAGGAAGCUUGAAAACACUCAUAGCAUAAAUGGGAAUUGCUUGUGCCACUGCUUUAAUAAGGAUCUCUUUACCUCCGCAUGAGAAGAAAUUUUGCUGCCAGCCUGAAAUCUUACUGAGCACCCUGAGCUUUAUCUCGUUGAAGAAACCCUUAGUCCUUUUCCCUAUCAUUGAUGGAAGGCCAAGAUAUUUUUCGUGCUUAGAGACGACAUUAAGCUGAAAAAUCUGUUUUAUUGCUGCUACAUGUUCCGGCUUUGUGUUGCUACUGAAAAACAUGGAUGAUUUUUCCAUGUUAAAAAUCUGUCCCGAAGCCCUCUCAUAGCAUUCAAACACCCUCUUUAGAUUUCUACACUCGUCAGCCGUUGCUCUAGCAAAAAUCAGGCUGUCAUUAGCGAACAGGAGGUGGGAGAUAGUCAAAUCUUUGCCGAAAUUUAAACCAUGGAUAAACUUUUGAUGCUCGGUCUGUCUAAUCAGAUUGGAAAAAGCUUCAGCACACAUAAUAAACAGGUAUGGAGACAGCGGGCAGCCUUGUCUAAGUCCCCUUUGUGGAUGAAAAAAAUCCUUUUGCCACCCCAUUUAAAAUAACAGAGAAAGAGACUGUAGAAAUGCAAUUCAUGAUCAGAUCAACCCAUCUCUGUGAAAACCCCAUUCUCAGCAUAAUUUGCUUCAGAAAAGGCCAUUCUACCCUAUCAUAAGCUUUGCUGACAUCUAGUUUAAGAGCCACCAGCCCAUGUUUUUUCCCCUUGCUAUGCCUUAUCUUAUGCAAGCAUUCAUAGCUUAUAAUAAUGUUAUCCGAGAUUAAUCUAUUCGGGAUGAAUGCACUUUGGGUUGGAGCUAUGACGUAGUGAAGGAUGUGUUUGAGUCUGUUUGUAAUUGUUUUGGCAACUAUUCGGUAAAUAACAUUACAAAGGCUUAUGGGUCGGAAAUCGGUUACUCUCGAAGGUUUUGACACCUUAGGGAUUAAUGCAAUAUGUGUAUGAUUUAAAGGGGCAAUGUCACCUCCAUUGUUUAGGAUAUGAAGACAUGUAUUUAUAACUCCAUACCUGACCAAUUGCCAAUGCUUCUGAUAAAAGGCCGCAGGCAGCCCAUCCGAUCCCGGCGCCUUUGUAGGACUCAUUUGAGAUAGGGUUGUGUAAAUUUCCUCCGCUGAGAACGGGCUGUCCAACUGUUGAUUCAGUUCAUCCAUGACUAUUGGGGUUAACUCUCUAAGGGCAGCUAAGAUGUGGUCUGAAUUAGGAUUGGAUGUGGUGAACAGCUCGGCAAAAUAAUCACAAAAUUGCUUGUCCACCUCUUCCUCAUCUUCCACCCAACUGUUCUGCUUGUUCAUAAUUCCCCAAAUUCUGUUUUUUUUCUUCCUUGACGAGGCUUUUGCAUGAAAGAAUUUGGUGUUUCUAUCUCUUUCCUUCAACCAUUCAACUCUUGACCUUUGUCUCCAAUAAAUCUCCUCAUCCAUCCGCAAAUUCUCAAUUCGCUUAUCUAAAUUCACCAUCUCAUUGUCUUCUUCAUACUGCACUUGAUUAAGCUUCAUCUCCACCAACAUUUUCUUCAGCUGCUCCACUUUUUUCUUUCUAUCACCUAAAUGCUGCCUAUGCCAUGACAAUAGGCGGGCCAUUGAGUCUUUUGUUGCUUUGUUGAAACAUUGAACUGGAUCCUUUUUAUCCCAAUCAAUCUUCAUCUCCCACUCUUCUUUAACAAUACGCUUGCAAUCGUCAUAGGGGCUCCACAUGUCCUCAUAAUGCAGCCUACAUCUCCUUCUUCGAUGAAACUUCACUCCCCUGAUUCUGGUUUGCACUUUCAGCAUAAUUGGAAUGUGGUCCGAGCUCCAUGUAUCUAGAUUAUAAGCAACCAGUUCAGACAAACCAGCUUCCCACUCCUUCGACCCUAAAAAUCUAUCUAAUUUUUCUUCAACAAAAUGAGGUCCAAAACGUCUAUUUGACCACGUAAAAGGGUACCCUCGACACUUAAUGUCGACCAACUUGCACUCCCUCACUGCAUCUCUAAACUCAGCCACCAUACUUAAGCUUCUAUCAUUCCCACCCAUUUUUUCAUUGGGGUUUAAUAUUUCAUUAAAAUCUCCAAAACAAAUCCACGGGUAAGUGAACAGACCUGCAAGUCUUUUAAAGAGUGUCCACGUAUGUCUUUUUUGCCCGGCCUCAGGAUGCCCGUAGAUACCCGUCUCCAUUGCUUUCCAUCUACCCCUCUGACAAUGGCAUCAAUAUGAUGGCUACUGUAAGAGGCAAUCUCCAAGUCCAAAUCCUCAUUCCAAAGCAUUGCCAAAACACCCCCUAUGCCACUUCUACCUACAGCAAAACAAUUAUCUAACCCCAGCCUCUUCCCCGUAUUCAUCAUGUGGCCAUACUCCAAUUUCGUUUCGCAAAGAAAAAUAAUUCGAGGCUGAUGUUUUUGGAGAUUGUCUUUUAACUUGUGGAAUGUUCGGGUAUUCCCUAAACCUCGAACAUUCCAACUUAAGAUACUCAUUGCUUUCGGCGGGGCUGACCACCAGCCUCCGCCGAUAAUUCCUCCAUAACUGGUUCGGGCACCUCCAUGAGUUCCAUGGUUGUUACUUCCCAGCUGAGUUUGAGAGUUUCUGAGAGGGGUUCAGUUGGGCUACCAACUAAGACUUCCUUCGCAGGGCUUGCAGGUUUGGCUUUUUUCUUUUUCGGACUAGCCCACAUCACCUCGCUGCAUAAUCGUUUUGAUACCACAGUCCCAGCUUUACUAGGUUUUUUGUUUGUGUCACGGGCUUGACUUUUCCAUCUUUUCCAUUUGGGCCUCGAUUUUUUUUUCUCCAGCCCCUCGUCUACAACUUCUUCCUCUGAGCUCAUUUGGGUUGUGUGCGUUUCAUUUGCCCGUUUUUCUUCUUUGCCCACCAAGAUUUCUUUCCCUUUCCAUUUCCCUCUAAAUUUUCCUUUUCUAGCAAAAGUCUCGCCUUUGUGUCCUGCAUUCCUGUUACAUCUGAAAUUUCAGCUGCACCGUUCAGCUUUUUGUCAUUGGGUUGCAUCAGUUUCUUUUUGCUUCCUUCCAAAUUGUCAACAGUCACAGCACCCUUCUCCACGUGUCCCACCUUUAUUAGCCCUCCUUCCCUUUCCGUGCUUUCUUUAUUCAAUGUGGAUCCGAAAUUCUGACCCAUGGUUAAGUUGGGUGAACCCGGGUUUGGGAUUUCUGCACUAUCCGAUUUUGGAACUUCUUCUCUAGAUUUCUCGUGCUUUCUACUCCAUUUCUCCUUUGCUCUGUUUAGCUUGGUUCUGUCUGCUAAUGAAACUGCUUUUAACCAUGGUCCAAACGGCAAGUUUUCUUUCUGCUGGCCUUUAUACUCCAUACAUUCUCUGAACUGGUGUCCAAUGCAUCCACAACAAAAGCAAAAGUCUGGUAAUCGUUCAUACACCACAGGCAAAGGGAUGUCCUCGUCAUCUUCUUGCUUUAGGACUAUAAGUUUCUUCAGAGGUUUUGUAAUAUUCACCGAGACUUGGAUACGCACAAAUUCCCCAAAGCAUUCACCCUGAGCAUCCAUGCCUAUGUCUUCCACCUUUCCAACCCUCGACCCCAGCUCUCGGAUUAUGCUAGUAUCCAUACACAUCAAUGGCACAUUAUGGAUUCGAAUCCAGAAGGAUACAUGAGAAAAGGAUUGUUUUUUUAUACUACCAAUACCCUUUGGUUCUUGGAGAACCAUCAAGGCUCUAUCGAAGUGCCACGGUCCUCCAUUAAAGACUCUCUUUUUAUCAGCUUCUGAGAGAAACUUAAAAACAAAUAUGUUGCUACCCAAGCUUUCUACCUUAAAAUCAUGAACAGUACGCCAAGCUUGGUCCAAAGCUGUUUUGAGUCCUUCACGAUUUACCCCUCUCGCUAAAAGAAUUUUUCCCACAAGACAACCAGCAACAGCUUUGGAACCCUUUUCUUUCAUCUGGCCUGCAAAAAUAAAUUUGUCUGCUUCCUCUCCUUCAAGUGUUAUGGCUUGACACUUCCGUAUUAACUCUUCCGUUUCCAUCUCCAAGCCACUAGCCCACGAUAUUUAUUGUAGUAUUUUGGAUUUUGCUUUGAAAACCCCCACCAACCCCUCCUGACCUUUCGAGGAGGAUUUUCAAAAAGCAAAAGAGCAAUUGAAAGCUUCACCCACCCCUUUGAGAUAGGACAAAAGGAAGAAGAAGACAAAAGAAUCACCUAGCACUCCUUAUGAGUGAUACUCAAGGCCAUGAAGGCCUCAUGUAGCUACCAUUCUACCUUUCCUCACUUCAGAGAAAAAGGAAGAAGGAGAUGUUCCAUUACCCAUUUGAUUUGUUGCAGAUCUAAACAAGCAGGAACUCAAAUUGCACAUACUACGCAUAUGAAAGUAACCUCUUCUUAGUUCUAAUCCAGAAUAGCAGAGCUUAACUUAUUUUUCACCAACAAAAUGUGUAUCUUCCUACUGCUUUCGCUGAUGAACAAAAAGCUGUGAGAAUGUGGAUGUUUUGCUUCUUGCUAGUCCACCUCCACUUGGUAAGAGAAGUAAAGCUGCUUUCAUUAACAUGACUUUAUAUAUAGAUAUUUGAUUCACUAAAGAACUUUUUAACUUUAAUACUUUGCUCAUCAGCAACAAUCUGUAUUAAGAGAGUAAAUUUUCAUAUCUAAUUAUACAUUAUCAUAAUCUAAGGAUACAAUUUCUUGCUUCUCUCCUUGCACCUAUGCUUCCCCUACUAAAGCAAUUUUGUGAAAGAAUUGAACAAAUUUCUCUUCAUGUUGCUCUGAAAACUACAAAAAAAAAUUAGAGGUGGGGGAAGGAGAUGAAUAACCAAAAGACAAUAGUCUAAUAGUUUGUCAAGCCCAGAUUGCAAGCAAAGACAUCAAUCCAGCUCCAAGAAACAGCAUCAAAUAAGACACUACUUGAAGCCUAAAAUUGCAGCUCAUCCUUUUACUGAGAAAAUCUGCCGCAAUUAGAUCCACUAAAGCCAUGUACACCAGAAUGCCGGCUGAUAUUGAAUCUAAGAUUCCUUCAACAAUCAGAGCACCUGGGCUGUUUGGGUUGUAAACUGAAGCAACUGCAGUACCGAUGCUGAUCCCUACUGGAGUUGUUAAGGCGAAAAAAACAUGCCAUUAACGUGGCUGAUUGGGUAUUGAAUUGAGCUUGCCAGAUGCAACCUCCAAGCGCAAAUCCUUCAAAGAAUUGAUGGAAGGAUAACGCUGCUAUCAAGGGUCUUAUUGUACAUGGACUAUGUGAAACUCCAAGCGAUAUCCCAAUGAUAAUCGAGUGUGAAACAAUUCCAAGUUCCAAAACCUGCAAACAUAACAACAGAUUUCCAAUUAGGACAAAUUCCAUCUCAUCUUUAACCACAUUUAAGUCACGAGCAUCUCACAUUUUCGCUGCUCACUUUCUUAGAAAUAGAAUUUCAAACAAAAGCAAACACUUAAUGCUAAUGGGAAACAAAUAUCAAUUAGUCGUAUAUACCUGUUAUAAUUGAACAAAACUUUACCAUCAUUUUAUGAAUGAAAUUUCACUUGAAUAAAAUUGUUAAAAAUUUACUUGCCAAGUCUAGUAUUAUUGUUUCCACAAAUCACAGCCAAACUACCAAAGCAAAGUCAUGGAGACAUGGACUGACCGGCCCCACCCAUAGCACUUCAAUAUCUAACGAGAAAAGAAAAGAUAGACAAAUAAAAAAGAUAAUAGGUCUCCCUUCGUACCUACGUGUCAUAUUCAGACUCUUUGUAUAGUUACAGAGUCCAAAGCAACACAAUUCGAGGCUAUAAGCAAAGAGUUAAAAUGCAUCAAGACAAACAAAAGUUAAAAGGUAAAUGUUAUGUUACAAUUAAUGUAACAUACAAACUCAACAAUAACUACAUAAAUUAUGUGGGCUUAUUAUUUAUGUGGUUGUUAUUGAGUGUGUAUGUUACAUUAAUUAUAACAUAGGGACUCCCAAGUUAAAAUUGUGGAAAAUAAAGUACGUCUAAAGUACUUGGGAAACAACGACGUGCCAAACCCCACUUUCCUCAUCCCCAUCACUAAACCCGUGAGAAUGCCCAAGCCUCUGUCCGUGUCCAUGGCCAGCCUCCUUCACGUGCCCCUCAAAAUAUUAAUACCAUUAGAAUAUUUAAUAAAAUCUGAGUACAAUUACUAUUUCACUCUUGAAUUCAAGGGAUUUUUAUUUUGCAUCAUAAAUAAUAAAAUCAAAUAAAAAGAAUAGUAAAAAGUAAAACUAUCAAAACCCAACAAACUUUUUUGUUUCAAAACAAAAUCGACCAAUGAUUUUGGUAGACGAUUGAUACAAAUUGCAAGCUUAGAGUAGAAAAUUGAAUACAUUCAAAAUUUGAUGUUAUUUUUGCUAACAUGGUAAACUUAAUGUGAGUGACUGACAGUUUUCCAACAUCUAGCAUCAGUGGUGCAUCCAGAGAAAUAAUUUACAGGGAGCUAUAUUAGAUAAUAGUACAAUGUAAAAACUAAAACCUUGAAUAUCUAAAAAACUUGCUAAUACAUUUAUAAUUGUUCUCAAUGCGUUUUUACAUUUUGAAAAUAUUAUGCAAUAGACUCAUUAUCAAUACUAUUAAAUUUAUUAUAUAUCAGAAUACUACAAAUGAGCAGUAACCCCUAUAAACCUCUCCAAAUGCAUUUUCUGUACACUUACAUUGGCCAGCGUCAGCAGUACCUUCUGCAAAUGCGUUGAUAGCUUCUGUACCAUAAAAAUGUAAUCUGACACUAUUCAAGCAAGAGUCAUUCUUUAAGAUAGCAACAGGUGCAGCAGUAAAGUAUUGGAAUGGAAUGCUUUUAGUGGAGGACAUUGCUUCUACAACAAGCAUCAACAGGGACCAUUCUGGAUGUAGCCUUAAGAAAUUCAUCUCAUCUGGCCUAGCAAGUGGCAUGCAAGGUUUCAGUUAAAAAUUAUCUAUCAUCUGGUGGCAAUGUAGGACUCUUGGAACACAUACUGAUGUUGUGAAGCUCCUUCAUUCUGAAGGCUGGAUUGCAUAAACCUGAAAUAUAAUGAUACUUCAGUCAUUAGGGAGGAUUCAAAAGUUAACUUUGCAGAAUAAUUAAAUUCCUGUACACUCUCUUCUUAAACUCUUAAUUAAAGAAUUUUAAAUCCAAUUCAGUCAUCAUAGAGGAUUCAGAAGGAUCAAAGAAGGUUCUAGGCUUGUGGCCUUCGUCGGUGGAUGUGUGGAGGCUGUGCCACCAGAAAUUGGGCUUGAGAAGUUUUGAUUAAAGCAAGAAAGUAACUCUUUUACUAUUCCCCGUAGCAUUGCUUACUCAGAAAGAACUUUCAAUGGAAGCAAGGUUAAUCAGCAGAAGCACUAUGAGCAUCAAUGAAUGUUUUGGAGAUGAGAGAGAGAAAAAAUAAAGUGGCAGAGGACUUGCAAUUAAGAUGAAUAUGCAAGAUUUCAGGGGUCAUCACUGUAGCAUAAUGCAUUGUCCAGUGUGCUUCAAACUCCUUCUAAACCAUCAGCUAAAAACGUAAUAUAAUAGAAAAUGUGAAAAUAUGCAUAAUCACCAGGCAUCAAAUCUGUUUUUAGGCCCCAUGAAUCUCAAGCUCCUCUAAUCCAUCAACUUAAAAAGAAAGAUAAAAAUAAUGAAGAAGGAACAGCUUACCGAAAAAGCUAUCCCGGCUAUACGAGAUAAAAAUGCCAGACAAAAGUUGGUAAAAAGUAAACGAAAUCUCUUAUUGCUGAAGAUGUGUUUCAUUGUAUUAAAGCCCACAACAAAUGUUUGGGAAUCUUGCAGCGAAGUUGUCAUCAGCAUCUGAAGAUUCGAUGUCCAGUAGUGGACCCAGCAACUGACCACUAAAAAGUUUAGACAACACAUGCAGCAUAUUGAUGGGUCCACAUGUCCCCAUGUCCCCAGCAUUCUAAGGCACUUGGAUUAUUGGAUGCUAGAUUUCAAGAGCCAGGGCUGUGGCUCCAUACAGCGGGGUCAAGAUUUUGGUGGAAUUGAACAACAAUCAAUCAUGGAGAAGCGCUCCCCAUGGAUGCCAGCAACCUUUCUAGCAUCUAGAGGAUCCAUCGCUCUACCGAAUGGGCUCCUUCCUCAUAAUCAUCAUCCUUAAUAUAAUGGCAGUCAAAUAAGGAGAAAGAUCUAAAUAGGAUAGAGGGUCUUGUACAGAGAGUGUUAUAGGUAGUGUGGUUAUCGACCUUGAUAUCCUUGGGACAGCCAUCCUACCUCGUCAUAUUCCUAAGGUACGUGUAAAAUUUAUAACAUUACCAUGACUUGUUAUGUGCAAAAAUCCUGUAUUCAAUAGCUUACUUCGCACCAUCUCAUCAACUCAAUGUAAUACAAAAUCAUAACAAACCUACAGAACCCUAACAAUUGGCGGUCCAUCAAUCUCACUACUUUUAAGAGGAACCUUCAUAUUUCAUGUGUAACGAAUACAUGAUCAUCAGAACUUAAACAGAAAGCGGGAUUUUCAAAUCUUAAUUUUUUAUGUAUCAAAAUCACAUAUCAAGAUAGUUCUUUGAGAAAGUAAGAAAUACAAUUACAGCAGGGCAUGUGAUAAUAAGAAACAUAGUUACCGCAGGGCAAGUUACAAAAAUUGUGUUACCUGAGCACUUUGGAAUAUCCCACACUGCUAUAGAUGUGGAAGUACAUCUAGGAUCACAUAUUGCUCUGUUAUCUUCGUGGUGGACGUUCAUAGCAAGCAUCCAUGACCCGAUAGUUACAUCCUCAGUGCUGAACAUUCUCAAACUGAAAAGCAGAACAUAUCUAUUAACAAAAGCAUAGAAGGAAGAAAGAUUACAAAAUAAAACUGAAAGAGAACAGACAAGGCAUUGUUACAUAAAUAGCAGAGCAAGUCAAAUUAACAUUUUCAAGGGGAAAAAAAUCUCAAAAUGUAUGCAAUGAGAACUUUUGAUCCCAGCAUCAUAAACAGGGAAAAAAUAUAAAAUAAAUUUCAUCUGGACACAUGAAAUUUUAACUUUUCGUUGGUUCUAAUGGAUAUUUUCAGUCAUUUUUCAGUACAAUCUUAAACUAAUAGGUAAAAGAAGAUAAGCAAAUGUGAAUGUAUGAAGACCAAUGAAAACUUUAUCCAAAUGCACCUGUUAUUUCUUGCAGCAGCUAGUGAAGCCACCACAUUUGCAGACAGAACAUAUAUAGGACCAUAAGCAUGCAAGAAGUAUUCAUUUCCAAUAAGGUGCCCUGAUUUUUCAUACCUGAAAUUUUCAAAAUUAUAAAUCAACUAAUAAAAUAAUUAAAAAAAUGAAGAAACAUAUGAAAAAAUAUAAGAUAUCUGAAAGAUAACAGUUUUAAUAAGCAAAACCCAUAUACCACUUCAUUUUAGGGUCAGUGAUCACAUGUCCUUUCUUCAUACAACCAAUGUAAGUCAGCGGAUUGCUACGUUCCUUGGCAAGAAGAGUUGCAAGACGAUCUGAAGAAGUUGAAAGAAAAUAAAUUUAUAAUGUCACAACGCAUUUAUAAGAGUCACAGAAUGCAUGAUGCCUAUCUUAAUUAUUUCAGAUACCAGGGCGCAAAUAAAUGUCAUCAUCAGCUUUGACGUAAUAAUCUGCUUCAAAAUGCAGGAAAGCUGCUUUAAAAUAAGCCAACCUAACAAUAGCAAAAAUGAAGAAACCAAAUUACCAAACAAGCCACCUUUUUUUUUUUUUGGAUCAAAAUAACAAAGAGAACUUCACCUCUUACGUUUAUAAGGAAGCUUUAAAUAUUCUUCCUGAACAUCUAUGAGCAUAAAAUCUCUGUACUUAUCAAUCUCUUUCUCAAGCUGUGCCGUCUUCUUUGCAUCUUUGGAUUUCCCAAUUACAAACCCGAAAUGCUAAUCCCGGUAACCUUGCGCUUGCUUUAUUUUAUAAAAUUUCCGACAAAUUAACCCAGCAUGUUUUUUCAGUUUUAAAACCCCCCCCCCCCCCCCCCCCCCAAAAAUCUUUGAUAAAAUAAAUGAAGCAUUUAUACCUUAAGAGUCUAUCCGGGUCAGAAGGGAACCACGUGCUGCGAAGAGCGGCCCGGCGAUCAGCUGAACCGAAGCCGCUUUGAAUUCCGACAAACCCGAGAAGCUUGGGGCGAUCAAGGAGAGCUCCAUUAUCGCGGAGUUUUCCAGAGUCGGAUAAAGAGUAGAAUGCACGGAAAGUGUCUUCGGAUCUACCGCAACGGUAGACAGGUAGGGGACUGGGGCGGCGGACGGCGUUGACGGCAAAGAUUAUGCCAGCGAGGCCGAAGAAGAUGGAGAGGAGUGAAAAGAGGAGAAUGGGCAGGGAUAUUUUAGAAUUAAGCUUAUGAAGCUUUUGAUCUUUGGCUGAGUAGGAUGAGUUUGUGGUGGUGGAGGUGGGAAGAGCUGAGGAGUUGUGGCGGUGGGAGAAGAGUGGCAUUUCGGUGAUUGUGAGUUGAGACAGGGAAAAUGUUGGGGAAAUUGGAUUGGCGAAAGGAUCUGUCGUUGCUUCUUCUAGCUCUAUACCACUGGUUCGGAAAUGGGAAGUAGAGUUUCUCGGAAGGGACGCUCCUGGGUGAAUAUUGACACCGCGAGGCUGAAGCUCCCUCUUUUAAUACCAUUUUCAGUUCUUAAAGACAAUUCAUGUUGUUUUAAAUUAAAAAAAUACAUAUCAUAUUAAGACAACCUCUGGUCGAUGGAAAAUGAUGUUUGCC